UUAUUUAAUGUGCAAAUCUCCAAAAUAGCACCUUUAUAAGUUUAUAUCACAAAAAUAGCACUCCAAAACUAAAAUGACCAAAAUAGCACCUUUCUAAGUUUAUCCUUUGAAAUUUUUAAUUUUUUUAUUUUUCAAAAUUUGAAAUCUUAUCCCCAAAAUCUCAUUUCUCAACUCUAAACCCUAAACCUUAAACUCUAAACCCUAAACCCUAAACCCUAAACCCUAAACUCUAAACCCUAAACCCUAAACUCUAAACCCUAAACCCUAAAUCCUAAACCACACCCUUUAACUCUAAACCCUAAGUUUGUGACUUUUGAUAAAACAUUAAGUGCUAUUUUUGUGACUUUUGACCUUGAGUGCUAGUUUGAGAACAAAAACUUGAUUUAGUGUUAUUUUUGUCUUUUUCUCUUAUUUAAACCCAUUUUCUUUUAUGUUGUUAUUCUUUUAAAAGCCCAAUUAUUUUUCGUACGUACAGUAAAUACAAAUUAACAUUCUAUAAAACUUAAAUCUUGGCAGAGAUAAUAGUUGUUCUUGCGUUUAAACAUGAUGCGGAACUCUCUAAAAACAUUGGUUUUUAUUUAAAAACUCUUACAUGAAGAACACAAACUUUAAAAUCUGACUUAAUCCCUGAUUAAAACAGAAAAGAGGUAUAACAAUACCUUAUUAUAAAGUUUCUAACCUAAUAUUUGGGUCCCAUCCACCUUUUCCUGUCCCAUUUUUGCAUCACCCAACUAAGCACCUUUUCACAUAGCAAUUUGAUCGAUUCAAAGCUCUCAAGUCUUGGGGGUCUGUUGCGAUGAAGUUAUAAGUGAAUGAGAGUAGAUUACACGGGUUACCAGAGAUAGUUAAUUCAACUGGAAUUUUUUUUGCCAAUACGGAGGUUCCUAGUUCGAAUGAUUGCUGAAACAAAAUGUUAUUGGAUGAAUUCCCCUUGAGGGGUUCAUUAUAUUAGAUAGGCUAUAUAAAGCCAAAGUUGUUACACAUAUCACGUUAUACAGUUGAGAUAUUAACGAGAUAGAUACUAGAGAAUGAGAAAUAUUCUCUUAUAUUCUUUCACCCUCCCGCAGUCGAAGCAUCGUAUGGUAAGAUGGUGAGACUGGAGCGGAACUGUUCAAAGAGUGUUGUCAGGAGUCCUUUUGUGAAGAUGUACGCAUAUUGGAGUGAUGUUGGGACGUGUAACACUUUCACUUCACCAAUGGCCACCUUCUCGCGUACGAAAUGGAUAUCCAACUCCACGUGUUUUGUCCUUUGAUGUUUGACGGGGUUAGAAGAGAGGUAUACUAAUCCAAUGUUGUCGCAGUAGAUGAGAGAGGCUUUGGUGAUCUUGUAGUGGAGUUAAAGCAUUAGGUUGCGUAUCCAGCAGAGUUCUGCAACCGUGUUGGCAACACCUCUGUAUUCAGCUUCAGAGCUCGAUCUUGAAACCGUUGGUUGUCUCUUAGCUGACCAGGAGACAAGACUUGGGCCGAGAAAGACACAGAACCCUGAGGUUGAUCUUCGAGUAUCAGGACAACCUCCCCAGUCCGCAUCUGUAUAGGCUGUCAAUGUGUCGAUGUUACCUCUAUAGAGCUGUUGUCCAUGUGAAAUUGUACCCUUGACAUAUCAUAUGAUGCGCUUCAAUGCUUGAAAAUGUGGAACGCGAGGGUCAUGCAUAUAGAGACAAAUUUGAUGGACUGCGUAGGAGAUGUCGGGGCGUGUGAAUGUGAGGUACUGUAAGGCUCCUGCUAAGCUGUGAUAUUCUUUGGGGUUCUCAAGCUUGUCUCCUUCCUCUGCUGAAAGUUUGGAUUUGAUGUCUACGGGCGUGGUGACCGGUUUUGAUGUUCCCAUGUUUGCGCGAUCGAUUAUGUCCUGAGCAUACGCGCUUUGACUGAGGAAGAGGCCUUCUUUGUUGAAGUCCGCCUUUAUUCCUAGGAAGUGCUGAAGACGACCAAGAUCAGUCAUGGGAAAUUCGGUUUUGAGUACCGCAAUGAUCUUGUUUAGGAGUGUCGUUGAUGAUGCUGUUAAGACAAUGUCAUCAACGUAUAACAGAAUGUAUGCGAGUUCAGCUCCUUUCCCGAAAACAAAUAAAGAUGUAUCCGCCCUGCUAAUGACAAAGCUAAGUUUCAUUAGAAAUUUUGCAAAGCGCGCAUUCCAGGCCCGUGGAGCUUGCUUUAGACCAUAGAUAGCCUUUCGAAGCUUGCAGACAUGGUUGGGAUGUUCUUUGCUGACAAAACCUGGCGGCUGAUGCAUGUAGACUGUCUACUCUAGGUCACCAUGGAGGAAGGCGUUUUGUACAUCCAAUUGAUGCAUCGGCCAGUUGUUUGCGACACCCAUGUGGAGUACAGUCCGAAUGGUUGCUGGUUUCACCACCGGGCUAAAGGUUUCGUCGAAGUCAAUACCUGCCUCCAGUGAUUUACCAUUCGCGACUAUACGAGACUUGUGCUUCUUGAGCUUCCCAUUUCCAUCGUAUUUGUGUCUGUGGAGCCACAUUGACCUGAUAAUAUUGACAUUUUUCGGACGUGGUACCAAGUCCCAAGUCCUAGUCUUAAGCAUAGCACCAUAUUCAUCAAACAUUGAUGGGUUCCAGUUUGGGUCGGCUAAGGCUUGGAUAUGGCUCUUUGGUAGGGGCGAUUUGGUAGUGGUAAGAAGAGAAACAAUAGGUUUAGGUUUUGUGAUUCCAGACCGUGCUCUCGUUGUCAUUGGGUGACGAGAUGGAGCCGUCUGAAUGGGGUUAAUGGGUGGGUUGGGUUGUGGUGGCUGAGGCGCAGGUAGAGGUUUGGUAAGUAUGGUUUUGAAAAUGGGUGCGGGUUCAUCUUGAUGGUCAAGAAAGUGAUACUUUGAACCACCAUUUUUUGUUUCUGCAUCAGGGAAUUUGUCCUCAUCAAAGUAGACGUGUCUGGAAAGGAUUAUUUUGUUGGUUUUUAGGUUUAGACAACGGUAACCACGGUGUUGAGAUGGGUAGCCAAGAAAUAGGCAAGGUGUAGAGCGAGGUGAGAGUUUAAAGAGAUGGGAAUGGUUGAGGUUUGGAAAGCAUAAUCAACCAAACACUCUUAAGUGGUCAUAAGUCGGGGUUUGAUGAAAGAGGACAGUAUGUGGUAUUUGGUUUUGGAUUGCUGCAGAAGGAAUGAUGUUGAUGAGAUGAACCGCGACAUGGAGGGCUUCAACCCAAUAACUCGGUGAGAGUUUAGCCUGAGCAAGUAAAGACCGGAUAGCACUGUUGAUCGUGCGGAUCAUGCGUUCGGACUUACCGUUUUGCUGAGACGUAUGGGGAUAGGAAAAUCUAACUUGUAUUCCAUUCUUAUCAAGGUAUUUUCGAAAUUGAAUGUUGUUAAAUUCCUCUCCAUUGUCACAUUGGAAGUUUUUGAUUAAGGCAGAGAAGUGAAGGAAUUUUGAGAAGACCUCACUAUUCUUUCUUAUGGGAUAUACCCAGACAUAAUGAGAGAAUUGAUCCAUGAAUAAAACAUAGUAGCGAACGCCACUUAUGCUUAAUUUAGGAGAGGACCAAACGUCCGAAUGGACGAUUUCAAAAGGGCCGUAGUUUGAGUAGAUGAUUUGUGAAAUGGUAAUUUUGUUUGUUUGGAAAUUAGGCAAGGUUCACACGAAGAUGGAAACAAAGUCUUAUUGAUUUAAUAGAAUUUGAAGAACAAAGGGAAUUUAAAACAGCUUUAUUUGUAUGGCCAAGUCGUUUGUGCCAUAAAAAAGGAGAAGACGCUAAAAGAGCAGCGAAAGAAAUAAAGAUGUAUCCGCCCUGCUAAUGACAAAGCUAAGUUUCAUUAGAAAUUUUGAAAAGCGCGCAUUCCAGGCCCGUGGAACUUGCUUUAGGCCAUAUAUAGCCUUUCGAAGCUUGCAGACAUGGUUGGGAUGUUCUUUGCUGACAAAACCUGGCGGCUGAUGCAUGUAGACUGUCUACUCUAGGUCACCUUGGAGGAAGGCGUUUUGUACAUCCAAUUGAUGUAUCGGCCAGUUGUUUGCGACACCCAUGUGGAGUACAGUCCGAAUGGUUGCUGGUUUCACCACCAGGCUAAAGGUUUCGUCGAAGUCAAUACCUACCUCCAGUGAUUUACCAAUCGCGACUAUACGAGACUUGUGCUUCUUGAGCUUCCCAUUUCCAUCGUAUUUGUGUCUGUGGAGCCACAUUGACCUGAUAAUAUUGACAUUUUUGUAUGACAUAAAAAAGGAGAAGACGCUAAAAGAGAAACGAAAGUUACAGGCGAUUGCGUUUUGAUGGAAGCUGGAACAGAGUACAAAUCGCCUGAGCUCUCACCGCGGAGCAGGGUUUUCUUGGUGAGAAGGUCUUUCACAGAAAAGCCAAAGGGGUCAAAAUCAACAGAACACCAUUUAUCACGAGUAAAUUUGCGAACAGAGAUUAGGUUUUUCACAAUCUGGGGAGUUACCAGAACAUUGGAUAAGGUUAGAGGACGAGUUGGUGUUUUAAGAAGAGAAGAACCAAUAGAGGUUACAGGGAUUUUGGAACCGUUACCCACAAUGAUCGAUUUACCGGUGCUAUUAUUAAGAUUGACGUGAGAGUACUUGCCGAGUUUGUGAUGUGUGUUGUGGCACCGGAGUCCAUGAACCAGUCCGCAAUGAUGUUGUCUGGCAUCGUGUCUGUCGUGUAAGCUUCUCUGAAUGGUUGGAGUUCCGUGAGUUGAGCUUGAUGAUUGUUGUUGAAGAUUGGUCUCGGCGAAGGAGAAGCAGUUGCAUACGGGCCUCGGUUUGUUGGUUGUUGAUUGAAUGGGCUUCAAUUUGCAAGCUGGGCCGGCCAGUUGGUCAUUGGGCCUUGAGUGGACCACAUCUGUGGGGGAGCCCAGUAAUUGAAGUUAGGGCGAGAGUUGUAGUUGCUUCGUCCUCGGUAGCGGUUGCCUCUGCGAUUUCCCCGGUAAUUGUUGGAGUUGUUCCGUGUUUUCUGGUUUCGGCGUGGCUGAGUGUUGUUGCUUUCGUUAGUAGCAGUCAUGGUCGAGGUGGAGGAAGAAGAUGUGUCCUUGUGAACCGGUAGAGGUUGCUUGUGAGCCUUCUUCAAUCGUUCCUCCAUCUCCAGCAUCGAGGUUGCGUUGUCAAACGAAGGGAACAGCUCCUUAUGUUUGAUAACAUUGAUAAUGUUAUCAUAUUUCUCAUUUAGACCAUUUAGCAAGUACAUGACAAGGGUCCUAUCAGAGAUCGGCGCAUCCACAUUGGUGAGAAGACCUGCAAGCGAUUUGAGUUUCUGUGUGUACUCAUGGAUGGUUUGAUCACCUAUUUCAAUUGUGCGUAGGUCGUUGUCGAGCUGUAUGGCCCGUGCCUCCUUGUUGCUGUGAAAUUGAUUUUCGAUGCGUAGCCACACAUCUCGGGCCGUACCGCCGGUUUUGAAGCUUGAUCGGAACAGGGGCUGCGUGAGGGUUCUGUAGAUCCAGAGCUUUACAAGACCGUCUCGUUUUUGCCAGGCAACAUCAGCAUCGUCUUGUGGUUGAGUCGUGCCGUCAAGAUGUCCUAGCACAUCAAAGGCUAAGCAGUGGGGCAUGAAAAGCUCUCUCCAGGCAUCAUAAUUGUGGUCAACCAGAUCAAGUGUGAUCGGGAUAUGGGUUUUGAUAUUUGUAACGCCAAAGGCGCGUUCAUGUGGUUGGGGUUGGGGUUGAGCCAUUUUGCGAAGACAGAAAGAUAUUAGAAAAAAAGUGUGAGAUAAGAGAUAAUAGAGAAGAGUUGGCGUAGAAAAAAUUCAGAUCAUAAGCUAUAGCUCUGAUACCAUGUUAUUGAUGAAUUUUCCUUGAGGGGUUCUGUGAUAACCCGCCCUUCGGGAUUAAAAAAAAAAAAAAAAAAAAAUGAAUGUGGAGCCGAGCAUUUGGGAGUCUAAGUAUCAGGAGGAAUGUUGAGUUUUGAUCACAUAAAACUUGACAUGAUUCGAAGAAAAGAGAAGACUGGUCGAACAUCAACUUGGUGGUCGAACCGCGGGCGGUAAGGAUCGAUCGACAAAUUUCGAAGAACGAGGUGGUCGAAGAAUUGUUUGCGAGGGAACUAUGAGUCGAAUAAGCUGCUCGACCAUAGUUAGAAGAUGUCUUAGAUUGAUCAGACGAAAGUUUUGGAAGCAUAACAUUUUUGGAAGCACGACGUUUCAGAAGCUCGACGUUUUGAAGACCGACGUUUCUUCAUUACGAAGUUUUCUCGGAAAAUCUUCGUAUCAGUAAAAUAUUAUUCUGGAGACAUAAUAAGUUGGAAGCAGGACGGAAAUUAAGCAGGACGGGAAGCAAGCACGACGGGAUCGAAGCACGACGGGGAAAACCCGAAAUUGGGCAAAAACCCUAAUUUCGGUAUUAUGGAAUUCUUCGAGGAAGCCGGAGGCUCGGGAAAUAUUUUUACAGGAUAUCAGAAUUCAUCUGGAGUCUAUUAAAAAUAUUUAGAGCAUCAGAACGGGAGCGGAAAAAUAUUCGGGAUUGAUCGCGGGUCAGAAAUUUGCCGGAAGGGUAAAAAAUCGCGUAAACCGACCGAGAAGCUCGAGGUGGCUCGUUGCAUGGGUUCAGAACGUGGUGUCAAGCAUCUAACAAGCUGAGUGUCUCCAGAAGCUCGAGGUGUCGCCGUGCAUGGAAGCUGUACAUGCAGCCUGACAUGUAGAAGCACGAGGUGGAUCGACCAAGCACGAGGUGUCUCCGCGCAUGCAACCGAAGCAUGCUGAUCGACAUGUGUGUACUGGUGUGGCUUCUUGCAUGCACUCCAGGCAUGCAUCCUGACAUGUGGGAGGAGUGGUGGCGUCCUGCAUGUGUCCUGGACAUGCAGCCUGACAUGUGGAGCACGAGGUGCCGCCGCGCAUGCGUCCGGAGCCAUGCGAAGCGACACACGGGCUGCCACCAACCUGAAGCUGAUUGGCUGGUGUCUCCUAUAAAUACCCCACGACCCCAGCUCAUUUCUUCACAUCCAGACCUGUCCAAACCAAGUUAAAAACGUGAGAGAGAAGUAGAAAAAGAAAGGAAGUGAUUCCGAGCUAUUUCGAGAAUUUUAGAGAGUUUUCGAGGUCAGUUCUCUACUGAUUUCGAGUCAGCGCCUAGGGACGGUUCUGUCCAACUGAAUUCGUCCAGGGCACUCAGUUCCUUUUAUGAUCAAGUGGAGAUGCUGUCCGGAGUUAGUUCAGUUCUACGGGUUCAGAUCAGUCGAAGUUCUGCUCGAUACUCCGCCGGGAAGUCCGAAGAACUGUCCAGAAGCUAAAGGAGGUUCUGUCCGAGUCAAGAUCAGUUUGUCGAGGCCUGUCAGUUUCUUCAUGGUGAAGCCGAGGUUCUUUCCAAGUCAAGAUCAGUCCAAGUCGAGAUCAGUCCAGUCCACUCCAUUCAAGUCGUCCCUUGGGUUUUGGCCAAGUCCUCUCCGAUCAACCAGCUACUUCUCGCCUAGAACACUGUGAGUUGGUUUUGUGUGAAUUCCAUUUGGAAUUUAGGGUAGAUCGAGUAGCAUAUAGAUUGGAAUGAUCAAUCUAUUGAAUGGUAGAGUCCUUAGGGUUAUUUAUUUAUGGAACUGGACUCAGUUUAGCAAGGGCUAAGCUGAGAUGAAUGGAAUUAAGACUGAGUUGAUAACCUGACUAGGACUAGGGCUAGGAUGCAUCAUGUUUUCUAUUCUUGUGUGUUGAUAUGAUUGAGUGCAGGUUCCCGUUAUCUUUAAAGAUAGUGUCGUAGCAGGAGGCCGAACUAUCUGGGUAACGGUUUGAUUGAGUAGAUUGAUUGAGUAGAUUUAAUUAAAUGCUUGCUCGUUUAAUUAAUCUUGUUGAUUGAGGUUAGUCAUCUCUUGGUAAGGGAGUGACUAACUGGUUGAGUUGUUUAGUUUUGGGUUGGAGUCUUGUCCCUUAGGUCUUUCCUAGGGAUAAUUGUGUCGAGUGUGUGUUAUGCCGACAGCAGGUGCGAAACCCGCCCAUGCUAGGCAUGUUUUGGGGUGGACUAGUGUUUCCUCGCCCUCGUAUUCAGCGGGUUCAAGGAAACCCCUUAUUCGCUGGAUCGGGAAGACUCAGAUAGACGGGGUCAUGGCCUAUGGCUGAGUGAUUACACGACGGUGUAAUGUGGCAGUGACCCGAAGGACUGUGGGCUGUCGCGCGGUGACCCGAAGGACUGUGGGCCGCGGUCGGUUGAAAGUUCCUUCUUCUGGCCUUUGUGGUAGGGAGAUAGGAUAUUGCCGAUAGAGAGGAGGAACACGAAGUCACCAGGGCCCAGGUUAGAGUGUUGUGUUAGUGUGUCGUAGAGGGUUAUGGAACCCUCGAGUUAAUGUAGCACCGAUAUACGGUGUUACGAGUAAGAUCGAGUCAUUGGUAGUUACUAUCUUAUUAUUAUUGUGAUUGUGUUUGGUUGUUGAUUGUUUGCUUGCAGGUUCUGACAUUAAGUCCUAAGUCUGGUUUAGGUACCGGAUUAGGCUUGUGUGUAUUUUGUUAGUGUAGGCCUGACGUUGGCCUGUAUGUGUUUGAGGGAUUGCUUGUGAAGGGUGGUGGAUAUUAAAGCUAUGCGGUAUCAUUGGUUGGCCGAUCAUGUUCUUGUUUGAUUGUUGGUCGACCGGCUCAUGAUACUUGUAUAGUCUAAGUGUCUAACACUACAUGAGUACUGAACUCAAGCGUAUAUAUGGUUAACUAGGGAUUGGUUGUUGACUUGUUUAAAUGCAGGUUCCCGUUACUUGAAGUUAGAUUAUGGCAGGAGGCCAAGUCUAACUUAGUAACGGUUUGCUUAGCCUUAGCUUAUAUUGCAUGCUAGGGCUAGAUUGAUUGUUAUUUUGGGUUAUCUGGGUUAGAGUCUAGGUUGCGGGUAGAGGCCGCCAGCUCACUGAGUAAUACUAGAUUACUCAUCCAACUCCGUUGUCCUUUUUGCAGGUCGCUUUAGGUAAGGAUGAUCAGAUAGCUUGGUGCUGGAAGUUAGGACCGCCGGUGUAGAUUUUCAUGCCUUUUGUAAACGGUAUUGUGAAUUGUGUUAUGUUGACUCGAUUUGGCAUUAGGCCGGGCCCAGUCUUGAAUUAUUCAAUGUAUGAAUAUUUCUUAAAUCAAUAAAAGUAAUUGUUUUAUAUGCUCUUCAUGAGUACUCUGAUAUUUGACUAGUCCGGUCUAACACAACGUUAGGUCGUGGUACGGGUUGAAAAGCUUUAGGCCUCGAUCUAACGGAAAACGCUAACUCUAGGUACAGGUUGCAAAGCCUUGUGCCUUGACGCAGCGGGACGUGUUAGUAGACGAACUGGUCGAGGUCGUGGAGUAAAUUUUGUGACUCUGGCCGGAUCGUCCCUAACCCGUCACGUAGCGCUUCCGGACCAUGGUGUUGGGUUGGACGGUCAGUCAUGUUCUUGUUUGAUUGUUGGCUGGCCGGUUGGCCUUUCAUCUCCAACUCUUGGUGUGGGUAGUCCGUCGGUCAUGUUCUUGUUUGAUUGUUGGCCGGUGGGUUGACCUAUGCCUAGGACGGUUUGGGGGUGUUACAGGUUCAUUAUAUUAGAUAUGCUAUAUAAAGCCAAAGUUGUUACACAUAUUACGUUAUACAAUUGAGAUAUUAACGAGAUAGAUACUAGAGAAUUAGGAAUAUUCUUCUAUAUUCUUUCACAAAACUAAUAUCAAAAUGUUGUUAUUUGAAGCAUAAGGUAUUAGGGAAUUUGUGUCCGAACUUUUUGAUAUUAAAAUAAAAAUUCAAGGAUUCAUUUUAUUUUAAUCUUGGAUGCAUGGGAAUCUCACUGUAUUUUGGAAGAGUUGUUUUGCUAUAGGUGUGAGUAUUCGGAUGUUCUAGGAAUUAUUAGAGCUUCAUUAGUAUAAUUGAAAAUGAAUUUGACUAUUGUGUUAAAGAUUUCCGAUUUGAGUCACAAUUGAAACAAAACUAAUACUGAAUUUUGUUUUCGGCAUGAGGGAUUAUAGACUUCGGCCCUGAAAUUACUCGUAUUCAGAAAAAAAAAAAAAUUAUUCCAGAGGUUCAUUUUAUAUUUUAUCUUGGAUGCCUAGAAUCUCAUUGCAGUUUCGUAGAAUUGUUUUGCUGUUUUUGUGAGCUUUUUUCCGUGAGACUAUUCCUCGGUGAAACUAGCGAAUCGCAUGGAACCAGAAAUUCUAAAACAACCUUUAGACUCCAUGUUCAGUAUCGAUGUUAAGCUUUUCAAGUAGAUACCAAAAUAUUUUUUUUAAAUUGUUUUAUCUUGGACUUUAACUAGUAAAUCUGACAACAACAUGCAUCAGUAGUACAUAUGGCAUAGUAAUAACCAUGAUCUCUACACCAAAAAUGGCAGGCGCCUGCUCCUCCACGACGACAUAUUUCUUCGUCGAAACACUGUUUAUCCAUCUCCUUUACUCCAUAACCUGUUUUAUAAAAUAAAUAUUACUGACCCUUAAUCUAGGGGUUUUUGCCAAAACUAACCCACAACUUGAUUUUAACCCCAAACAUAUACCCAAACUUGAAUCAAAUGCAAAAUUAACCUAAAAGCCUAGUGAAAUUACAGUUCAGCCCCUUGUGACCAAACAAAAAAACAGAAGCCAUUUUUACGAAUAUAGCCCUAGUAAAUCGUCUGAGUCGUCUGAGAUGUUGGAAGUCGUAUGGACGACUGAAGUGUAAGUCGUCUGGUACCGGUUUAUUUUAAAAAUAAUUUAUAAAUCUUGUAAAAAAAUAUUUCGAUGCGUGAAAAAUAAAAAUCAAGUAAUUAUAAACAGUUUUAAGUGAUAUAAAUUAAGAUAUGAUAAAAUUGAUUUGUUUUGAAGAUAGAUGAGUGGAAGUAGUGAAUCAUGAAAUACUUUGGUUUAGGAGUUUGGCAAACAUAUGUUGUAGUAUUGUAUGUAUUGUUAGGGUUAGAUUUUGGAAAACUAAAAUGUUUUUUUCAAAAAUUAGUUUUCACCUAUAUGUGUUUAUUUAUGUGUAUAGUAAACACUUUUCAAGUUUGAUUUGAUUUUAUGAAGUCUUUAAUUAGAUAAUUAAGUUUAGGGGUUAUGUUUAGGGUGUGGACGACUUAUAUUUCAGUCGUCUGUUGAAUAAUUUACUCGGACGACGUAUAUUUCAGUCGUCCACAUCGUACCGAACCUUUAAUUUUACCAAUGUACGUUUUAACCUAACCGGAUCAUUUUACUCGGACGACUUACAUUUCAGUCGUCUGGUGAAGAAAUUAAAACAGAUGACUUACAUGUAAGUCGUCCAAAUAUUCCCGCCUAAAAUUUUUUAAAAAAAUUAUUUUCCCGCUUAAAUAAUUUAAACCAGACGACUUACUUGUAAGUCGUCUGGAAAGUCUUCUAUUUUAGUUUCCCGCUAAAAAUAUUUAAUUUCCCGCUAAAAAUAUUAAACUCUUCUGGACGACUUACAUGUAAGUCGUCUGUUUUAAUUUCUUCACCAGACGACUGAAAUGUAAGUCGUCCAGGAAGUCGUCUGAGUAAAAAAUAUUUAAUCUAAUUGGAUUUUUUGUCUCCCUAUAUAAAGAAAAAUUUACACAUUCUCUCUCCUCCUCUCAAAUGGCUGCAACAAAAAUGUAAUGUUCAUCAUUCUAAAACUCUCCAACCUCUCUCUAAUCUCUUUGACUUGAAAACACCAAACUUUAUAUGAAUUUUUCAGUUUUGUCUCAUGUAUUUCUUACUAAUCUAUCUCUUUUACAGGUUUUUAAUCAAAUGGUACUCAUCUUCCAUUAAUUUAAAGGUAAAUCUAUUAAUUUUAGAUAUGUAUUUUUGUGUGUUCUAUAAAUGUAGAUUUAUCUAAUCUUCCACUCAUUUUCUCUAUUUUUAAGUCAUUUGAACGUUUUUGGAUAUGCAGGUUUUUCAGAUCUGGAUUUGAUAUGCAGGUUUUUCAGAUCUGGAAGACUUCUUGGACGACUUACCUGUUAGUCGUCUGGAAGUCGUCUGGACUUCUUGGAAGUCUUCUGACAAAGUCGUCUGGACUUCCAGGAAGUCGUCUGGACUUCCAGGAAGUCGUCUGGACUUCAUGGAAGUCUUCUGACGAAGUCUCCCUUUCAUAAUAGAUCUGAGCGUUUUGGUAAGUUCUUAUGUCUGAUUUUUCUUCAUUUGGUAACUUCUUGUUGUAUAAAGUUCUUACUUUUUUCCCAAACUAAAACUCUCCAAACCCACUCUAAUCUCUUUGACUUGAAAACACCAAACUUUAUAUGAAUUUUCCAGUUUUGUCUCAUGUCUUUCUUACUAAUCUAUCUUUUUUGCAGGUUUUUAAUUAGAUGGUACUCAUCUUCCACUAAUUUAAAGGUAGAUCUAUUAUUUUUAGAUAUGUAUUUUUGUGUGUUCUGUAAAGGUAGAUUUAUCUAAUCUUUCACUCAUUUUUUCUGUUUUUAAGCCAUUUGAACGUUUUUGGAUAUGCAGGUUUUUCAGAUCUGGAUUUAAUAUGCAGGUUUUUCAGAUCUGGAAGACUUCUGGGACGACUUACCUGUUAGUCGUCUGGAAGUCGUCUGGAAGUCGUCUGGACUUCUUGGAAGUCUUCUGACAAAGUCGUCUGGACUUCCUGUAAAGUCGUCUGGACUUCCUGUAAAGUCGUCUGGACUUCCUGUAAAGUCGUCUGGAAGUCGUCUGAACUUCCUAAAAGUCUUCUGACAAAGUCGUCUGAACUUCCUGGAAGUCGUCUGGACUUCUUAGAAGUCGUCUGGACUUCUUAAAAGUCGUGUGGUCUUGUCUACUCAAGUGGAAUCCAAGCUUGUCUUUGUAGAGGAAUGAUCUAUAAUAGUUUUGUUUGUGGUCUGUUUUGUGAAUUGCAUGUAUACUCUUUUAGUUGUGAAUUUUUUGUAAAAUCAGUAAUAAUGUUUUCCAAGAUGUAUUAAAUGUGCUAACAAUGUGUUUACACAUUUACAAAUCAAUGAAAUAAUAGACUUCAGUAGCCUUUUUCUUAUCUUUGGAUCUCUCAUAUGCAAUAAUAAACUCCAAUGGCCUUUUUCUCAUCUUAAUAAACAAGAAUGUUGGUAGCUUUAUAUUGAUACAACAUUUUAAGAAGUAUUUUAACCCUUCUUCCAACUCAUAACAAUAGUCAUCAUUAUUGUCUAUAACAAUAAUACUUAAGAGAUGGAAACAAACAAUAGUAACUAGUCAAAGCAUAUCAUAUUUUUUAUAAGUUUGCAUUGAAAAACUUAGUCAAAUUUAGUAAAACUAAGGGAGAGAACAUAUUUUGUAAAUAUGAGUUUUACAUAUCUUGAAGUUACUUAUCACUCUUAAAAAUACAAGUUAUUCAAAAACUAACGUAGAAGACUUAAAAACUAGCGGAGAAGACGCGGACGACUUCAAUCUAAGUUGUCUAGACGACUAAACUAUAAGUCGUCUGGUCAACGCAGAGGUUAUUUUUGCAAUUGACUUUGAAAUCUGUUAUUUCGGACGACUGAAAAAUAAGUCGUCUACUAUUGUUUGGCUAAAAAAAAAACUCCAAAAAAGCUAGACGACUUACAUUUCAGUCGUCAUAGGUUAGUUUUGCAUUUGACUGGAUUAUUUCAGAAGUUUGACUUUUCUGGACGACUUACAUUUCAGUCGUCUAGUGAAAAUUAAAAUAAUAAUAUUUUUUUAAAAGUAGACGACUUACAGUUAAGUCGUCAUAGGUUAGUUUUGCAAUUGAAAAAAAAAACUUCAAGAUUUAAUUAUAUACAGACGACUUAUAAUUCAGUCGUCCACGAGACGACUGAAAUGUAAGUCGUCCAGGAUUUACGAGGUUUGACCAGAAUCUCGGAAAAAAAUCCUGGACGACUUACAAGUAAGUCGUCUCGUGGACGACUGAAUUAUAAGUCGUCUGUGUAUAAUUAAAUUUUGAAGUUUUUUUUUUCAAUUGCAAAACUAACCUAUGACGACUUAACUGUAAGUCGUCUACUUUUAAAAAAAUAUUAUUAUUUUAAUUUUCGCCAGACGACUGAAAUGUAAGUCGUCUGGGGAAGUCAAACUUCUGAAAUUAUCCAGUCAAAUGCAAAACUAACCUAUGACGACUGAAAUGUAAGUCGUCUAGGUUCUUUGGAAAUUUUUUUGAAACCAAACAAAAACAGACGACUUAACUUUCAGUCGUCUCAGGUUACAGAUUUCAAAGUCAAUUGCAAAAAUAACCUCUGCGUUGACCAGACGACUUCCAGGUAAGUUGUCUACAGCCAGACGACUUCCCAAGUAAGUCAUCUAACGAACAGAUCUGAAAAAAAACUCGAUGUCAUACCUUAAAUUGGUGAGAUAAGUUCCUUAGCAUACAUAAGGCUUCUCCAAGCACACAGAAUCACAAACGAAAGUAACCCACCCAGAAUCGUUAGCUUCUAUGACUCUAUGAACCAUAAAAAAUUUAGAAUCAAAAUCUUGGGUUUUUUUAGUUCAUUGUGGAGAGAAAGUGAGAGAUAUGUUGUGUUUAGUUCACAAGAAUGGAAAAAGAAAAAGGGUAAAUCGAUUUUGGGAGCAUUAAGAGCUUCAAAUUGGUUGUUCAUGGUGGUUGUGGUAUUGAUGACAAUGAUAAUCUUGUAAUUACUUGAAGAUGAUGAGGGUGAGAGAGUAAAAAUGUCGUUUUCGAAAAAAAAAGAAAAAAAAAAUUGAUGGCAUUUUCGUAAAUUAUAUGAACUUGUGGGAUGAAUAGGGCAAAACCAAUUUAAAAAAAAAAGGAGGUUAUUUUUGUGUUUGACUUUAAAUUAUAGGUCAAUUCUGCAAAAAACCCAUCUAUCAAAUCAUAGUUUUUCUUAUCAACUAUUUUUGGACUACCAUUUAAAUUAGAAUGGUCAAACUAAAAUAUGUAUUCUAAUAUUUAACAUAAUCUUAUUUGAUUUUCAAUAUACUAUCUACUAUAUAUAUAUAUGUUAUUAUUGACUGGUAGAGCUAAUUACAAAACAGUACCAAUAUGCUAUAUAAAUUUAUUCAUUAAAAACAGUACAAAAUCUUGUUCCUCUAAGAAAAAAACACUGUACAAAACAUUCUUAGUAAUUAUAAAAUGAAGAGUAACCAAUACCUGGAAUAUUUAUAGCAGUCGGUCGACAAUGAACGGUAGAUACGAUGAAAAGGGCAGUGAAAAGAAAUGCUGCUAAACUUUUUAAGGUGAUAGCCUUUUUUAUAAUAAUCUCCUAACUUUUUUUGUUCUGUUUUGUCUUCUGUAUUUGUAUUGUAUUAUAUAUACAUAUACUAGUAUCAGCUCCCGUGCGUAGCACGGGUGUUAUUUAUUUAUAUAUACAUAUAUAUCCUAAGUAUAUUAUGUGUAAACUUAACAAUGAAGUUGUUGGAUGUUUAUGUCAAAAUUAGAGGGUUAAUUGUUGUCUAUUAUGUUUGGGCUUAGAAUGAUUGCUAUGUGGGCAAUGUGGACAUGUGUCAAUUUUUUUUUUCUAUUUUGGUUUUUGAUUAUUUGUGGUGCACAGUAAUAUAAUGUAUCAUAGUAACUGUUCUAUUUCAUGCUUUGCGUGAUAAUUUAUAUACGUAAUUAAUAUCUUAAAAUGUUUGUUUAAACUCUAUAAGGCUCCAAAGAGUUUAUUAUGUUUUGCUAAUCCAUUCGUGCCUGAUAUCAAACUGGUUGAGUAUGGUUAUAGUUUGGCAAUUUGUUGGAGUUAUAGUUUUGCUGUUUUUUGUUAUGUUUGUAAUGGAUGGGCUCAUGCGGCGACGUGUUAAGUUGUGGUAUGCUAGGUUACGAUGUUAACCUUAGGGUUGUUCAAGGCGAAGUAUUGCUUAACUUCUUUUCUAUUUAGUGUACUUUACCAUUAUUGUGUUUGGGGCAAGCUUGCAUGACUGACUUAUAACAAUAGAGUGUUCUAGCUAAUAGACGGAGUCGAGCAAUUCAUACAACUAUUUCAUUUGUUUUGUUUGUUUGAAGUAAUAGUAAAGAUGAAGCUAUUCUACAAAUCAUAUAUAACUAUGUAUAAUAUUUUUUUAACUUUGGUUAUGAUAGCAAAUAGAAAUAAAAUUUUAAAAUAUGGCCGACUGAGUUUGACAUAAAAACAUGACUUAUAUUUUAUAUAUAUUUGUUUUUCAAAUUAGGUACCUUUUGUGCAUUCUCUUGAAUAUCUUGUUUAGAUGAUACUAUCAACUUUUUUUUUACAAAAAACCUCUUCAACUUAGAUUGACAUCAUGUAAAACUUUGUCACUAUUUAAAAUAGACAUAAUCACUUAAAUAUAUUGUAUUUUAUUAUAUGUAAACACCAAGUACUCCAAUUUAUCUGAAUAAACAAAUAAUUUUUAAUAUAAUUGAUAUUUUAUCAGUUUUUUGAAUAAAACCAUUGACUCUAUUGUAUAUUUUCUUAUUAUAAAUAAAUAAAUAUAUAUGUAUGUAUAUUUUAAAUUUGAUGUUCUCAUUGUGUUUAAUAUAUAUUAUUUAUAAAUACAAAAUAUUUGAAAAUCUUAUUUUGCCAUGAGUUUGGAUUAUAUAACAUUUAAUUAUUCAAUUUAUCUAUUCAAUUAUUAAUUAUAAAAUUUCAUAUUUAAAUUUAAAUUAUAUAAAUAAUAUUUUAUUCAAUACUUAAAUGUAAUAAAAAUAAUUUUAAAAGUUUGAAAUUUUUAUAAAAGCUUACAACAUCAAUACAUAUAGGAACCAAAACACCUCCCCAAAAAGCCUUUUACAAAUGUAAAAAGAUCUAACAUAAUCAAAUCAUGAUAAUGUUAAAUCAGUAUAUAUAUAGAAUAAUAGAACACAUAUAGUAAAAUUCAUUGAAGAAUCUAAAAUUUUAAAUUUAGAUAAUUUUAUAUUUUUUCUUUUAACAUAUUAUCAGUUUUAGAAUUUUUUUGAGAUUUGUUUUUUGAAAAAAAUCAUUUUUUCUUAAAAAAAUUAAAAAAUCCCUUUUCUUUUUUAAAAAAACAUUAUUUGAAAUUCAAAUUUGUUUUGUAACUAUUCAUAAAAUUAUUAUUUUAAAAUUUAAUUAUUAUUAUUAAAAAAAAAUCUAAACUCAAUCAAUCAAAUCUAAACUUUAAGUCUAGAUUAUUUAACCAUUGGAAUAUAGUUUUUUACCUCUUUAAUAAUAUUUAUUUUGGAUAUUUUGACACUUGUGUGCUAUAUUUGUAAUAAAAACUUUUUAGGACUAUCAUAGAAAUUAUUUCAUAUAUUAAAUACAAAAUAAAAUUUUAUAUAUUUAUUAAUUCUUGUAUCCAUCAAAAAUUUAAUUUUUUGAAAUUCCUUUUUUUUGCUCUGGUGAUAGCAGUCUGGAUUCUUGACAUUUUGUUGAUAACAUUUAGAAAGCACUCGCUUACCGAUGGAUGUUAACUUUAGGUGAUAUUUUUUUUUGUAACUUAACUCAGGGUGAGAUUUUAAAAUUCAUUUUUUUUUUUGUAUGGGACCUUUGCUAAGAGAAUAAAUGCUGGCUUUUGGUAAUGAUAUAAAUCUUCACUUCAGAGUUGCAGCUGCUUUAGACAUUUAGAGACGAACUGAGAUUUUUUCAAUUCAAGGUACUAAAAAAGAUUCUCAGUACGAAGCCAUUGAAGAUUUGCAAAGCCUAUUUAUUGGGCGAGAGUGAUUAAAAAUCGAAUCACGGAUCUCCUGAGUCUUGACCUAAAUGUUGAUAGAGAAUCUCCGAGCAAAUCCAGAAUGACAUAAUUGCAAGUAAAACGAAUAUUCUUUUGAUAUUCAAGAAAUCAUAUAUUUAUGGAAUAGUAUAUUUUUAUUAAAAAUAAAAACAAAGAAAAAUGCAAAAGGGUAUAAUAAUGGAAAGUUUUACUUUACGCAGAAACUUUCUCCUCUCUGUUAAUGCUCUCGUCUCUUUAUCUCUACCAUCCUCAAUGCCUCUUUUCUCAAUUUCCUUCAACACCGUCAUCCUCUUCCUCUCGUCCGUCGCCGCCGCUUUCCCCCUCAUACUACGUUUCAGGCGGUUGGCUCUUCCGGAAAGUCUCAUAGGCGAGACUCUAAUCUGAUCGUAGCUUACAAAAUGGAGGAUCAUGGGACUUUCAUCGAGGAGAGAAUUUCCCGGAAUAUGUUUUAAAUACAUUUGGUGAACUGACAAUUUUCUCAGCUGACCCGGAGUCGAACCGAUUUCUUAUUCAGGACAAAGGUAAGCUUUUGGAGUCUUCUUAUAUUGUCUCACUUCAAAUUGUAAGAACCAAACCAUUCCGUAUUCCAUCGCCGGUACUUGGGUUUCAGAGGAUUAUAAUGGUUGAGAGGAAGAAAAUGAUGUGGUGAAUUUCACGAAAGCUUGCUCCAUUAUUUAUAGGUGCAGAUUUGAUACCAAAAGGAGGGGUGUAUAGAAUGUGGCGUAGUGGAAAGGGUGGUUCAAUGAAUGGUAUUGAUGAGAACGUUACUUAUGUUGAUUGAAUGCAAGAGUAAAUUGUUCAGAGGUAAUAGCUUGAACAUCAAUCAACACGAAGAUGACGGUGACUUUGACCAAAAAAAGAAAAAAAAGAAGAUGACGGUGGCUUUACACAGAUUGGGUAUAUGAGAGGUCUGUGAAUUACUUUUGCAAAUCAGGACGGUGUUAGUGAAAUAAAUUUUGGGCCCAAGUAAACCAGGCAGCCCAAUGUGUGUGAGGCCUAUCGAAACAUACAACCUACCCAAUUUUAAAAAGAGCUGACGUGUUGAAAGGAGGUGAGUUUAAUUGAGGAUGUGGCAUCUUAGGUGUCUCUCUAAGGAGAGAAAGAAAGCAUAUAUAUAUAUAUAAAAAUAUGUUUGCCUCUCUCCUAAGCUAUCCACGUGGAAAGUCACUCUCUAACAAGCCGACACGUGUCUCUGGGUUUUAUUUCUUUGGCUGGGUUUGAGUUUAACUCUGGGCUUAUACUAUGAAAGGGUUUUUACUCUUAAAUAUUAGUGAAUGUGUUAAUUAUUUCUUAAUACAUAGUAGAUAAAAUAAUAAAAAAACACACAUUACGAUAUAGACGUUAUAUUAUCAUCAAACCAAUCUUUACUCUAUGUACCUCAUCCUGUGAUAAUUUAUAAAGUAGCAAUGAAUCUAUGAGUUCAGCAAAUCAGAAUUUUAAGUAUAUAAACAGUCAACAGUAGUGUGUUGAAUAUUAUAUUCAUAUGAUUUAAAAGCUUUUACAAAUUUUUAUUUUUAAACACACACCAAAAAGUAAUGUUUGACCAAAAAAACUUAUUUUCCUAAUCAAGGUGGAAUAAAUAUUGAAUAAUAUUUUUUUAAAAAUUAUAUAUACAUAGAAAUAUUUUUAGUGGUAGGGUAUAUUUAUAAUUUCCAAUAUUUGGCCAAAUAAAGAAAAAGGAAACCUGCAUGUAUGUAACCACGAAAAGAAAACUAAUUUAAAUAACUUAAUCAAAACAACAACCACAUACAACUAAACCCGAUGAACGUCCCAACCUCAAAAGAAAGAUAAUAUAAGAGCAAAAAUCCCAAGACAUGACAUAUAAUUUUGUACUAACAUCUUACCAACCAAUUUAAUUUACAUAGUUCAUUCAACAGUAAUCAAAGCAAACAAAUAUCCCUAAUCAAAGCAAAUACUGGUAGCUUCAUAGUCUAUUUAGUAUUCAAAUACAUUAACAUGUACAAUAUUUAACUAAUGUGUAUAUUUUUAUAUGAUACAAAUUUAUAUUAAACAUUCAUUCUAACUGUUUAAAUUGUUUUUUAAUUUUCAUCCUGCCCGUAGGGCGGGCCGGCUCUAGUUAUAUAUAUAAAGAUGUGAAAUUUAUUUUUACUAGUCAGAGUUUUAAAAGGAACAUAAUCUUUCAUUUAAACAUAUGUUGACCAAUCUGCCAUUAAAUCCGGCUUAAAAUAUAUGUUGACCUAAAAUGCACGGAAUGAUUUUUUGACUAAUUCCUUAUAUAUUAAUUGAGAAUCUCUUAAGAAAUUAAAAUAUAAAAUUUGUAUUAAUUAAAAAAAAAUUAUCAUAUGUGGCAGUUGUGUAUGCCUUCUAAAUCCUGUUUAAAAGAAUUCUAGAACACCUUAUAUAAACCAUAGUUUUAAAAUAUAAUGUUGGUCGCAUAUAUAUUUUAAAAUUACAUAAUCUACUAAAUAAAUGAAAAUAUCAACAAUUUACAGAUUUAGAAAUAUUCAUCAUAGAUUUUUUAACAAAUCAAAUUUCCAUAAUUUUAUAUUGAUAUAUUCAACAAUAAAUGUUCACUACUUACUAAAAUGUUGACAAAAUAUCUGAUUAUACCAAAAUUAUUUCAAUAAUUUUAAAAUUAUUUGCAAUAAUAACCAUUUAAAUAUACAAAAAUAAAUAUUUAUAAGUUAUUGAUUGGCAGAGCUGAUUACAAAGCAGUACCAAUAUGCUAUAGAACCAGUAUGGUAUAUAAAGGGGUGUUAGUGAGAAUUAGAUUUAUAUGAGUCUUAAAAUUUUCAAGUCUAGUGUUAGUGGUUUAUAGAUUCUCACAUCUCAUUAAAAUCUAGUGUUAUUGGUUAGAUGAUUCUAUAAUUCUAUACAAAAUUAUUUGUUAUUCAAAAAGUUUAGAUUUUAAUGAUUCUACAAAUCUAUUAAAGUAAGUAUUAUAGGAGUUGAAUUCUUAACAUUUUAACUCACAAAACAAGAUUUUGAAAAUACUACAUGUUUCCUUUGAAUUCUUAGAAUCAUUACAUUACUUUAUUUUCAUAGAUUUUCACAAUAUACAAAUUUCUCUACAAUUCUUUCCAAAUUUAACAAAUCUUUCAACUUUUAAAAUCAACAAAUUCUAUAGAAAUCUAAAUAAUAUACUCUUAUAAAUUUUUUUUUUUGUCAUUGCUCUUAUAAGUGUAUCUACUAAAGUGAUUUGUAAAUCAGUAAAGUAUUCAUAUAUAAAAAUACCAUGUUAAUUAGUACAUAAUAUAUAAUUUUUUUAUUUAUAAUAAUAUAUAUAUAUAUAUAUGUGAGGAUUUUUAUUAAGAAUAAUAAAUCAUAUUUAAUUAUAUUUUAAAUGUGACAUAUUAUUCUUCAAAAAGUUUGAAUUUUUUUAUUUUAUAUUUGAAUAUAAAUAUAACAUGUGAUAUUAUUAAAUGAAAUAAAUUAAUUUAUAUUAAAUCAUUUUAAGUUUGUAUAUAUCCUAAAUACAAUUUAUCUACCAAAAACUUUGUAUGAAAGCAUUGGACAAAGUGCAUUUGAAUCAUCUAAAUGUUAUUCUAAAUACUUUUUAAUAAUUAUUAAUUAGAUAAUAAAGAGUAUAAUGCUUAUGCCAAUACUUUAUCAGUAAAAAUCUAAAAUUUUGACAAAAUAUAUAAUAAACCAAAAAUUAUACAAAUAAUCCUUUGUACUAAUAUUUAUUAAUUUAAUAAAAAUUACAAUAAUAAAUUAUAAUGUUUAUAUGCAAACAAACAUAUAAUAGAUUCAACUUCAAUAAUAUUUUAAUUUUAUCUGAUUAUUUUUAAAUAUAAUCUGCAUUUACCGCAGGUAGUAGACUAGUUACUCAUUAAAAAUAGUAUAAAAUAUUUUUUUUUAAAAUGAAACACAGUACUAAAUCUUUUCUUACUUCUAAAAUAAAGAAUAAACAAAUACCUGGAAUACUUGCAGUAGUCGGUCUACAAUGAACGGAAAAUACAAUUAAGAGAGCAGUAAAAACAAUUGCCACUAAACUUUUUAUGGUGAUAGCCAUUUUUUAUAGUAAUCUCCUAAUCUCUUUGUUCUGUUUUGUCAUUUUUUUGUUUGGAUUAAUUAUAUAUAUAUAGUGAGAAGACCAUUAUAUAUAAUGCUAAAUGUAUUUUAAUGGUCAAGAGUUUUAAAAGGAGCAUAAUCUUUCAUUUAAUAUAUAGAUAGUGACAAAAUCUUCUAAACACUAUUUGAAAAAUGAUUUUAAAUUUUAUUUAUGUGUUAUUACCACAUUUAUUUUGAAAGAAAAGUGAUAACUUAGUUUAGUUAAAAAUGAUAUAGCUCCUCUCUAAUUAUGAUAUGUAUAAAUGUAAUGAUAAAGAUUUUGUUUUUUUGGUAAAUUUCUUAAAAUAAGAUAAUUACAAAAUCUGGCUACAUACCAUAAAUUUUAAUAAUUUUUAUUAUAAUUUUUAAAAUUCUAAACACAAUCCCUAUAAUAUAACUGUAAAUAUAGAAGUUUUUCAACUGUAAAAGAAGUAACUAAUCUCAUAUAAUUAUUUAUACUUUCAUCAAAAUCAAUUAUAUUUUUUUAACAAAUAAGAUAUGACAAUUUUGAUUAAAAUUUAAAAUUUAAGUUAUAUUUGGAUCCAAAUGUAUAUGGAUGAUUAAUCGUGUUUUUAAUCUAUUGAAUUUUUUUUAGAUUUAAAUUUUAUACAAUAAUUGUUAUGUGAUGAUUAUUUGUUUUUUGAGAUAAACAAAAUAAGUAAAGUUUAUGGAUAUAGUAAAUUUAAACAUAAAAAUCUACUCAAAACUAUAGUUUUAAAUAUAUAAAUUUAUGAUAGAGAAAAUUAUUUAUUUUAAUUUAUUUUACUUAACUAAACCGAAAAGUAAAUCAAAUAUUGUUAAGUCAAAUGAAAAUAAAUAAUAAAUAAUUAUUAUGAUUUCAUUUUUAUUUUAAUAUUAUUAAAAUUAAAUUAUAUUUAUAUAUUAUAUAUAAUUAUGUUUAAAAAAAAUUAUUUAUACACAUGAGCAGAAAACCAACUAGUCUGCCAUAAAUCCGGCUUAAAAACAUAUAUUGACCAAAAAUCACUGAAUGAUUUUUUACCUAAUUAAUUUUGAUCAUUUAUGACAUAGAAUUCACUCUCUUGUACAUAUUAAAUACUAUUCAUUUUAUUGGGUUCAGAGUGUUUUUUUUUGUUUACAUAUAGGAAUUGUUACAGAGGUUAGAUUUUUCAUUUAUAAUUGCUGUAUUGUUUGCUAAAAUUUUAGUUUUAUCCACGUUCCAUUAAAUUUAUUAGUUAGUAAAAUCAAUAUCAUCAUAUACUUAAAGAUAAAAAAAAAUCAUUAUCUUUUAAAAAUAUGUAUGAAAAUUCAUAAACAACAUUUACGAUAAAACCUGAGAAGUAUGUGAUUUGUUACCCCAUAUUUAGAUAAAAUUUUGAAACAUAAUUUUGCAAAUUCUAAUGGUUGUAAUUAUGGAGUCUGGUUGCAGGUAGAUGCAGGAUCCGGCCGCAGCGGGGAUGGGAGAGAUCUCUUGAUCAGAUGACCUUGCUUCCACCUCCAUCAACUACCCGAUCACUAACGCUUCUUGGAUGGCAGGCCACACUCUACUAGAUUUGGCAUGAGAGAAAUCAGAGACUGCAUAUGAAUCAAUUCCGUUCUAUCGACUCCCUCUUCAGCCUGAUCGACCAUCAAAUUAGAAACAAGUUUCAGAGCUUCUGUGAAGAAAACCCAAGGCGAUCGUCGUCGAUGAUACAACAAUGGUUCCGGUAGCCACAAUAGGGAUUCCAUCGACGUCUCGGUGAACUUCCUUCCCCACGAUUCCCCUUCUCCUCUUAUUUCUUACUGGGCUUCAUCUCUUUUGGGCUAAUUAACUAAAGUUAUUGGGUUAUUAUUAUAUGAGUUACUGGACUAGUCUCUAUUACUAGGGCUUUUGGGCUACUGUAAAAACAUUUUAUUUCUUUUGCAUUUAAAUUAAGAAAGCCAGUUACAAAAAAAAAAAAAAAAAAAAUUCUAAUGGUUGUAGCUCAAAAAAGAUUAGUUGAUAAAGAGAUGGGACACGAUAGAAGUUUCAGUUGUUGAUUGAUUGAAACAGAACGCCUGUGUCCGGAGACAAGUAACUUAAAAUAAGGCUUUCGGAAUAUUGCGAAAAAUCAGGAGAAACAGUUUAAAAAAAUGAUGUUAUGUUGAGAUUUGCUAUGUUGGUUGCCCCUUUCUGCAUAUUCAAGCAUCUUCUUUAACAGGAUUUCACAUUUCUCUUCUUAACGUCGUCAGAGAGAUCCCCAAGGAACAAAAAAGACCCUGAAGCAGAAGGGCUUGAUGAUACGAUUAAUCAAUCCUCAGAAUAGGUAAACAAAUUUUUUUUUUUUUUUUUUGGUAACUGAAUAAACAAAAAACUUGGUAAUACAAAGUUAUCGCUCGCGAACCAAGGAUACGCAUAUACUAGCUAGUGAACUGCUACACUUUCAAACUUAAAUUGUGAUACAUGUUUGCUUUAUCAUCCUCCUCGGGCUUCUCACUCUUCGUUAUGCAACAAUUGUUUUCAAAGGCGGCAGAAAACACAUGCAUAUAUAUAUCAUCUUCCGACCAGAAACACAUGCAUCUUCUUAUAUACUUUCCUAGACUAAAACACAAUCUCAAGCUUACUUACAUAACUUAACCCAUUAUGUAUUAUUGGUGGUCUCAUAGAAAAGACGCGUUAAGAGAGAGGACGAAUAGCUUUAAAAGUACACAUUCACAGAGGUAAAACAAGCUGGAAAUUAGCCACUAAGGAAUAAAGAAACACAAUGGUGACGACUUUGCAUAUGGAUCUCGUCUCUAAGCUGUAACUCCAAAAAAACACAAUGGUGACGACUUUCUUGAACAUCGCAACAAGAUGAUUCUAUCUUUGCUGUGUGACAGUCUUUUUUGGGUCUUUGCGAUUCAGAAUAGCCUAUGAAUUGUAUGAGAAGUUACCCAGUUAGGAUUUGUGUGCGUUCCACAAAAGCAUGUGCUAGGAUCUGUUUAUAAGUGUAUUUGAGUAAGAUUCUAGGGGUUUCUAUUAUAUUUUGAUGGACGACCCCUGGAAUCUCAUUGCGAUUGGGGAGGGAACUCAAUGUCAUUUAUUCUUUGGUAGUAGAGAACUGAUCUUUCAGAGAAUUGUUUUGCUGUUUCGCGAGUAUUCUUUCUGUGAAACGAGUGAAUCACAUGCACCCAGAAACUCUAAACAACCUUUAUUGAUGUUUGGCUUUUCAAGUAGAUACCAAAAUUUGAUUUUAAAUUGUUGUAUUUUGGACUUUAACUAGUAUUUAAAUUUGACAACAACAUGCCUCAGCAAAACAUCCGCCAUAGUAAUAACCAUGAUCUCUACACCAAUAAAUGCAGUCGCCUACUCCACCACGACAUAUUUCUCCACUGAAACAUUGACGAUCCAUCUGUUUUACUCCAUAGCCUAUUUUAUUAAAUACAAAUUACUAACCCAAUAUGUAUAUAAACUUAUUCAUUAAAAAUAGUACAAAAUCUUGUUCUUUUAAGAAAAAAAACACGGCACAAAAUAUUUUUCGUAAUUAUAAAAAUGAAGAAUAACCGAUACCCAGAAUACUUGUAGUAGUGGUCGACAAUAAAUAGAAGAUAGGAUGAAAAAGGUAGUAUAAACUAUUGAAGCCCAAAGAAAAGCCCAACCUUAUGAUCCAUUAGAAACUUUUAGACUAGGGUUAUAGACUCAUAUAUAUAUGUCGUUAACAUUUCUGAAAUUGUAACCAAGCCUGCCUUUCUAGCAGCCAAACCUUCAUUUUAUGAUUAUCAAUAAACAAUAUAUUUGUGCUUGGUGACAAUAAGUCUUCUUCUCUUCAGUUUCUUAGUCUUUAAAUAAAGCUCUCUGAGCUAUUUCUAUUUCAAUAAAGCUUUACAAAGCUAUAAUCUUUCUAGGUUUCUCAAAUGUUAUCAUGGUAUCAGAGCACCGGGGAGUAGAUCUUGGUGUUAUAUCUUCUACUUGAGCUUCAGCCUAUCUACAAGACCUCUAUGGAGCCAUUAAGUCUUCCAAGACUUUCGUUUGCUUGAUACGAGAUGUCUGUACGAAGAAGAAAGGGUAUUGGGCCAGAUGGGCCAGAGAUAUAACCUGAGAAAGAAACAGUCAUGUCUUCAAAUCCAACCAGCUUAUGUCAGACUCCAUGGACAAAAACUCGGCGGCGACGAAAGCGUUCCUCUGUAGGAACCGUGAUGAAACCGUAACCAACGACGAAAUCACACGUGAAUAGCAAGUCAUCGUACAAAAAAUGUUUAUCAAUGGCUUGGAAUCUGGAAUAGAAUGCUUACACUAUGUCUGGUUUUUGCUAAAGAUGGGUUUAUGGAAGAAAGUUUAUGUUUUUGAUGCGCACCAAGUGUUUGGUACAAUGUCACAGAGAGAUAGAAGAUGAUAGUGACUAAUGAUAAUGAAGCAGAAAGUAAGUAGGAUUGUUUGGUAGAUGUAGAAAGAGAGUUCUUCUUCAUGAGACAGUUUAGGAGAAUGAAAGGGUAUGUGAAACCCAUAUUCUUAGUGAGACAAAUAGGCCACAAAUACCUCUGAGUGAGAUCAACUAAGCUCUUCAAGUUCAAGAGAAACCUCUGAGUAAAGCAAUGUGAUACUUUCCAAGUAUAGGCCUGAAUAGAUCUCACACUUAAUUUGUUUUCCAGAAGAACAACAGCCCUUUGCCUACAUCAAAAGAAUCCUACCGGUCAUCUCAAGUCAUCUUCAUCUGCCCAUCUCAAGUCUUCUUCAUAUGUGCUUUCAAACUUAACGUAACUGCUCCUGCUCCAUCCAAGCUAAGUUUGCGGGAGAGUAUUGAAGCCUAAAGAAAAGCCCAACCUUAUGAUCCAUUAAAAGCUUUUAGACUAGGGUUAUAGACUCAUAUAUAUAUGUCGUUAACAAUUCUGAAAUUGUAACCAAGGAUGCCUUUCUAGCAGCCAAACCUUCAUCUUUAUGAUUAUCAAUAAACAAUGUAUUUGUGCUUGGUGACAAUCUCAAGUCUUCUUCUCUUUAGUUUCUUAGGGCAUCUGCAUCAGUGAACCCCAUAGAAGGGUUUCACAUAGUAUUUUUUUAUUUUUUUUUUCUGUUUGAUUUUUGUUUAAAAAAAAAAAUUAAUUAUUCGGACCAAUCGCGGGCUGCCACGUGCCGUGGGGCCCGCGCUACAGUGAUGACUCGGGUUCAGUGCAGUGACCCUGCAAGAGACAGGUUCACUCCUUUUGUUUAUUUUAAUAUUUUUUUUUCCGAAAACUGUGUGAACUUCCCAUGGAGUUCACUGAUGCAGAUGCUUUUAGUCUUUAAAUAAAGCUCUCUAAGCUAUUUCUAUUUUAAUAAAGCUUUACAAAGCUAUAAUCUUUCUAGGUUUCUCAAAUGUUAUCAUAAACAAAUGCAACUAACUUUUUAUGGUGAUAGUCAUUUUACAAUAAUCUUCUAACUUUUUUGUUCUGUUCUCUUCUUUGUUUGGAUUGGACUAUAUAUAGUGAGACAACUAUAUGUAACGUUUGGUCAAAAAAAAGAAGACAAUUAUACAUGUUUGCUUUAUGCCUUUAUCGUCCUCAUCGAGCUUCUCACUGUUCCGCUGUUCGAUAUGCAACAAUUGUGUUCAAAGGCGGCAGAAAACACAUGCAUAGUCUUCCGACCAGAAACUCUAAAACAACCUUUAGGCUCCAUGUUCAGUGUAGUUCUUAAUCAAAUUUUUUUUUUUUUUUGUUGUUGUAAACUAGUGCAUCACACCGGAGAAGCAUGAAAGACCAAUCCCUUUUUCUUUGACGGCUAAGGUUUUUCGACCGAGAAUAGCUACAAAGAUAUCUCAUGUCAUGGCAACAAUUUAUUAUUUAUAUAACUUUCUUUACGCAUAAUGGAAUGUUGUUAUACUACAAAAAGCAUACUCCAAAUCUAAAAUGAUGUAUACUGUGCAGUAAGUACACUAACCAUUCUUUUCAUUUUUUUUCAAAUUUGUGGUAUAAUUUCACAUGCUUGACUCAACCCAUUAUAUAUUAUCCGUAGUCUCAUAGAAAAGACAUUAAGAUCGCCUAUUCGAUAUGACGACGAAUAGCUUUAAAAGUACACGUCUGUUUGAACCGAAAUCUAUCGAUAAACAAGUAAAAAGAGGGGAUGAGAACUCGUCGGUGGGGAAACAAAGACGUUUAUUAGAUCAAGGAAUCGUUUGAUUGUGUUACAAAAGAGAAAAUAAAUGGUAGAAAGUAAGCCGGCGAAAGCUAGUUCGCCGGAAGGUACAAGUCAACAAGAGUAAGAUAUAAAAUCCUAAUUUAUAGCCGAAAGUAUGUGUAGUGAUUUGCGGAUCCCUUCCUCAUUAUACCUCUCUCUCCUUUUAUAGGCGGUCGCUCGUUAACCUACUCGACCUAAUGGGCUUUUCGUUGAUUGGACCGAGCUGUCGGGCCUUUAUUUCGAGUCGUCGAACUGAUUGCUUUCGGUCGCUCAUCUGAUCGACUAAAAAUAGUCUCGAGUCGAGCCGAGACGGUGACUCGCGAGCCAGCGAGCCGAGUCUUCCUUACGUGGUUAUGAGUCAGGACAGUUAUCUUGUGGGUCUUUUGGAAGGGUCAGGCCCAUACCCAACAACAUCCACAUAGGUAACUUUUUUUUGUGUGUGCACAACACAUUCACAGAGGUAACACAAGCUGGAAAUUAGUCACUGAUUCAGAGAAGGGAAAAGAGGCAGGAUAAACUUGGAUAUGGGGUCAAGAUUGCAGCCCAAUAUAGUACUUUUUUCAUGGUGACAAUGAAAGUGGGCUUUUAAAAGCCCAUUUACCAGCAAAGCGACAAAAUCAUUCCCCAAAAAAAACACAAAGGAUGACGACUCUCUUCAACAUCGAGAAGACGAUUUGAUCGAUUUCGAAGCUCUGAUAUCAAGUUUUUGGUGAUCCCAAGAAUGGCGGGACAGAAUCCAAACAUGGAUCAAUUCGAGGCGUACUUCAAGAGAGCAGAUUUGGACGGAGAUGGUCGGAUCAGUGGAGCCGAAGCUGUUGGCUUUUUCCAAGGAUCUGGCUUGCCCAAGCAAGUUCUCGCCCAGGUUUUUUAAAAAAAAAAAAAAAUACUAUUCUUCGAUUUCUUCAGCUUUCUGAUUGUUUUACAUAGAAAGAUCUGAUUUGGGUUAUCCAAAAACCGCCUUAAAUUUUGGUUAUUUUAUUUGAAUUGAUGCUCUAUUCCGAGAUUCUGAAUAGCCUAUGAACUUGCUUUAAAGGAGCAGCCUUUGCUAGGAUCUGUUGUGUAGAAGUUAUAAUUUUAUGAGAGUAAGAUUCUGAGGGUUCCCUUGCUAGGAUCUCAUUGCUAUUACGGAGAAAACUUAGUGGCAUUUAUUCUUUCAGAUGGUUGUUUUAAAUCUUCUCGUGUGGGAUAUAAGAUUUUUUCCCUUCUUUGGAAAUUUUCUUGGGAGGUUCUGUUAAGUGAUGUUUGCUAUAUAAAGUUGUCUACUGAUCAGUUGUGUUCUGCAUUUGUAGAUAUGGUUGCUUUCUGAUAGGUCACGCAGUGGUUUCCUUGGUCGGCAAGACUUUUAUAAUUCUCUGAGGCUUGUUACAGUUGCACAGAGCAAGAGAGACCUGACACCUGAGAUUGUUAAUGCAGCACUCAAUACUCCUGCCGCCGCCAAAAUACCACCUCCCAAAAUUAAUCUCUCAGCUAUUCCUGCACCUCAACCUAAUCCUGCUGCUACCGCAGCUCGUCCGGUUGGCUCAACAGGUCAUCAGAAUGUGGGGUUUAGAGGACCAGGGGCUCCAAAUGCGAAUGCCAACCAGAAUUAUUUUCCACCUCAACAAAACCAGCAAGUGAGACCAAAUCAAGUUGUCUCUGGGAUGACUUCGCUUAGACCAACUGCUGCUGGUCCAGAACAUAGACCAAAUGCCUUACCAGGUCAAUUUCAACCAGUUCCUGUUGGUAGUGUUAGUCCUCCUCCUCAGGCUGUUCCCACCAGUGCACCUGGUCCUGGUAGUUCACCGUUUAAUCUUAAUAACUUGUAUGCUGGAAACACCAGCGGAUACUCGUCAGGAUUUGGAGGGGGCAGCUUAGUAGCACCUUCUCCUGGAUUAAAACCAGAGUCACAGAUUGAUCCGAGAGCGCUGGUUGUAUCUGGAAAUGGAGGUGACAUGUUUUCCUCGUUCCAGCAAAAACAAGAACCCACUCUGAGUAAUUCUUCAAUCAGUUCAGCUAUUGUUCCUGCUUCUGCUGGAACUCAACCUCCAGUAAAGCCUAAUGCUCUCGACUCCCUACAGAAUACGUUCUCGAUGCUGCCUUCUGGAAAUCAGCCUCAGCAGCCAAGGCCAGCAGCAAGCUCACAGCAGCCAAGGCCUGCAUUUAGCUCACAGCCGCCUGUAGUGUCUUCUCAAGGUCCAUCCUCUGGUUUGCCGCAUGCAAGUGCAGUUGGAUCUGGCCAUUCAGUUCCUGCUGGAAAUAAUCAGCCUCCGUGGCCAAAAAUGAAGCCGUCCGAUGUCCAAAAGUACACAAAGGUAUUUGUUGGAGUUGAUACUGACAAGGAUGGAAAAAUAACUGGUGAGCAGGCAAGGAAUCUGUUUUUAAGCUGGAGGCUACCCAGGGGUAAAUGCUCUUCUAUCUUUCAGUCUACUUUACAUAAAGAAUUUAAUUUUCCGUUCAACUGUCAUCUCUCUUGAAAUUAGAUGCAUUGAAGAAUCUUUCUAAAUUUUCUUCUCGUUGUCUUAUGUUAAAUUUAUUUGCUACUCUAAGCUUAUGUUUCUUGAAUAAAUAUCUGGAAGUUAUUAUGCUAUGAACUGCUUAAGUUAACAUAUUCUUUUUGAUCGCAUCCAGAGGUAUUGAAGCAUGUGUGGGAGUUAUCUGAUCAGGAUAAUGAUACUAUGCUUUCCCUGAGGGAGUUCUGCAUUUCAUUGUAUUUGAUGGAGCGGUAUAGAGAAGGCCGUCCUCUCCCAACAUCACUUCCAAGCAGCAUCAUGUAUGAUGAGACACUGUUAUCUAUCUCAGGUGCACCUAGUCAUGGUUAUGCAAAUGCUGGAUGGGGAUCUGGUCAAGGUAUUGCUCAGGUUUCAUGCAUUUUAGUAAUCUUCUCCCUUUCCCUUAUACUGUACUUCGUUAUAAGUAAAAUUUCUGUAUUGCAAGGUUUUGUACAGCAGCCUGUGAUGGGUCCGCGGCCAGUCACUCAGACUGGCACGAGACCACCAGUUCCUGCACCAGUCCCUCACCCUGGCAGUGGUAUAGGACCUAAUCAGCAAAGGAAUCAAGCGCCAGCUUUGGAUGAUCCUUUUGCAAGUCACCUUGGUAACGGGCAUUCUGCGAGCUCAAAUCUUCAAGAAACAGCAACUGAUGGGGAAAAGGUAAUCAUUUGCAUUUUCAUCUUAAUUACGAAGCCUAAAAAAGCAUUUUCAAAGCUUGGAUAAGUUACUAUUCCCUGUGCAUUUUCUUGGAUGCUUGUGAAACAAUUGUUUCAAAUCUCUGUAGGUUGAAGAAAAGAAAAAUGCAUAUAUGGACUCCAGGGAGAAGCUUGAAUAUUACCGAACGAAAAUGCAGGAUAUUGUGAGUACUCCAUUAUAAAUUACUCUUGUUAUUUGGUUAGAAGUAGUGGUGAUUAUCUUUCUCAUGAUGUCAUUUUCUAGAGCAAGGUUCUUGUGAGAUCCAGUUCUUCUAAUGCCAUUUUUUUUUUGUAUUUUUCCUCUCUCUAUGUCAGGUCUUGUACAAAAGCAGGUGCGACAAUAGAUUAAAUGAGAUCUCUGAAAGGGCUUCAGCUGACAAGCGUGAGGUGCUUUUCAUGUAAAUAAUUACUUUUCUCAUUUCUUAGAGGCGAUCUCUGUCUUAUUCCAAGAACAAUUUCUACUGCAGGCUGAAACGUUGGCAAAGAAGUACGAGGAGAAGUAUAAGCAGGUUGCAGAAUUAGGGUCAAAAUUAACUAUUGAAGAGGCCAGGUUCCGCGAGAUUGAGGUAUGGCUAAUUCAUUUUGGCUGGCACAUAAAGUGGCAACACCUAAUGUACAUUCCAGCCAUAUAUUUUUCUUCAUUUCUUCCAUGUGCUUUUUCCUCCGAUAUCAGGCUUCUCGUUUUACCAAACAGUUAACGCUGUGGUGAUAGGGCUUUGGUUAAUGUUGUAAUAGAUCUCUCACGGAAUUUUGUUAACCCAUUCCAGGGGAGGAAGAUGGAAUUGAGUCAAGCAAUUGUGAACAUGGAGCAAGGUGGCAGUGCUGAUGGUCUACUUCAGGUACAUGGUCUCUAUGUUUAUGUGAUGCCUACCCUAUUGAUUAUCUUUUGUGCAUGCCUGAUUGAUGCUUUAAUGGGCAUAUUUAGGUCCGGGCUGACAGGAUACAAUCAGAUCUAGAGGAGCUGAUGAAGGCCUUAACUGAACGCUGCAAGAAACAUGGGUUGGAGGUUAAGUCGAAGGCCCUUGUAGACCUCCCAGCUGGUACUAUAUAUGAUUCUUUCGCCUUGUAACUUCUUGCUUUCACUGCAGAUGAAUGCAAAUUACAUGCAUUUUGUAUAUAAACAAAUCAUUUGGAAACUGACUGUGUUGUGACUUACAGGCUGGCAACCUGGACUUCAAGAAGGGGCAGCUCUUUGGGAUGAAGAAUGGGAUAAGUUUGAAGAUGAAGGUACAAUUGGAAACUGUUUUUCUUUUCUAUUACUUAUACAAUUAGAUAUCUAUUGCUAAGUACAUAAUCUUCCUAUUGUUAGGAUUUGGCAAUGAGAUUACUUUUGACAAAUCAAAAGAGCAAAACUCGUCUGGCGAGAAGGAAAACGGAACGGUGGAUGAUGGUAGUGGACCACCUGAUUCACCAACUCAUUUGGACGAGAAUUAUGGACCUUUUUCAGAAACCUCAGACCGCCACCAUGAGAGUGAAGAUGAUUCAGGCAGAAGUCCUAGGGACAGUCCUGUCUCUAGGACUGGUGAUACUGAGAUCCCUUCUCCAGAUUCUCAUGGAAAAAAUUCUGAGUUCUUUGAUGACUCGAAUUGGGCAAGUGCAUUUGACACUAACGAUGAUGUGGACUCAGUCUGGGGUUUUGAUGCAUCAAAAAGCCAGGUUAGUUCACAUAAUCCAUUCCAUAGUGUCUAUUCAAUAAUCACAAGUGAAUAUAUUCAUCCACAUUCUUCCGAGCUUAGGAUUAUAGUAUUGUCAUUCUCAGGAUGGAGAUUACUUUGGAUCUGGUGGCGAUUUUGGUGGAAACUCAGCGAGAGCAGAUUCUCCAACUUCAAGAAGUUUCGGCGGUCAGAGAAAGAGCACAUAUGCAUUUGAUGAUUCAGUUCCCAGCACUCCACUCUCGAGAUUCGGCAACUCUCCUCCUCGGUUCAGCGACGCAUCAGCCAGAGACAGCAACUUUGAUAGCUUCUCCAGAUUCGACUCCUUCAACACCAGUGAAGCUGGCGCCGGUUUUUCCUCCUCCCAGCCUGAGAGACUGUCUCGGUUUGAUUCCAUCAACAGCUCAAAAGACUUUGGUGGAGCUGCUUUCUCGAGGUUCGAUUCAAUCAACAGUAGCAGAGACUUUGGUGGUCCCUCGCUUUCAAGAUUCGACUCCAUGAAUAGCACAAAGGAUCAUGGAUACUCGUUUGAUGACGCAGACCCGUUUGGUUCCACAGGUCCCUUCAAAGUCUCCUCUGAUGAUCAAAGCCCCAAGAAAAAGUCAGAUAACUGGAAUUCCUUCUAGCCACAAUAUAUGAUUAUAUUAUCUUUUUUUUUCUCUCUCCCAUAUUUUCUUGAUGAACUUGUGAUUGUUUCAUAAAAAAAAAUUAUAAUUUUUUUUUCGCCACAAAUUCUGGUUUUUGGAUGAGACAAUAGCGUUAGACUAUUUGUAAUUUGUAAAGUCUUUCUUUGUAUUGGUCUCUGUUAUGUUCUUGUGAAUUCAUUUGGUUUAUGUCAUAAAAAACAUUUGCUACUUUCGUCGUGGAAAACUUCUUCAAUAUUCCGAGUCUCGUCUCCAAAAUAUUUUGAUCUUUCAUUAGCCCAAUGUCUGUAACGAAUCAAAACAGAUACAGUGAGUAUGUGAUUUGUUUACAUUCUAUCACUCUCUUUGAGGUCGGCUCCACUCCUGCUUCCGCUGACCAUUGAGCGCAUUUCAGGGGCAGCCUUUACUUCUUUGUGAUGUGCUCAAAGGCAGCUAGCAUAGAUGACCGUGUGUUGGCUAUUUCCACAAGAGCUGUCCUAAUGCAAAGAGAAAGAUGGAUAUUUGUUUCAGCUGAAACUUGGAAUCUUUUUAUUUAUCUGUGAGUAUACUACUUGUGGUGGUGAUGAAUGUUUACCUGUCUCAAAUGAUAGUUGAGCGCCACGCAGCGUAGGCGAGACUAGACCUCCAAAUACCCCGACAGAGACUUGGCUCGUUCUCUCUUAAUCUGGUUAUUAAGUAACACAUCCAGAUUAGUAAAACCCAUGUUCUAUAACCCAGUCAGUUGCUUAAGGCAGAGUCAGCUCAUUAUAUCAGUGAAGCAGAUUCAUAUAAACGAAACCUGUUCCCAGAUUCAGUCCUAAAUGUUAAUUAAACGCGAAAGCAAAAACAUCUAACAACAGAAACUGUAGCCUAACUGAUACAAGUGUAGAUUUUCCAUGAAUCUCCCGAGCUAGUGAUACAAUUUCAUACUUGUAUACAAUGUUAAAAUAUGUUUUGGUCUUUUGGAAGAUUUCGAGCAAACUAUUUAAUAACUUUUUAGCUAUGUCCAACUAUAAUAAAGUCAUAUUCCUCUUGUGGUAGAGAUAGAUAAAAGAAAAAAAAAUGGUGAGCGUGCAAUAAACAAAGACGAGAAGAACCAUGCAACAACAACAAUAAGCGCGACUUUAACUAUUAAACUUUCAAAGAACCAUAACGACUAGUUCCAUGCAUACGACUUCACUCUUCUUCUUUUGUUGAUUCUCUCCACGUUAAUUAACUUGUAAGAAGAAUAAGAAGAUUGCAACUCCAUCUUCAGUGUGGUAUCAUCUUCAUUCAACAAUCUUUUUCCAACUCCCGUUUUCUUUUUCUGAGCAUAUGCUGAGAUUGUAUCAAUAACUCUCAUGAUCAUACCUAGACCGGACUUACCUUUAUCAUCAAUCAGAUCCACCUUCAUGAGCUCCACGUUCUCAUCUACUUCCAUCGCAGCGGGAAAAGAAGACGGUGUAGACUCGUAACAGUCUGGACUAAUACUAUCGCACCUCUUUGGAAUCGAACCCUUGAGGUUGGAUUUGAAAUAAGGAUCGUUGGAUAUGUGGGAGUUGAUAGAUUUGUCCACACAUUGCAUUAUCGCCAGAGAUUUGUCAUUCAGUUUGAAGAGAAUCUCCUCGAGGAGAUGAAAAGGUAAGCUAUCCAUGAUCCAAUUGUAGAGAGAGGAAGAUGUUAGAAGAAAAGUAUAGAGGAAGAUGUAUGUUAAUGAUUUUUAUAGUGCGUAUAUAAUUUAUAAAGACAUGGUUAAUCCUAACCAAAUAAGGAAAUUAAGUUGGUGUUUCAGAAAACAACAAAGGAAAGAUAUUAUGUUUUAUUACAUUGUUUCCAAAAUAGUUAAAGACUUCGAAAACGACAGCGUUUCAUAAUUAUCAGUCGGGGGUAUAAAUGUCAUUUCAAGUAGUGAGGAGUUAAGAUAUGGAUAUAUGGAGGGCUCUCUCGAGUUUGGUUUUGUGGCAUCUCUCUCUCUCUCGCUCUCGCUCUCGCUCUGUGUCAAUGGCUACCAUUAGUAGCUUACACAUGUGUGCAUCCGAUCAUCGCUCCCGUCUUCCUCGAAUCUGUGAGACAGAUCAACCACGAGCCACAAACCAAAUCGUCACCUUUUCGUCUCCUAUUUCCAGAAGAGACGCGAAUCUUGUACUCCUCGGCUCGCUGCCGUUGACGAGCUUCGUCGUUCUACCGCCGAGUUCAUCGGAGGCGAGAGAGAGACGGAGCAGAAAAGUUAUCCCUCUCGAGGAGUAUUCCACUAGCCGUUAAGUCCCUCCCUCGCCCUCUUCUUACCACUAUCGGUUCGUAACAAUUCAGAGACUUGAAAAAACAGAGUCCAAACCAACAAAUUCUCUGAUAAAUCAAUUGGGUAUCGAGAUUUUGACAAUUUAUUGAUUAAAAGGAACUUGCUUUACUUGUGGGAGCAGUUUCUGGAUACUGAAGUUACUGUUUACUCUGUUUCUUGCAGCUGAAGGGUUGAAGUACUAUGACAUUGAGGAAGGUAAAGGUCCAGUAGCCACAAUAGGAUCUACUGCUCAGGUUGAGAUAAACCCCUCUUGAUUACACUAUAUAUCUAAUUUCAAAGUCCUCGCCUUUACAUUGUAAUGAGCCUAGCCUGUCUUUAGGUGCAUUUUGAUUGCCGGUACAGAAGCAUAACUGCAAUCUCCACCAGAGAGUCCAAGCUCUUGGCUGGGAACCGUAGUAUCGCUCAGGUUUACUACCUAUCAAAGUUUUCUUCUCCUUGAUGGUGGGUGUCGCUUACUUUCUUUUUUUUGGACAGCCUUAUGAGUUCAAGGUGGGAUCUACGCCAGGGAAGGAAAGGAAACGAGAGUUUGUGGAUAAUCCAAACGGGUUGUUCUCUGCGCAGGCUGCACCAAAGCCUCCUCCAGCAAUGUAUUUCAUAACUGAAGGAAUGAAAGUCGGUGGCAAGGUUAGAAAAACACAGCUCAACUCUUUUGCUUUCUAACACUUGCCUUGCAAUGUGUCUAAGUAGUAGUGUUUGGUCUUGCAGAGAACUGUGAUUGUUACUCCUGAAUCUGGUUAUGGUCAGAAAGGAAUGAACGAGAUACCGGUGAGAACCUACAAAUUGUACAUGAGGAAAGCUCCUUUUUAAUGUGUGGUUUAAUGUUUCUGGUUAAAUAGAGAAAAACAAAACAUGUAUGUUUGUUUUGUUGCAGCCUGGAGCUACAUUUGAGUUAAACAUAGAGCUGCUUCAGGUGACUCCCCCUGAAGAGAAAGAGAAGUGAACAAGAUUCUUCUGAUAAGAGAAGUUUGAAGUUUUCACAAGCAUGACCCAACAUUUGUUUUAAGAAGAUACUGUCUAAAGAUACAUUCGAGAAGAGAAACUAGAGAGAAAAAAAAAGAAUGUAAAUUUUCGACUCCGGUACACUAAAUAACCGGUAUUGUUUGUUGGAGCAGCUGUUAAAAAGUAGCUUGCUCUUACGUGGCAGCUUCUUAUUGGCUCAAAGGUGUUGAUAGACUCCGAAUGUGGUGUGGUCACUAAUUAAACCAAAAAUACCGAAAUGGUAUCAAACCGAAUGUUGUGAACCGUAACUUUGUAAACCGAACCGAACCGAACCUGAUGAUAAGCCAACCAGCGACUAGGUAGGAGGAAUCUAGUAGUUGGUGGUUCCGCAAAAGUGCCUUUGGUUCCCAAGAAAAUCUAGUGAAAGAGAAAGAGAAGAUGGAGACUUCUCUGAGGUAUUCAGCAAACUCCAGGUCUCUGAGAAUCCAUGCCAAAGAGAAGCUCUCGGUUUACUCCAAAACUCAUUUGCAGGUAGCUCUCUAGCUUCCUCCGUCUCCUUCGAGUUAGUGUUUCAGCACUGUUCUUCUCAAAGCUUUGUAAUUUCUUGCUUGAGUGGCCUCUUAGUUUCUUUCCUGGUCAAAAGCCUCUUGCUUGAUAUUUAAAGGUUAAAACUUUGAGGGUUUGCUUAUACUCUGCGUCUAAGAAAUUGCAAUCAAGGGUUAUGGAGAUGGCUGAUGAGGCGCGGACAAGUAAUAGACAGGCUUUUAGAAUCUUUACUAGAUGUGCUUCAAAGUCUCUAGCUUUUUAUGCUCGAAGGGGAAUAGAAGAUCUCUGUUUUAGGAAGAUUUGGUCUUAAGACUGAUUUGGCUAAGAUUGUUUCUCUUCUUACAUCCUUUGUUUAUUGUUUGAUAGCUUCAUGGGGAGCUAGAUACACGGGCUGGAUCGCCAAGUUACUUCUGUGCGAUGAUAAGACACUUUUUCCAUGAGGUUUUCUGCCAUCUCAAAAAAAUUGUGUUUCUUCUCUUUGUACCUUUCUUACAACCAUUUUUCCAAUGCUAUGAUAGGCUUCGACAAACAUUGGAGUAGGCUUGCAUUACGAUAAAAGCCAAAAGCUUCGGGGUUUUGUACGUGGGAAAAAGAAGUUCCCUGUGAGAACCGAUGCGCUUCUAACCUUUAAUAUCAAAGGAAGAUGUGAUUUUGACCAGGAGUUUAAUCAGGUUCACCUUCUUUGUUUUUCUUCUUCUUCUCAUACUACAAGAAAUUUCUUUAUCAGUUAUGUUUGAGGUUUUGUGACUUUGCGCUGACAGAGGAACCCAAAAGGAGCUGCUGAAUUUGAUUUGAACAUAUGGAAGUUUGAGAAAGAUCAGGACUUACGCCUCAGAGUUGGCUACGAGAUGUUUGACAAGGUACUCUACAACAAUUUACUCUUGAGCUCACUGUUUGAAAGUUAUAAGCUUUUGGCCUCAUGAUGCAAUUGCUCUCUUUCGAUGAUUGAAACAAUGCGUCCCGUCCCCCUUCUCUUUCGUACAGGUCCCAUACAUGCAGAUUAGAGAAAACAAUUGGACUCUCAACACCAACUUGAAAGGAAAAUGGAAUGUGAGGUUUGAUCUUUAAGGAGGGAAACAUGAACAGAACACACAUUAAAGGAAAGAUUACAUUCUAUACUUGAUCGUUUUGAGAGAAAUGUAUUACUGAUUGAGUUAUUCUUGGGUUCACCCCCUAGGCUGAACCUAACCAAUAGGAUUUCAUUAUUUCAAAUUUAAUAUCUUUUAAAAUAGGAAACAAAAUAUUGUCAAGUUAUAUUACUUUUUAAAAUAAAAAAAAGUAAAACAAAAUAGUAUUUACAUAAUUUUUUUUUUCCAUCAAACACUAAACCCUAAAUCCUAAUCACUAAACUCUAAAUCCUAAUCCCUAAACCCUUGGGUAAACCCUAAAUCCUUUGAUAAAUCCUAAAUUUUAAAUAAAAAAACACUAAAACUCUAAACUCUAAAUCCUAAACCUUAAACACUUUUGUGUUUUAGUGUUUAAUGAUUUUGAUUUAGAGUUUAGGAUUUAUCCAAGGGUUUAGGGUUUAGUAUUUAGGGUUUAGGAUUAUGAUUUAGGGUUUAGUGUUUUGCUGACGACGUUAAAAAUAUAUUUUUUGUAAUUAGUAUUAUUUUUUUAUUUUUUUUACCUUUUAAUUUAAAAAACAUAAUAUAAUUUGACAAUAUUUUGUUUUCUUUUCUAAAAGAUAUCGAAUAUGAAAUAACACAAUUCUAUUGGUCGGUGAACCUCGCUUUUGUUUAACCAAAUGUUAGCAAAUCUACAUAUCUUUUAAUUUGUUAUCACUUAUCAAUCACUUUUUACUCUUGCGACCAUAAGUGGAGAUAGAAUCCGUAUCUACCAGGUUGGACUGGACUGCCUGUGUUCUUAAAACUCACUUGGUUUCCUUAGUAGUUAUUAUGGAUCUCCUUUACUUUUUGGUAAAGUUGUAGUUAAUCGGAAAUUACAUACCACAACUAAACCAGAACAAACCAAUCUGAAACCGAGAUACACAAUUCAAUUUGGAAACCAAAGAAAUCCAAGGACGCUGUCAUGGACUCAUGGUUCACAAACCAAACAUCAGAGAUCUGGUUAUCUCAGACCGAUAUAGUUAGGUAACUUUGUAACGGUUUUGGUUGACUUUGAGAUCGGGAUGCGGCUAUUAUGAGCCAUGAACAUCACCAUCCAUCGGUAUCAAAACGACAAUACAGUCCCACAUACAAAGGUGAAGAAGAAGAUCUUUAUAGAUUUGCUUCUGAUGGUCUUAAAUCAAAGAUCAUGCAUUAACAAUCACAACGACCAAGAAUCUCUAAAAUUAUAGUUUUCAACAUCAACAGUAGAUGAAUAAACAUUGACAAAAAAAAACCACACUUUAUAAAAUUCCAACAUAGUCGGGUCUAUUAACUUGGCUGAUAGCCUGUAGUUAUUUAAUGUUUUCAAAAAAAAAAACCAUAAACAAAAAUGAUUUAGACAUUUAUCGUGGAAAGUAAGAUCAAGAUUAGUCUUUAGACGACGUGGGAAAUUGCCAGUGUCAUUGUCAUGAACCAAAGAUGUGGCAUAUAGCAAUCUCGUGCCCACAAUUGACAUGAGUUUAGUCAAUUUCAAUACAUUUUCCUCGAGGCUGCAUCAUUUUCAAACUCGCAAUUGAUUAAUUAGUGGAGGAAACUUCGUUCCUCCUCGCUUUGACUAUAUAUAUAUAGUAGAAACUAGUAAUGGAAGAAUGAUUAUAUAUAGACUUACCAUAAUUUUAAUUUAUAUGGUCUGAAAAAGGGUAUCUAUAGUGACAUGUUUAGAUGUGAUCGUCCUAUUAAUUAUCCUAAAAUUUAUAAAUUUAACGAGAAAGAUAGAGCAUGUGUGGAGAAAGAAGAAAUGGGCGGUGAGAAAACAGGAAGUGGAGAGUGCACUGAGAAUGGAAAGAGUCAACCAGAAAAUUAAUACCUGUUUUAAUUUUCUCUAGAUUUACUAUAUUUAGAAACUCCUAAUUUCACACGUUUCCUCCUCGCAUACCUCUCUUAGCAAUUGGCAUGCAUUAUCUAAUGUGUUGGUAUCCUUCUUUAAAAAAAAUUUCCCGGUGGGAGUCCCGUUGGUCCAAUGGAUUGACUAAUGGUUCAUUAACGUUUUUACACCAAGAGGUCUAGGUUUCGAUUCCCAAUGAAAAGAAAAUUAUGUGAAUUAAUGGAGAAAAAACUUACAAAAGAUCAACAACAUGACGCAAGGAAAACCGUCAAGCGUGGAUUCCAUAAAACAGUUCAGGUGAUACAGUUAAACGUGAAUCUUCGCAAGACAAGUAGAAAUAAUUAUCGAGCGUUAAAAAAAAAUUAUGAGAAGGUCAAGGUUAUAUAUUGUCUCUUAAUUAACUCGUAUAGAUUACCUUAGAGAUAGUCAUUAGCAAUAGUACUCUUGUUAUCAGAUAAUUUUUUGUAAGCUACAAAUGUGUAUCGCAUUUUUAGGUGCUCCAACUGUUUCUAUUCUUCAGCAAGAUUUUAAUAAAUAGGUACUAAAAUUCUAAGUGAUAACAAAUAAUUAUAUGCAUAAGAUCUAAACUGGAAAUCUUUUAAUGAAAGUUUGACAAGUGUCUCUCAAACUUUCUUCACCAAAUCGUUGAGUGCUACAUCUGCUAUUUUGAAGUUAGUUAGGUAUCAUCAUCGUUGGGAAAAAGUUUUAAAAGACCCAGUAUGCACUGACAAGUAACACGAGAACGACCAUAUAUUCGGCUGAUUCUGGCUACCAUCCUCCACAUAGUUUUGUUAUUUUUAUUCAAAAACGUCUAGAACAGAAAAUCUAUAGCUCAAAUCAUGCAAAACUUGGAAUAACGUCAGUAGUACAUAUUCAUAUAUAAUAUGUUACCUGUACAUUAAAUUACGCAAAACUUGGUUUAUCGAAAGGGACUAUAUACACUUAGUAACAAAAAAAAGAGGACUAUAUACACUUAAAUAUGUUACCUGUACAUUAAAUUACGCAAUCUUGAAUACUACGUCAUUGUUAUAAAUUAAGGAAGAUGAAAGGAUUUGAAUCUGUAUAUUAUUCAUUCACAGAGGUUCUUUUAUAUAUAAGAAUAGACCGUCAUAGAUAAAUAAAAAUUCAUAGUAAUAUGGAAAUCCUAAACAUACUAUGAAAAAAAAAAACCUAAGUACAUAAGUAAAAAGAAAGUCGGUCAAGUAUAAUGGAAAGCUUCCAGUCUCAUUUGGACAUGUGGUACGGGCCGGAUGGGCCGGUUCUAGUUGGACUGGAUCAGGCCGGUUAUGGUUCGUCCACAUAAGGAUUUAUAACACUCCCCCUUGGACGUCAUAACCAUUCAGGGUUCGUAAUGUGCUUUAUGUUGCCUCAAUAAAACCUUUUCAGGAAAACCCAAUGGGACAAAACCAUGGAUAAGGAAAAAGAGUACAACACACACACUACUCCCCCUAAUUUGAACCUUCCUGAAUGUUGAUUUUGAAAUAGCUCUUGCUGAAUUGUAACUUGAACGUAAUGCUUGAAAUUCUCAUGUCUUCUGGAAACUCGUGUGUGCAUGGACAAAACGUGAAUCUUUGCUGUCGACCACUCUAUACUUUUGGUCGGACAGAUCUCGACUAAACAUACUCAUUGACAAUAUAGACUGAGCAUGGUACCAUGAACUUGUAAUUUCAGGUCGUAAACCUAUGUUCUGGUGCAUCUUCUCCACACGGAUGUAUAUCAACCAUAUGCACCAAUAUCUUGUCCAUUACAGUUGAUCUUUCUUUAUUAUCAUCAGUCAUACUCUAAUCUGAUCGAUCCAUGUUGAGUCAUAGACCUCGUUUAUACAUGUCCAUAACUUGUCUCAUGAGUGUCUAAGAUCAUGACGUGGUCAAUGAUCAUUGCUGCAAUGAGUUUCACAAUCUCAUCAAACUAUGGCUAUGCGGCCAAAUACACUCAUGGACCUCAUACAUGGUUAUCGAUCUCUCUUGCCUUCGGUAAUGUCAUAUACAUUAGACCUUGACCAGACAUACCCCUGGUCAAUCUCUUUGGCCAUUAUGGUUCUACCUUGUCUAUUGAUAUACAUAAUGGUCUAUACUUACAUUUGCAGUCCUAUAUUUAUAUCUUGAUGGCGUCCUAUGACCUUUCUUGCUGUGGAUCAUACCACUCACUAGAAUAUAUAUUAGGUCAUGGACCUCGACCACACGUGCUUAUGGACUGCCACAUGAUAGCUGGUCUUUCUUUUCCACUAGCCAUACUACAAUCUGGUCGGUCCAUGUUGAUAUAUCAACUUCGACUAUAAAUUCUCUUGGCUAGUGUUACAGCGAUGGUUUAUAGUUUUUUCUGAGAUUUAAUAGAUAAUAUGUAUCAACCAAUUAACCUCUCUUUAGGCUGGUUUAGUAUAAAGUAAACACAAGGAAUUCAAAUUUCUUUUAUAAGUAUAUAUGUGGACUGAAUUUGGAUGAGCAAUAGUACUCUUGUUAUCAGAUAAUUUUUUGUAAGCUACAAAUGUGUAUCGCAUUUUUAGGUGCUCCAACUGUUUCUAUUCUUCAGCUAGAUUUUAAUAAAUAGGUACUAAAAUUCUAAGUGAUAACAAAUAAUUAUAUGCAUAAGAUCUAAACUGGAAAUCUUUUAAUGAAAGUUUGACAAGUGUCUCUCAAACUUUCUUCACCAAAUCGUUGAGUGCUACAUCUGCUAUUUUGAAGUUAGUUAGGUAUCAUCAUCGUUGGGAAAAAGUUUUAAAAGACCCAGUAUGCACUGACAAGUAACACGAGAACGACCAUAUAUUCGGCUGAUUCUGGCUACCAUCCUCCACAUAGUUUUGUUAUUUUUAUUCAAAAACGUCUAGAACAGAAAAUCUAUAGCUCAAAUCAUGCAAAACUUGGAAUAACGUCAGUAGUACAUAUUCAUAUAUAAUAUGUUACCUGUACAUUAAAUUACGCAAAACUUGGUUUAUCGAAAGGGACUAUAUACACUUAGUAACAAAAAAAAGAGGACUAUAUACACUUAAAUAUGUUACCUGUACAUUAAAUUACGCAAUCUUGAAUACUACGUCAUUGUUAUAAAUUAAGGAAGAUGAAAGGAUUUGAAUCUGUAUAUUAUUCAUUCACAGAGGUUCUUUUAUAUAUAAGAAUAGACCGUCAUAGAUAAAUAAAAAUUCAUAGUAAUAUGGAAAUCCUAAACAUACUAUGAAAAAAAAAAACCUAAGUACAUAAGUAAAAAGAAAGUCGGUCAAGUAUAAUGGAAAGCUUCCAGUCUCAUUUGGACAUGUGGUACGGGCCGGAUGGGCCGGUUCUAGUUGGACUGGAUCAGGCCGGUUAUGGUUCGUCCACAUAAGGAUUUAUAACACUCCCCCUUGGACGUCAUAACCAUUCAGGGUUCGUAAUGUGCUUUAUGUUGCCUCAAUAAAACCUUUUCAGGAAAACCCAAUGGGACAAAACCAUGGAUAAGGAAAAAGAGUACAACACACACACUACUCCCCCUAAUUUGAACCUUCCUGAAUGUUGAUUUUGAAAUAGCUCUUGCUGAAUUGUAACUUGAACGUAAUGCUUGAAAUUCUCAUGUCUUCUGGAAACUCGUGUGUGCAUGGACAAGACGUGAAUCUUUGCUGUCGACCACUCUAUACUUUUGGUCGGACAGAUCUCGACUAAACAUACUCAUUGACAAUAUAGACUGAGCAUGGUACCAUGAACUUGUAAUUUCAGGUCGUAAACCUAUGUUCUGGUGCAUCUUCUCCACACGGAUGUAUAUCAACCAUAUGCACCAAUAUCUUGUCCAUUACAGUUGAUCUUUCUUUAUUAUCAUCAGUCAUACUCUAAUCUGAUCGAUCCAUGUUGAGUCAUAGACCUCGUUUAUACAUGUCCAUAACUUGUCUCAUGAGUGUCUAAGAUCAUGACGUGGUCAAUGAUCAUUGCUGCAAUGAGUUUCACAAUCUCAUCAAACUAUGGCUAUGCGGCCAAAUACACUCAUGGACCUCAUACAUGGUUAUCGAUCUCUCUUGCCUUCGGUAAUGUCAUAUACAUUAGACCUUGACCAGACAUACCCCUGGUCAAUCUCUUUGGCCAUUAUGGUUCUACCUUGUCCAUUGAUAUACAUAAUGGUCUAUACUUACAUUUGCAGUCCUAUAUUUAUAUCUUGAUGGCGUCCUAUGACCUUUUUUGCCGUGGAUCAUACCACUGUAUUACAUACUAUAUGCAGCUGCUUUGUUUCAGUCCAUAAACAGCUUAGGAACAAUGUUGUUCUUUAUCCAGUGAUCCAUAUGCUGCUUACUACAUCAUUAUAUGUCAAUCUAAUUUCUUUCUUAUGACCAGACCUUUAUAAAUUCGAAAAUAUGUAGCAGCAUCCACCACAUUUGAAUAUAUCUCCUUAUAAACUGUUCCUGGUCUCUGUGAGUAUCCUUGUAUAACAAGCCAUGUUUUAAUGCUGUAAGUAGGAACAUGAACACCUUAGACCACGUGAUCAUGUUCUUCAUCUCACGAUUUUAUUUUCCUCACAGGACCCAUUUAUCCACUGGCUUAAUCAUCAUAUGGCGUCUCUAUAUUUAUAUGGCCAAUACGCCUAUCUCUUUAUAUAAUUUAAUCCCACGUUCCUUUUCAAUCUAAUCUUAAUCUUUACGAGUACUCUUACGUGGGUUCAUGAUACUCACUUAUAUCUUUAUGUUCAAGUGCUACUUUCUUGUGCAUCCUUAUACAAAUAUAUCAUCUAUGUGUCGAAACUCUUAUAUAGUUCCAUUGUGUUCCAGAUAUGAUCUAAUCGAUUUGAGAUCUCAUUAUCCAUGACCUUUAUUACCUAGCAGCUUGGCGUCCCAAGCUACAUGGUUUGGUCCCUUAGAUGUUCAGCUGGCCAGCCUUAUCUCUAUGUCUGGUCUGGUUUCCCUAAUGACCUCGGAUUUGUCUUAUCUUUCUAUGCACUUUUAUCAUUUCUUUCCGAGGAUUCUUAUCUUAUGGAACUCAUUGGUCUAUCUUGUAUAGACUCUGUAGCAACUUGACUAUGUCUCUUUCUAGGACAUCAAAUUCGUUUGGUGCUAAACUGGUAUGACUUAGUCAUUCUUUUCUUUUCAGGUCAAUGUGUCUUGCAUUUGAUUAGCUAGCUUUGUAUAAUUUUUCUUUUCUUUGGACGUCUUAAAUCAUAUUCUUUAGUCUGAUGAUCUUGCCAUGACAAUGAUGGUUAAUACCAUUCUAUUUUCUUAUCAUUCUUUUACUCUUGCCAUGACCAUACUACAAAUCCGUGUACCUGGCCUUAAUCUGAUCACCCAUAUUUGGCUCAAGGUUUCUUAAAACUCACGGGAGAAAAACAUACUCAUAUCCAACAUAUAUUCCCAAUCCUUUUCUGAGGUUCCAUCUUAGACGGCACAUAUGUCUGUGGUGGUUUAUUCAAAGUCUCUUAAGAUGGUAUAUGUCUGGCUCAUGACCCGUAUUCAAUCUGAGAUGGGAAUAUCUAUGCUCACUUGUAUGGCCUGAUGCAUAUUAACCUUAUAUACAUGUAAAACUCGUGAUGUCCCCAAGCUUUAGGCUGGAUGUGGAUUAUGUGUUUUAUAAAAGGGUCCAGCCAAGCCGUUUAUAGCAUGGUCAUAGGCCAUGGUACACGAAUUUGUAGUAUGGUCAUGGACCACGGGUUUAUCCUCACUCCCCCUCAUGAACAUACUAUAAUUUCGUGAUGCUUGGGACAAUAAAGCCUAAUGAGUUUUCCUUGUGUGCAUGUUACACAACGUGAGAUCCUAUGGGAUAACUCUGUGUGCCUUUUGCAAUAUCAAUCUUUGCAUCAAGUUUAUACUAGGAUGGCUAAUCCAGUCGUGCCAUAAAGUGUAUAAUUUCGUGGGGUAUACCAAUCUGGUUACCAUGGCUCUUGCCUCUUAUCAUACUGAUCUUUGGCAUAGUCUAGAUCAGUAGAGUACACAUUUAUAGUCUUGACCACUUUCUUGUAAGGCCUUAGGCGAUUUUUUUUCUUUAAUCUGAAGGAACUUUUGUUUCCUUUGCCCAUUGUUUCUAUUUGGAAACCAUUCUUAUUAUGACUCAAUGGGCCACAAAUUCUUGGGUGGAUAUAAUGCCCUUUAGGCAGUGCCUUGGCCGUAGGUCUAUAUUGGAAUGACUAUAUUCUCAUUUAUAAGCUCACAUUGGCGUUUUCAUCAAUCAAAAACAUUCAUAUAAAUCCAAAACAUCAAUAGUAAAGCAAUCAUAAAAACAAUCAAACAAGAUGUCGAAUUAGUCUUUGAGACAAUCUGAAAUCUCAUGAUCCAUAAGGUCAUCCUUUUUAUGGUCGAAAUCAUUAUCAACAUCAUACCCAUUAUCAUGAACCAUAUGGGCUUCCGGGUUCUUGGGGUUCUUGUUCUUAAGACUCUCUUGAUAGAGUUCACAUAAAUGCUUAGGGGUUCUACAAUUCUUAGCUCAAUGGUUACUCAUCCCGCAUCUGUGACAAACAGAUUUGGUCGAGUAAGGAGGCUUGGAUAUGCCGCCUCUACCAUGGCCAUAACUGCCUCGACCACGGCCAUAGUUGGAACCAUGACCACGGUUAUUGUGGUUUCCUUGCCCACGGCCGUAUGAGUAAUUGUCACGACCACCUCGUCCCUUGUACCCACCACGGCCUUUGCCGUGUGAUCUUCUUUCAUUAUAGACGUGGUUGCUAUCUUUGGGAUCUUUCUUUUCUUGUUCAGCCUUGUUGGCUUCUGGUAAUGGUGCUGAUCCGGGAGGUCUUAUCUCACUGUUCUUCAUCAGGAGUUCAUUAUUAGCCUCGGCCAGAGGUAGGCACGAGAUCAGAUCAGUGUAUGUGGCGAAGCCUCUCUCUCUAUACUGCUGUUGCAGCAACACAUUUGUGGAAUGGAAUGUGGAGAAGGUCUUAUCAAGUAACUCUUUCUCGGUUACUUCUUCACCACAAAGUCUAAUCAUUGAAACUAUCUUAAACAAUACUGAAUUGUAUUCAUCCACAGACUUAUAGUCCAUGAAUCUGAGAUUCUUCCACUCAUAUCUAGCCUUUGGUAGUAGCACCGUUUUCUGGUGAUCAUAUCGCCGCUGUAAAGCGGUCCAAAGGUCUAGUGGAUUCUCCAUGGUAAGGUAUUGAUCUUUUAAACCUUCAAUGAGAUGGUGACGUAUUAUACUUAUCGCCAUAUAUCGAUUCUUAUCAUUCUCAUUGUUGCCCUCAAUGAUAGUAUCACCGAGUCCCUUUGACCUCAGGUUGAUCUUUGUAUCUAGCGCCCAUUGCAAGUAUUUAUCUCCAGAGAGAUUAAGGGCAACAUAGUCUAGAUUUGAGAUUUUCGACAUCUGAAUCACAUUAUCAAUCAGAUUUUAGGGUUUCAUAAUGUGAUCAUGCGACCGUAAGACAAACAAGAAUAUUGGCCACAAUCAAAUCUUAUACGACCAUAAAUCAAUCAAUAGUAUCGACCAUAUAAAAUCUACUUGACCAUGGUGCGAACAGUCCUAGUUUAUGAUUCUAUAUGUAACAAAGAGAUUAGGCCACACGGCCAUAUAAUAUCAUGAUGCAAACUAUACAAGUUAUGCAAUCUAUAUAUCAUGCUGGUCGAGAAUUAAAUCAAGCGAAUGCAAUCAAUAAAUAUCAUUCAGCUUUAUAUGUUAUGCAAACAACCCUAACAAUCGGUUUCUAUUAUGCAACAAUAUAUAAAGUCUAGGGUUUCAAUUUAAACAAUAUAAGCAGCCGAUUUUAGCAAUAUGAAAUCAAGGUUUCAAGGCCUUUAGGAUUUUAAUUCGAGAUUCAAUCAAUCUAUUAAUCUUAAAACUCAGAUCAUCAAUCAUUCAAACAAGAAUAAUUUAAAACCUCAAUGAUCAAACGAUCAGACAAGAACACCAAACAAACCGAUUUACAAUUAGGGUUUUAGGGUUCUUCAUACAACCGAAUUUUACAUCAUAUCAUCUGGUUCUAUAUGAUCAAAUAAUCACAAAAUCUAACCGAUAUCCUAUCAUAAAUUUCUUGAUUCCAAACUUAGAGUAUUGAUUUCUAUUAUUAGGGUUUUGCAAGAUUUUAAUUUGUCUUAAACCUUUAUCAAUCAAGCCAAAUUCGAUGUGAGUUCUUAAUUAGGGUAAUCAGAUUUACCUUUUCUUUUGUAGGGUUGAACCGGACCACCAAAGAGCAGAGAGAGUUCACGAGCUGGUGCGUGCGGACUGGUCGGGUCGCGAAUCGGGAACGAGCUGAAGCUGGUCGGAUCGCUAUCGUCUCGCUGGAUCGUGCAGGCUGGACGGAUUGCUACCAGGUUGCUAUCGGCUCGUCGGGUGCGGCUGAGCUGGUCGUUAUCGGCUGCUUGUCGGAUCGUUGAACUGAUCUGAUCGGAUGAAGAAGAAAAACAGCCGAGAGAGAAAAAGGAAACAAGGUUUUUGUCGGCUGGGAUUUUAGGGUUUAUGGGUUUCGGAUUUAGCUUAGGGUUUUAGAGACUAUCGUGCUGAUAAUGUGUUAUAAAAUAAGGAAGAUGAAAGGAUUUGAAUCUGUAUAUUAUUCAUUCACAGAGGUUCCUUUAUAUACAAGAAUAUACAAGAAUAGACCGUGCCUCGACCACGGCCAUAGUUGGAACCAUGACCACGGUUAUUGUGGUUUCCUUGCCCACGGCCGUAUGAGUAAUUGUCACGACCACCUCGUCCCUUGUACCCACCACGGCCUUUGCCGUGUGAUCUUCUUUCAUUAUAGACGUGGUUGCUAUCUUUGGGAUCUUUCUUUUCUUGUUCAGCCUUGUUGGCUUCUGGUAAUGGUGCUGAUCCGGGAGGUCUUAUCUCACUGUUCUUCAUCAGGAGUUCAUUAUUAGCCUCGGCCAGAGGUAGGCACGAGAUCAGAUCAGUGUAUGUGGCGAAGCCUCUCUCUCUAUACUGCUGUUGCAGCAACACAUUUGUGGAAUGGAAUGUGGAGAAGGUCUUAUCAAGUAACUCUUUCUCGGUUACUUCUUCACCACAAAGUCUAAUCAUUGAAACUAUCUUAAACAAUACUGAAUUGUAUUCAUCCACAGACUUAUAGUCCAUGAAUCUGAGAUUCUUCCACUCAUAUCUAGCCUUUGGUAGUAGCACCGUUUUCUGGUGAUCAUAUCGCCGCUGUAAAGCGGUCCAAAGGUCUAGUGGAUUCUCCAUGGUAAGGUAUUGAUCUUUUAAACCUUCAAUGAGAUGGUGACGUAUUAUACUUAUCGCCAUAUAUCGAUUCUUAUCAUUCUCAUUGUUGCCCUCAAUGAUAGUAUCACCGAGUCCCUUUGACCUCAGGUUGAUCUUUGUAUCUAGCGCCCAUUGCAAGUAUUUAUCUCCAGAGAGAUUAAGGGCAACAUAGUCUAGAUUUGAGAUUUUCGACAUCUGAAUCACAUUAUCAAUCAGAUUUUAGGGUUUCAUAAUGUGAUCAUGCGACCGUAAGACAAACAAGAAUAUUGGCCACAAUCAAAUCUUAUACGACCAUAAAUCAAUCAAUAGUAUCGACCAUAUAAAAUCUACUUGACCAUGGUGCGAACAGUCCUAGUUUAUGAUUCUAUAUGUAACAAAGAGAUUAGGCCACACGGCCAUAUAAUAUCAUGAUGCAAACUAUACAAGUUAUGCAAUCUAUAUAUCAUGCUGGUCGAGAAUUAAAUCAAGCGAAUGCAAUCAAUAAAUAUCAUUCAGCUUUAUAUGUUAUGCAAACAACCCUAACAAUCGGUUUCUAUUAUGCAACAAUAUAUAAAGUCUAGGGUUUCAAUUUAAACAAUAUAAGCAGCCGAUUUUAGCAAUAUGAAAUCAAGGUUUCAAGGCCUUUAGGAUUUUAAUUCGAGAUUCAAUCAAUCUAUUAAUCUUAAAACUCAGAUCAUCAAUCAUUCAAACAAGAAUAAUUUAAAACCUCAAUGAUCAAACGAUCAGACAAGAACACCAAACAAACCGAUUUACAAUUAGGGUUUUAGGGUUCUUCAUACAACCGAAUUUUACAUCAUAUCAUCUGGUUCUAUAUGAUCAAAUAAUCACAAAAUCUAACCGAUAUCCUAUCAUAAAUUUCUUGAUUCCAAACUUAGAGUAUUGAUUUCUAUUAUUAGGGUUUUGCAAGAUUUUAAUUUGUCUUAAACCUUUAUCAAUCAAGCCAAAUUCGAUGUGAGUUCUUAAUUAGGGUAAUCAGAUUUACCUUUUCUUUUGUAGGGUUGAACCGGACCACCAAAGAGCAGAGAGAGUUCACGAGCUGGUGCGUGCGGACUGGUCGGGUCGCGAAUCGGGAACGAGCUGAAGCUGGUCGGAUCGCUAUCGUCUCGCUGGAUCGUGCAGGCUGGACGGAUUGCUACCAGGUUGCUAUCGGCUCGUCGGGUGCGGCUGAGCUGGUCGUUAUCGGCUGCUUGUCGGAUCGUUGAACUGAUCUGAUCGGAUGAAGAAGAAAAACAGCCGAGAGAGAAAAAGGAAACAAGGUUUUUGUCGGCUGGGAUUUUAGGGUUUAUGGGUUUCGGAUUUAGCUUAGGGUUUUAGAGACUAUCGUGCUGAUAAUGUGUUAUAAAAUAAGGAAGAUGAAAGGAUUUGAAUCUGUAUAUUAUUCAUUCACAGAGGUUCCUUUAUAUACAAGAAUAUACAAGAAUAGACCGUGCCUCGACCACGGCCAUAGUUGGAACCAUGACCACGGUUAUUGUGGUUUCCUUGCCCACGGCCGUAUGAGUAAUUGUCACGACCACCUCGUCCCUUGUACCCACCACGGCCUUUGCCGUGUGAUCUUCUUUCAUUAUAGACGUGGUUGCUAUCUUUGGGAUCUUUCUUUUCUUGUUCAGCCUUGUUGGCUUCUGGUAAUGGUGCUGAUCCGGGAGGUCUUAUCUCACUGUUCUUCAUCAGGAGUUCAUUAUUAGCCUCGGCCAGAGGUAGGCACGAGAUCAGAUCAGUGUAUGUGGCGAAGCCUCUCUCUCUAUACUGCUGUUGCAGCAACACAUUUGUGGAAUGGAAUGUGGAGAAGGUCUUAUCAAGUAACUCUUUCUCGGUUACUUCUUCACCACAAAGUCUAAUCAUUGAAACUAUCUUAAACAAUACUGAAUUGUAUUCAUCCACAGACUUAUAGUCCAUGAAUCUGAGAUUCUUCCACUCAUAUCUAGCCUUUGGUAGUAGCACCGUUUUCUGGUGAUCAUAUCGCCGCUGUAAAGCGGUCCAAAGGUCUAGUGGAUUCUCCAUGGUAAGGUAUUGAUCUUUUAAACCUUCAAUGAGAUGGUGACGUAUUAUACUUAUCGCCAUAUAUCGAUUCUUAUCAUUCUCAUUGUUGCCCUCAAUGAUAGUAUCACCGAGUCCCUUUGACCUCAGGUUGAUCUUUGUAUCUAGCGCCCAUUGCAAGUAUUUAUCUCCAGAGAGAUUAAGGGCAACAUAGUCUAGAUUUGAGAUUUUCGACAUCUGAAUCACAUUAUCAAUCAGAUUUUAGGGUUUCAUAAUGUGAUCAUGCGACCGUAAGACAAACAAGAAUAUUGGCCACAAUCAAAUCUUAUACGACCAUAAAUCAAUCAAUAGUAUCGACCAUAUAAAAUCUACUUGACCAUGGUGCGAACAGUCCUAGUUUAUGAUUCUAUAUGUAACAAAGAGAUUAGGCCACACGGCCAUAUAAUAUCAUGAUGCAAACUAUACAAGUUAUGCAAUCUAUAUAUCAUGCUGGUCGAGAAUUAAAUCAAGCGAAUGCAAUCAAUAAAUAUCAUUCAGCUUUAUAUGUUAUGCAAACAACCCUAACAAUCGGUUUCUAUUAUGCAACAAUAUAUAAAGUCUAGGGUUUCAAUUUAAACAAUAUAAGCAGCCGAUUUUAGCAAUAUGAAAUCAAGGUUUCAAGGCCUUUAGGAUUUUAAUUCGAGAUUCAAUCAAUCUAUUAAUCUUAAAACUCAGAUCAUCAAUCAUUCAAACAAGAAUAAUUUAAAACCUCAAUGAUCAAACGAUCAGACAAGAACACCAAACAAACCGAUUUACAAUUAGGGUUUUAGGGUUCUUCAUACAACCGAAUUUUACAUCAUAUCAUCUGGUUCUAUAUGAUCAAAUAAUCACAAAAUCUAACCGAUAUCCUAUCAUAAAUUUCUUGAUUCCAAACUUAGAGUAUUGAUUUCUAUUAUUAGGGUUUUGCAAGAUUUUAAUUUGUCUUAAACCUUUAUCAAUCAAGCCAAAUUCGAUGUGAGUUCUUAAUUAGGGUAAUCAGAUUUACCUUUUCUUUUGUAGGGUUGAACCGGACCACCAAAGAGCAGAGAGAGUUCACGAGCUGGUGCGUGCGGACUGGUCGGGUCGCGAAUCGGGAACGAGCUGAAGCUGGUCGGAUCGCUAUCGUCUCGCUGGAUCGUGCAGGCUGGACGGAUUGCUACCAGGUUGCUAUCGGCUCGUCGGGUGCGGCUGAGCUGGUCGUUAUCGGCUGCUUGUCGGAUCGUUGAACUGAUCUGAUCGGAUGAAGAAGAAAAACAGCCGAGAGAGAAAAAGGAAACAAGGUUUUUGUCGGCUGGGAUUUUAGGGUUUAUGGGUUUCGGAUUUAGCUUAGGGUUUUAGAGACUAUCGUGCUGAUAAUGUGUUAUAAAAUAAGGAAGAUGAAAGGAUUUGAAUCUGUAUAUUAUUCAUUCACAGAGGUUCCUUUAUAUACAAGAAUAGACCGUUAUAGAUAAAUGGAAAUCUAUAAUAAUAUGAAAAUCCUAAACAUACUAGGAAAAGGAAAACCUAAGUACAUAAGUAAAAGGAAAGUCGGUCAAGUAUAAUGGAAAGCUUCCAGCCGCCUUUGGACAUGUGGUACGGGCCGGAUGGGCCGGUUCUGGUUGGACUGGAUCAGGCCGGUUAUGGCUCGUCCACAUAAGGAUUUAUAACAGUCAUAGAUUUUUUUUUUAUAGCAAAAAGUAUAUACACAUUUUUGGCUUUUUAAUGUACUACAUAGUGUUUGGAAAUUUCACAAUAUUGUUUUUCUUUUCAAAAGUAUCAUAAUAUUUCAACAAAAAAAAACACAACAGAAUCUUUUUGUACAAAAGAAAAACUUCUUACAACUAAGAACAUCAUUAUUGCACAAAAAAUGGGGUGCUUAGCCCUAUGGACCCCACAAAAAUGGCAAGCAACGAUGUUUUCAGCUGCAAAAUAAGCGCCGCGUUUUGUUUGUUGUUUCUAUUAUUCGCGGACUCCACCGACACGUGGCGGUCCGCGAUUAAUUUUUUUUUAAUUUUUUUUAUAAUCAGAUAAAAAAAAAUAAAAAAUAAAAAAUAAUAAUAAAUAAGCACCCCUUUAGGAGUGCUGGAAUAAAGAUGGUCUAAGGGCUUCAUACUAAAAAAAAUCUAGACAUCCUUCCGAGAGAUGUAUGAUAUGUUUUAAAAGAAAUGUUUUACUAAAACACUACAAAUAGAGACAUUUCGAUGAGAUUUUAUGAUAAAAUUAAAUACAAAAAUAAAUCACCGUUUUUUAUGUACAUCCCUCCUCCUCACUAUUUCUUUUUCCUUCUCACUAUUUCAUAUCACUUCCAAAUGUAUAAUUCGUAUUAUGAAAACUAUAAUUUUGUGUCACUUAUUUUAAUUGACAGGUGUCUAGUAUAGUGUGUAGCUGACCUCAUUCUGAUGGCUGAAUGUGUUUGGCGCCCUAGAAAUAAAGUAAUGCUUCCUCGAAAUAUAAUUCUCCACACUGUAUUUUUCCUUCAGGUAAUCGGCUAUCAAAGGUAAGAUAGUAGAUACGUUAAGAAAUCUCUUGGAAUACUUGAGAUUAAAAUAAAGUAAUCUAACUAAAGAGCUUAAGAUAUUUUCCGGUAACAAAAUAUCUAUAUUCUUGUGGUUUGCUAACACUAAUCAUCUAGCAUUAACGAUCAAGAAUAUCUCCACGUAGAAACGCAGUCGUCAUUAAGUUCUCUACUACCAAAAUCAUAAGUUGGGCAGAUACUUAAACUAGAGAAUAAUUAGUUUAACCUAACUAAAGUCCAUAUUAAGAAAUGAUUAAGUUAUAGACCAGUAGACAUUAUAAAAGUUUCUUGAGUGCAAAUGGUAGGAUCUUGCUAUGGACGGUUUGAGUUAAAUCAGCAUCUAUAUGUUGCAAUGCCUUUUCUUUCCCAAUGGUAUCUUUGAUCUUCACAAAGACUCAACCUUUCUUUUGGACAACAGACUCUAUUCUUGAACUUUUUAUUUUUCAUUUACAACCAUCCAUGGAUUUUAAUUUAUUUUACUUUUCGGUCAAGAGAACAAUCACCUUUGCAGUUUGAAUGGACCAUGUGAAUAUAUACAUUUAUACAUCCAAAUUCGAUCGUAGUAAAUAAAAAUUUGAGGUGGUUUCCCGUCUAUUAUAAAUGUAUUAUAUAGCUUAAUACUAGCUCUUUAAGCUUAAUUUGAUUUAGUAACAAGAAAAUACACUUUAGUUACAUUUAACUUAAUCAAAAGCGGAUAAUUAAUAAUUUGUUUCUGUCAAGUUACUACUUUCUCCGUUUCAUAUUAAGUGUCGUUUUAGAGAAUUUUUUUCGUUACAAAAUAAAUGUCUUUUUCGAUUUUCAAUGCAAAAUUUAUUUUUUUAUUGGUUGAAAUAUGGUUAGGUGUAUAGGUAAUAGUGUUUUUUUAUAGAAAAUGUAAAAAAUUAAUUAUUUCCUUAAUCUGUGUGCAAAAACUUAAAACCACAUUUAUUAUAAUAUGAUUGUGUUUACGAGUCAAAGGCAAGCAAUUAUUGAGAGAAGUUGACCAAACCCAAGAAUCUUCGGUUAUUGUUCCAAUGGUCCAACAACAGAAAAUAUCUCUUACAUUAAAGUCAGUAUUACAUUUUUGCGAGACUUUGGAAUUUUUUUCAUCUAAAGAUACAUUACUUAUGUCAAAUUAAUUAUUUUUCCGUUUAACAAAAAAGAUUAAGAUAAACGUGUUUUCUUGUUUCUAAAAAACAGUUAUUCCAAAAAACUGUUAUCUAUGGAAGCUCAUUAGUCCAACAAUUUGAUUAAGCGUUUGUACGGUGAGAAUUUCAGAGUUCAAACUCUAAAAAAUCCAAAUUACGCGAUUAUAGAGAAAAAAUGUUACAAGAAAUCUUCAGCAUGAUGAUGCAGAGCAUACCAUCAUACAUGAAUCUCAUAGGAUGGUUCGGAACGACACAGUCAAACGUGUAUUUUUAUAAGGUGGUAGAAUUGUCGGCCGUAAAAUCAUCUAUUUAAUAAUUUUCAUUUUUCAUCGUUGUAAUAAUAUAAUGAACCAUACGUUAAAAAAAUGUUAUUUUUAUAUAUUUAAAAUGAAUAUUCACCAAGAAUACCAAAUGGGCAAAUUUCCAAAAUAGCAAAUUUCUAAGUUUAUAUCACAAAAACAGCACUCAAAAACUAAAAUGAUCAAAAUAGCACAUUUCUAAGUUUAUCCUUUGAAAAUUUUAAUUUUUUUAUUUUUCAAAAUUUGAAAUCUUAUCCCCAAAACCUCAUUUCUCAACUCUAAACCCUAAACCCUAAACUCUAAACCCUAAACCCUAAACCCUAAACCUUAAACUCUAAACCAUAAACCCUAAACUCUAAACCCUAAACCCUAAACUCUAAACCCUAAACCCUAAACCCUAAACCUUAAACUCUAAACCAUAAACCCUAAACUCUAAACCCUAAACCCUAGACCCUAAAUCCUAAACCCCACCUUUUAACUCUAAACCCUAAGUUUGUGACUUUUGAUAAAACAUUAAGUGCUAUUUUUGUGACUUUUGACUUUGAGUGCUAGUUUUGGAACAAAAACUUGAUUUAAUGCUAUUUUUGUCUGUUUCUCAUACGAAAUUCCACUAUUCAUUCCUUAUUAAUAAAUUUUAGUUAAUUAAUACUAUUAAAACAUAGUAAUUGACGAUAAAUAAUAAAAAUUUAUUAUUCUGAACAUGGCAUGAAUGCUAAUUUCAAUAGUCCUGGACAGAAAGCUAACAAGUAAUGUAAUAUCAGCUAUUAAAUAACCACAUAUUAUAAAAAUGAGCCGUGUUGUAUUGUAAAUGACAAAAGCAACCCUGUCGACAGAGAUAUAUUACGAAGGCGACAUACCAAGUAGAACUCUCGCACUCUCUCUCUAUAAAGCUGAGCUCCUCUUUGCCUCUCUAAAAACCUCUCAGACUCAAAUCAAAUCAAAUCCUUUCUCUUUUUCGAAACUCUCAAACCUCAACAGAAAAAAAUGGCGCGAAUUCUCUUCCGUCUUCUCGGAGAAUCCAACACUCCGUCGCCUGUCACGGAUACCUCCACCGUGUCUUUGAACUCCGACCUCGUCGUCAUCCUCGCCGCUCUCAUCUGCGCCUUGAUCUGCGUCCUCGGUCUAAUCGCCGUCUCUCGAUGCGUCUGGCUCCGCCGUCUCGCCGCCGGUACCAGAACCUCCUCCGGAUCCCAAGACGGUUCCGGCCAAUCUCCUCCGCAGCAGGCAGCGGCGGCGAACAAAGGACUGAAGAAGAAAGCGCUCCAGUCUCUCCCGAAGGUGACUUUCUCGCCGGAAUCGCCUUCAUCGGAGAAAUUCGCCGAGUGCGCGAUCUGCCUUACCGAGUUCUCCGCCGGCGACGAGCUCCGUGUUUUGCCGCAGUGUGGUCACGGAUUCCACUUGUCAUGCAUUGACACGUGGCUCGGGUCUCACUCGUCUUGCCCUUCUUGCCGUCAGAUCUUGGUUGUUGCCAGGUGUCAUAAGUGUGGCGGGUUGCCCGGUAGCUCCAGCUCCGGGUCUGAACCUGAGCCCGAACCUGAAAUCGUGAUCCGAAUUAAGCAAGGCGAAGAUGAUCCUAGCUCCUACUUGCCCUGAUUCGUUUUGUUCCUUCUUCGUAUGUUAGAUAUCUUUUACUAUAAUUUAAUGCAGAUUAGUGGAUAGUGUUUAUUCUCUUAAUAUGUACAUUUUUAUAUUGUAAUUUGUAAAUGUUGUAUUAAAUUGAAAUUUAGCAAUUUGCGUCUAAUCUUUUUUACUACUUUGAGUUUACGGGUACUUUUACGACCUACUGGAAGUUGAUAAUUCGAUCUCACCGAAUCGUCUGAUUUGUGUUUAAGUUUGUGAUUUUUUUUUCCCAUGAAAAUUGAUAUGUUUUCUUUCUCAAAAAAGAUAAAAGAAGAAAACUGAUCUGUUUUAGUUUUAUGCACUGUAUAUUAGUUUUAUGCAUAAACCUACCCAGUCGAAUUUGAAUAAGGUUUUCGGAUUUUCGUGUUAAGCAAUCUACUAACCUUAUUCGUGUUUUUGUUUUGUUUUUGGUAUUAAUGGUAUGUGUUCGAUUUCAGAUUGAACUCCGAAAAUGCCCAGAACAAGAAAAUGCCAUUAACCCGAUAACUUACAUAAAUCAAAAUCAAAACAUACAAACAUACAGUAGUUCUCGGCAUUGAUUCUUUGGCCCAUACAACUUUUCGUGUCUGAACAAGUUUUAGAGUCUAAAUCCUUAAUUCUUUGGUUCAUCUUUCUCGCAUGUGUGAAAGUUUCAGAGUCUAAGCUCUCAACUCUUUAAGUCAUUUUUUUCGUUUUCACAUUUAGUAGUUCUCGGAUCAAAAGCCAUCAAGUUUGUGGAUCAAAAAAAAAUUAAAACCGUCUCCAUAUGUUUAUCGCCUAGUAGGUGUGCAAUUUACAAAUUCAUACUUAGACUUACACAUUCCCGCUACUAUCUUAAACUGACCCAAAUUCAUAAACGACAAUUUUGUAUGUUUCUAAUAUGUUUGAAUAUAUUAUAAAUUAAUUUUCAUGAAACAUAGGGUGCAACACUAGCAGCUAGGUUUCAACCACAAAAAACCAGAAAAAUUGUGUUUCAUGUACAAAAUUAAAAUAAUUCUAAGAACAAAUCUUAUGCUAGAGACAUUAUUAAAACAUAUUGUAAAAAGGAAAAGCUCUCUAACUCGGUCCGGUUCAUUUAUAUAUAUAUAAUAUAUGUUUCAACAUUUAAAUCCUACAAACAAUCAAUUCCUUAUAAAUACUGCAUGAGAAUGUUGAUCUAUCACACUCUAUCUCAAACAAAAAAAUCUAAUUGGAAAAAAAUUACUUUGGUUCUUUUGCAACUUAAUGACUGAUAUAAAAAAUGUGUUAUCAAGUGUAAACUCUGGUUUUUUGUUGUUGAAGUAUUAGAACUUGUUUACUAAAUAGUAAUAUAAGAACCAAAUGUAAAAAAAAAAUCAAAAAAAGAAAGAAAAAGAACGAAAUGUCUUUGCAACAGCGAAAGCCUUUAGAUAACUAGACUUCCUGUGUCAUCUAAUAUCUGUUUUUAUUUCAUUGCUUCAUUGAAUAAUGGAAAUGGUUUGAGGUCCAGUGAUCGACCUGAUGUAUUCAAUUUUGAAUCGUACUCUGAAUCAUUCUUUAACUUAUAUGCUCGAGUUGGUUCACCGAGUGGUAAGCAUGUUGAUGGUGACAACCAUUCUUCAACAUAAAAUAUCAAAUAUUGCUACAAAAGAGAAAAAACAAAUACCAUUCUAGCGCUGCGCAUUUGAUUUCUAUAUUAUAAAGUCAAGAGAAUUAAAUUUAUGUAAUGACACUAUCGAGUAUCGACCGAUAGCCUAUUCUAGGAAACUCAAGCUCGUUAGUUUAGUAGCUUAUUUUGUCCAACAAAUAGCCACUAGCGUUGUUAACCACUAUGUUGUUCAACUUGGUUUAAAAAAUUAAUACAUUCAUUAAAACUCAUAAAUAUAAGUGGAUUUUCAAUUUAUAAUGCCUGAACGUCAUAUUAAAGAAUAUGAAUACGCCGACAAAAAAUCAUUUGAAUACAAUUUCUGUUUAAAAUUGAGCACCAAAAGACUAAGGGGAGACUAAUCAGUUGAUUACCUGAUUUUUUUUAUAGUUUCUUGCUAACUACGGGAAUAUUCCCCAAUAAAUGGGAAAGGAAAUCUGGCCAGUGUGCGUGAUACAAAUGGUACGUAAUGGCCUGAUGGGUCUGAUACCUUUCCAUGUGCACUAUAAAUUUUAUAAAUUUUAAUUAUAUCUAAAAAUAAAUUUUUAUUAUUAUUAUAGAAUUUAUUAUUUUUACCAAUAUUUUAAUAUAAUUUUUUAUUUAAUUAAACAUAAAAUUAAGAUAAAAUAAACAAUUUUAAUUUUAUUUUAUUUAAAAAUAAGAUAGAGAAAUUCUCUAGGAUAGCCUUUUUUAAGUUUUUGUCACAAAAAUAACAUUCAAUGAAGAAAAUGACCAAAAUAAGUUUUAUUAAAAGGUAAACUAAUCUAGGGUUAACUAAUCUAGACUUAGGGUUUAGAGUUAAGGGGUAGAGUUUUGGGGAUAGAGUUUCAAAUUUAAAAAAAUAAAAAAUUAAAAUUAAAAUUUUCAAAAUAAAAAAGGACUACUUUGGUCAUUUUUUUAGGGCUAUUUUUGUGACAAAAACUUAAAAAUGUCUAUUUGAAAGAAUUGCCUAGAUAGAUAUGUAUAUAUUUAAAAUUAUAAUCUCCGAUAAAUUUUUAUAUAUUUCUUUUAGAUAAAAAUAUAUUAAACCAAUUUGUAUAAAAUUAAGAAAAAUUGAUAUAAAAAUUGUAUAAUCAUCAAAAAUUAAAACUAAACAGUAUUUCUAAAAUUUGUACAUAUAUAAAAAACUAAUAAUAUUCCGAUUAAAAAAUCCUUUUUAGUAACAAAAUUAUAUAUUUAUAAAAAAUAGAGAUAAAUAAUAUUUUGAAAUUUGUAGAAUGUUAUUAUAUUUCUAUUAUUAUAUUAUUUAAUGUAUAUUUGUAUAGAUUUAGUUUAAUGAUGAUGUAUAAUUUAUUAUUAUAUUCUAAAAAAUUUACCAAAAAUAUAAGUAAACAUUAAAAGUAAUUGUCUACAUCAUAUUUAACCGUAAGACAUAUCGUCAUUUCUACUAUGUCAUGUCAAAUUUAUUUACUAAAAAUGAUUAUAACGAUGACACGUGUCAAAAUUAUUUCGUCUACGGAAUGUCUAGAGAUAACAAUAAUCAAAUAACUAUUUGUAUUUCUUCAACUUCUUUUAGGUUUUAGCCUUUUAGGGGUUAUAUAAUUUCGGGAAUACGAGCCUAUGAUCCACUAAAUCGGAUGGAUUUUAUAAUUAACUAUAAGAAUAGAAAGAGUCAAGAUGACUGCAGUCUGCAGCAGACUGCAAGAAAUUAAAUUUUGUUUUGUCUUCUAGCUUUUUUGAGUUUUGACCUAACAAAUAGAUUGUGAUAUUCCUCAUAUAUAUUUAAGAAUUUAAGUUAAUCUUUGAAUAAAAUAAUUGUUAGAUUUAUAAAUUGAUAGUUUAGUUUAAAUUCUUUUCGUCAACAGUGGUUUAGUUAUUUAAAUUGAAUAUUAUUCGUUUGCAAUUAAGGGGAGCCAUUGAAUUAAAAACGACGGAUGGUCCACCAUAUAAUUCCAUCACAAGCAUGUCCACUACGGAAAGUGCGUCCUUGUGCUUAGUGCUGCUAACCAUAUUAUAAACAUAUUUAUAUUGUAAUUUAAUCCCUUUUAAUUCAACAAAAACUUACGACCAUUAACCUAAAGUUCAAUUUAUAGUGGACUGUGAGAAAACUAUAUUUUUGAAUAUUUAUUCAUGAGAAUAGUAAUUUGUUUAGAAAUGUGCGGUCAAAUUUUAUGGAAAACCGAAUUUAUGAGAGCGGAAAAAACACACAAAAUUGUUAACGGAAUUCGGCUAAUGUUGUCUACGUCUCCGGAUCUGCUACAGAUCUUUUAUUAUCAACCCGAAAAAUUUUACAAUCUCUCAACUCACACCCGACCCCAAAUACACUCAAGAAAAUUAUUCUUAAUUUUCUUACAAGAGAUUUCUUUCACACAAAAAAUUUCUUUCUCUCUUGAACACUUUACUCUUGUGUUCUUCUUUGUUUUGGGAUACAUUUCAGAAACGAAAAGUUUGUAUAUUUAUAGGAAGAGCUUGAGGAGUAGGUGGACAUAAUUGUUGACAAAAGACCUCCUUCUUUGACUUUUGUUUUUCACUUCUUUCACCGUCCAACUUCACCGUCCAUUAUGAAACACGUGAUGUAACUAACAAUCUCCCAUUUGAAGACUGAUUUCAAUCCUGUCUUCACACCUUGAUCAAUAUUGCAGGUCUUCCCAACUUGUUACUCCAACAAGCUAACUGAAGUUGCACACAACCUCAACUUAUCAUACGGCACGUCACGACCUUCGGUAGCAUGUCUGUCGGAUUCUUACUUCAUGGGAUCUUUUCAAGCACCAACAUUUCAUCUUCUAAUGCUGAUCUGAUGAAAUGAUAUCGACGAUGUAUGUGCUUCGUCCGAGCAUGGUAAACGGAUUCUUUGCCAAAUCGAUGGCACUUUUACUAUCACAGUAUAACACACUUUUCCCUUGGUCAUGGCCUAGCUCUUCUAGAAAAGAUUGUAGCCAUAUCAUCUCUUUUGUUGCCUCCGUUACCGCAACAUACUCAGCUUCACAGCUUGAUAGAGAUACAAUUUUCUACAACUUUCAAACCCAACAAAUUGCAGUACCACCAAAGGUGUAGACAUACCCGGUUGUGCUCUUCGUGCUGUCAAUGUCACCUCCAUUGUCAGCAUCAACAUAUCCCUGCAAUCCCGUCUUAGACUUCGUGAAACAUAGCGAUAAACUUGGAUUUCCUUUUAGAUAUAUAUCUGAAAAUCCACUUAACGGCUUCCCAAUGUUCCUUUCAUGGAUUACUCAUAAAUCUGCUAACGACUCCCACUUCAUGUGCAAUGUCUGGCCUUGUACAUAUCAUCGCGUACAUCAAGCUGCCAAUAGCAGAAGCAUAUGGAAUUUUAUCCAUAUAUUCCAUCUCGUCUUCCGUCUUUGGAGAUUGUUCUUUGGAUAACAGAAAAUGACUUGCCAGGGGAGUACUAACUGGCUUCGCGUCAUCCAUGUUAAACCUCUUGAGGACUUUCUUCACAUACUCCUCUUGUGAUAGCUUAAGACCUUCCUUGCUUCUACUGAUUCUCAUCCCUAGAAUCUGUCUUGCUUCUCCAAGAUCUUUCAUCGCAAACUCUUCUGAGAGUUUCGUCUUCAAGCUAUUGAUCUCGUGCAAGUCUGCUCCUACUAUCAGCAUGUCAUCGACAUAUAGGAGCAAUAUCAAGUAGGACUCUUCAAGCGUCUUGAAGUAACAACAGUGGUCAGCUUCACACCUCAAGAAACCAACGCCUUUAAUAAAGUUGUCGAACCGUUUAUACCACUUUGUCUUGGAGCUUGUUUUCAGCUGUACAAACUCCUUUUCAGCUUGCAAGCAAGGCUUUCCUUUCCUUUGAUCUCAAAUCCUUCGGGUUGCCUCAUAUAUAUUUCCUCAUCCAAAUCACCGUGAAGAAAUGUUGUCUUCACAUCCAUCUGCUAAAGAUGCAGAUCUUUUUGUAUCUUCUUGUGCUACCAGCCCAAGAACCGUUCUGAUGGUCACCAACUUGACUACAGGAGAGAAGAUUUCGGUGUUGUCAGCGCCUUAUUUUUGCUGGAAUCCCUUCACAACAAGCCUCGCUUUAUAGCGCUUACUCCCAUUAGGUUCUUCUUUUAUUCGGUAGACCCACUUGUUAUGCAAUGCCUUUUUCUCCUUAGGCAAAUCUGCUAACUCCCACGUGUGAUUGGAUAACAACGAGUCCAUCUCGUCGUUCAUUGCAAGCUCCCACUUGAUCGACUCAUCAACUUGCAUAGCUUCCUCAUAACAUUCAGGCUCGCCUCUGUCUGUGAGCAGAAUGUAGUUGAGCGAUGGAGAGAAUCUUACUGGCUUUCUGAUGAUUCUGCUUGACUGUCGUAACUCCGUGACUGGUGUAUAUGGGACCACUUCAGGAUCAUCACUUUCUUCAGCUUCACCACUCUCUGAGAGAUUUUUUCUGUUGCUGUUGCGGUAUCCUGUGGCAACUUCGGUGUCAGGAUAUCUUCUAAGUCAACAGCUCCAGGCUCUUUCCUCUCCGAGCCUUCUCUUAGCUUAUACUUGUACAUCACUUCUUCGUUGAACACAACAUUCUUGCUGCGGAUGAUCUUUCGAUUUUCAUCAUCCCAAAACCGGUAACCAAACUCUGUGUUACCAUAGCCGAUGAAGUAACACUUCUUUGACUUCGAGUCAAGUUUACUUAUUGCAGCAUCAUCAUUAUGAACAUAAGCUAAGCACCCGAACACCUUUAGAUAAGAAAUAUUUACUUUCUUUCCGCUCCAAACUUCUUCAGGGAUCUUAAAUCCCAACGGUACAGACGGUCCUCUGUUUAUUAAGAAGGCUACGGUAUUGAUUGCAUCUGCCCAAAACGUCUUUGGCAAUCCACAGUGCAAUCUCAUGCUCCUUGCACGCUCAUUCAAGGUUCGGUUCAUCCUUUCCGCUAUUCCAUUCUGUUGAGGCGUUCCAGGAAUAGUCUUCUCCAUCUUGAUCCCAUUAUCAGCGCAAUAUCUCUUGAACUCGUCGCUGAUGUACUCUCCGCCAUUAUCAGACCUUAAACACUUCAACUUGAGAUUCGUCUCAAUCUCAACCAUGGCUUUCCAUAUUUUGAAAACAGAAAACACUUCAUGCUUGUUUUUCAUGAAGUAAACCCACACUUUUCUUGUGGAGUCGUCGAUAAAAGUCACAUAGUAGUAUGAACCUCCUAGCGAUGCAACAGGAGCGGGUCCCCACACGUCAGUGUGCACCAGCUCUAGCUUCUCAGAUUUUGGUUCUCUUCCUCCUUUAGAGAAACUAACCCGUUUCUGUUUCCCAAGGAUGCAACUUUCACACAUCUGAUGAUCCACCGUCUUCAGAUCCGGAAGAGCACCAUUUUCCACCAUGAGUUUCAUCCCUUUCUCACUCAUGUGUCCCAACCUACAAUGCCACAACUUGGUAUGUUUGGCAUUCUCGACAACAGCAACAAUGUCUUGAUAACUCGUCGUCAUAUAAAGAGUGCCUCUUUUAUGACCUCUAGCCACCACCAUGGAACCUUUCUUGACUCUCCAGGCUCCACCACCAAAAUUAACAUCGUGCCCCGUAUCAUCAAGUUGACCUACUGGGAUCAUAUUUCGCAUCAACUUUGGCACAUGUCUGACUUUCGUAAUCUUCCACACACGUCCAUCUGACAUCUUUAGGUUGAUAUCUCCAAUACCAAUUAUGUCCAAAGGUAAUCCAUCAGCAAGAUAUACCUUUCCGUAAUUUCCCGCAACAUAAUUUUCCAUAAUGUUAUGGUGCGGUGUGGUGUGGAACGACGCUCCUGAGUCAAGCACCCAUGAAUCGACUGGGCUAUCGACAUAGGAGAUUGACGCUUUGGUGGUAUUUGCAGUUGCAUCACGAGCUUCAAUUUUCUUCGGAGAAUCAAUAGACACUACCAAUGCAUCAGCGAUUUCACGUGUCACUGCAUUGGCUCCGCCUCUAGUGUUGUCUUCCUUCUUCGGUGGUGCUCGGCAAUUCUUCUUAAUGUGACCUGUCUUUCCACAAUUCCUGCACUCUGCAGGUUGUCUGAAUUUGGACUGACCCCGUCCAUUCCUUGACUUCGAUCUGCCAUUACUCCGGUUAUUUCUAUAUGGGUUUCUCCCUCUGUUUUCCACGUUGAAAGCAUAACUCGUUGAUUCCUCCCUAGAGUCUAUCCUUCGAACGUCCUCAGCAAGGAUACGAUCUCUAACAUCAUUAAAUUUAAGCUUCUGAGUACCCACAGAAUUACUAACCGCUGCCUCAUUGGCUCCCAACUAUUUGGCAGAGAUGCCAACAAAAUCAGUGCUCGCACUUCAUCAUCAAACACGAUUUCAACUGAUGACAGUUGGUUGAUAAUCGUGUUGAACUCGUUCACAUGUGCGGCGACCAGGUCACCUUCUUCCAUCUUUAAAUGAAAGAGUUUCUUCAUGAGAAAUACCUUAUUGUUUGCCGAAGGUUUCUCAUACAUAUCUGAGAGAACUUUCAUGAGUCCUUCCGUGGUCUUCUCCUUCGCAACGUUGUGAGCAACGUUUUUCGAUAAUGUUAACCUUAUAACACCCAGAACUUGUCUGUCAAGGAGCUCCCCCACUCAUCCUGAUCCAUCUUCUCAGGCUUCUUGCUCAACGGUUGAUGAAGCUUCUUUCCGUACAGAUAAUCUUCAAUUUGCAUUCUCCAAAAUACAUAAUAUGUACCGUCAAAUUUGCCGAUACUGUGCGCCAAACCAUCUUCGCCUCCCAUCGUUUCUGGAACCACCGUGUAUUAAAAACACCUUUGUCGACAAACCGAUGUUACCGACAAAAUUUACUAUUCAUGAAUUACUGUUCACGUGAAUAGUAUCUCCGCAAAAAAAAUUGACUGAUCACCGUAACUCAAGCUCUGAUACCAGUUGUUAGGAAAUGUGCGGUCAAAUUUUGCGAAAAAUCGAAUUUAUGGGAGGGGGAAAAACACACAAAAUUGUUAACGGAGUUCGCCAAUGUUGCAUACGUCUCCGGACCUGUUACAUAUCUUUAUUAUCAACCCGGAAAAUUUUACAAGCUCUCAACUCACACCCGACCCCAAAUACACGUUUUUAAUUUUCUUACAAGAGAAUUUUUUUUUCUCACAAAAAAAAUUCUUUCUCUCUGGAACACUUUACUCUUGUGUUCUUCUUUGUUUUGGGAUACAUUUCAGAAACUAGAAGCUUGUAUAUUUAUAGGAAGAGCUUGAGGAGUAGGUGGACAUAAUUGUUGACAAAAGCACCUCCUUCUUUGAUUUUUGUUUUUCACUUCUUUCACCCUCCAACUUCACCGUCUAUUAUGAAACACGUGAUGUAACUAAUAUAAUUUACUACAAAAUCAUACUUUAUCACAAAACAUAAAAAAGGAAAGAAAUAGAAACAAAUUCUUGAUCAGAAGGCCAUGUAUGUAGAGGAUUAGAAAUUGACUACUGUCAUUAUCAUUAAUUAUUUCUAACAUUUCGAAGUAAAACUAAGAGCAUGUCCAAAAUAUUUUGUAUAAUUUCAAAUAUAGAGUUUUGUAAACUUCCAAAUAAAUAAUCUUUUUGGAGAUGUUGUAAUGUGUUAUCAUUUUGAAGCUUUCAGUUGUACCUAGUGGCAGAGCUAGUCUGUGAUUUUAUAAGGGUCAAAAACUAAUUUAUAGCUAAAAGAGGCAUGUAUGAGUUUUGAACUCCUAACAUAGGGGUCAAAAUGAGAAAUUUAAACCAGCACACCACAACAAUAACUUAGGAGACAAGCUUAAAGAUUAAGCUUUUUAUAGAUUUCAUACGGGUCAGGUGGGUGGCUCCGCCGCUGGCUGUACCAAGGCGACAAAGAGUCGUCUUUGUCGCAGCAAAAAAUAAAAUGAUCUCAUGAUCAACAAAGAAAAGUAGAAACUGUAAAGCUUUGUGUUUUGUUGAAGGUCACUCUAUAUGUGCAGACUAAAACGAUGAGAGGUGAAAAGUUCACCAAUAAGGAUGGAGAUUCCCUCAUUUAUGUUCUGCACUAGUUUGCGCAUUACUGAAUAUUGUUUCUAUUUACUACGUGAACGAUCAAUACAGCUCUCCUCUUUAAAUGGGAGGUGCGAAAUAUAUAUGUGCUAAAUAAAGCAGUAUUUCAUUUUCAUGUCUAGCUAACAACAUUUUUACACCAUUGCGAGCUUGUGAAUUUAGGCUUCUAAAUUUGCUUCAUAAAUAAAAUGUUGUGAAGAGUCUAAACUGAAUCACAAGGUGAUUUACAUUCAUAGUUUUGAUUACAUAUAUAUACUUUUAAUUGUUUCAAACAAAUUAUUAGUACAUGUUUCCCAGUCACCAGUGAGUUUGUUUAAACAAAUAUUCUUUGGCAUGUAAAUGCUAUUUACAAACAAGAGUUAUUUUUCUGUUUAAAUUUAUAAUUUAUAAGAACAAUGAGUUUUUUUCCUUUUUCACCUCAAAAGGUUAUUCUAAGAACAAUGGUUAUAAUUGGUAAACUUUGGUGUAAUAUAGAGUAAAUAAAAAAGUGAAAAAUAGAGUAUAUAUUAAAAAUCAGAUUUCUCUUGUCAAUUCAAAAGUAACUUUAAUGGUGUUUUCUUUACUUUAUCAACAGUACAUAGAAUAAAAAUACAAUGGUAAUAUUUUACCUGAUUGGUAAUUUUAUAGCUGAACUUAGAGUAAAAUAAUUUUACUCUAAAAUAACUACACAGUCGCUCCCAAUGAGUUAAACUUAAAGGCUAAAAAUGGUUGCAUAUGUAUGAAUGUGAAUGUAUGCGUGUAUAUAUAUAUGUACUAGGUUAAGAUAUGAGCCUUGUGGAAGAUAAACAUUAUAUAUAUAAAUUAUUUUAUGUAUAAUAUUUUUUUACAUAUUAUAAAAUAAUAAAUAUAUAUUGAAUAAUUAAAAAUCUAUAACUAUUACAUAUAUAAUUAAAUUGGUGCGAAUAUAUAAAUACAUUUUAUUAAUACAAACAAUAAUAUUUUAUUUGAUAAGAUAUAUAAUUAAAUUUAAAUGAUAUUAACAUAUAUAAUAUAUUUUUAUUAUAUAUUUUUUUAAAUUUAAUCCACGGAUUAUAUAUUUGAAUGUGAGACUUUUAACAGUUUUAGUAAUUUAGAAUUGUUUAAAAAAAUUCAAAAUAUAACAUAUACAGAAAAAUUUAAAUUUACCGAUGAAAUAUUUUUCAACAAUCUUGAGUAAGAAUAUAAUGACAGCUUAAUUUCGGGUGGAGGGACACGCUAGUCAGUCAUAUAUGAAAAGAAAUAUACGCAAAAAUAUAUGCUUAGACUAUUUGUUUUAUGUGUACUCAAGAAUAUUUUGGCAGCUUAAAUUUUAAAUUUUGUAAUCUUUUUUUUUGUCAAUUAUGAAAAGAAAUAUACGCAAGAAUAUUUCUUUCCAUAUAUAUAUGUGUGUGUGUGUGUUUGGUCCAUACGGCGUAGUCGAGUAACACGACGGCUUUGAAAAUGCGCUACACAUUCUGAAUCAAAACCUAUAAUUCAGAUAAGCAUGUGUGAAAAUAUAAAAUAUUUAUAUAGUUUGUUUUCGGGCUUCAAGAAUUUUUUUGUUUUUGUAACAAUGUUAAGAUAUAUUACCGAGCUUUUAAGUUUUUGAUAGAAUGGACAUGGACAACAAGAAACAGAAAGACAAUAUUGAACUAAACACAUACUCAAUCUAACUAAGUAGAGACUGAUUCAAGCUUUGAAUCUAAAAGCUAAAGAUACAUCAAAAUCAGAACACACGCUUGCCGCAAAAUCAAACCCACAGUGAUUACGAGAACAGAGCUCGGUAGAAUAGCGGCUUACCCGAUGAACUAUUCUUAAGGGUCGGGUUCUUCAGAAACAGCUUGCGGAGACCUCAAAAUCUGCAGCCUUCGCGGACAGAUAUCUUCACCUGAGACCGAGAGAACCCACAUAGACAAAGACGAGCUUUAUUUGGAGGAGGAUCAACCAAGAUCCGCCACAAACCAACAAACCUUUACAAACCGGGCUGGAAAACAGCCACAUCCGCCACAAACCAACAAACCUUUACAAACUGGGCUGGAAAACAGCCGCAUUUCCACUGAAAGCAAUCUCGAGACCCCCCCUCCCCCCCCACACAGCCGGUUAAAUACAACCACUAGAACGCAACCGGAUGCAGUUCUAGAGCUGGGAAGUUGUAUUCAAACACAUGAAAACACCAAGACAAGCUAUCCGAAUGACAAAGCGGAGAAGAGAGACCUGGGCAUGGUCAGACUCUGAGAACCAGAGACCCUGACCAGCUUUCUCAGAGCAAAGCAUCGAACCAGACACUAGGAAGGAACAGCCGAAGACUGGGAAACUGGAGACACAUUCCCUGCACAGACCCUGACCGGCUUCCAGAAUUAGUUGGGUAUUCGGACCCAAACAUAUAUGUUUGAAUUCUCUGCACCACGCAUUCUCUAAAUAUUUUCAUCUUUCUAUUGUAUUUUCACUUUCGUAUUUCAACUUUGUAUUUCAGUGGAAAUCAAUAAAAGUAAGUUUUAAUCAUAAAUUAAUGCUUGCAAUUUUAUUUCAGCUUUCAAAUUUUAUAAUUUACACUAUAAUCUUCUGUAUAUUACAAAAUUAUAAAUAUACAGAAUCAUAACCUGGGAUUUACUGUAUUUGUUUAAUUUAUUUUAAUAGUUUAAAAUUAAACAAAUAUGAUAGAAGAUAUACUAUUUUUUUAUCAAAUCUUUAUUAUUCAAAAUUAUUAAUUAUCAUGUAUAUUUUAGCCACAUUAGGCAAUUCCACAAUUUUUUUUAAAGAAAUACUCUCUCCGUUUCAAAAAGUUAAAUAUUCUAGAAUUUUUUUUUUCAAAAAUAUGUAUUUUUUAUAUUUCUAAUGCAACUUUUGUCAACUAAUAAUGAAUAAUUGUGAACUUCAAGAACAUUAAUUGCAUUUUUUGAAAUCUUAUUGGUUUAGAGAUAUAUGAAAUAUACAAUUAUAAAAAACUAUGCAUUAAUAACUAAGUUUUAUUAAUAAGCGUGAAAAUCCUAAAACAGAAAGAGUAAUAAAGAAUAUUAAUAAUGAAUUUAUGGUUAAUUUAAUAAAAAUCUUAUUAUAUAAUUAGAUGAACCAAUCUGUUUUUUUAAUGAUUUUAAGAAUCAUCAUAUUGAUGACACGUGGAUAAAAAAGAAGUUAUAAUGUUUCUCAAUUAAUAUACAUGGGAUAUAGUAUAAACAAAAACAAAAACAGACAUAUAAAAUAAAUAUAAAUCAAAAAUAGAAAAGACAAAGAAUCUAUCAAACUCUGUAGUUUAUACCGAGUGUCGACCUUUUUUGCACAACUAGAAAGUUCUUUUCCUAGUGGGUGGUUCGACAAUUUCGCCUUGAAUAUAUAUAAGAUACCCCCAUCAACGAUUUAUUAAAGUGAUGUUAAAAAAUGAUCAUAUAAGUUUAAUUGCGAAUAUUGAUGAUAGUACUAGUGGUGGUAUCACAGAGAGUUUGAUGUUGUCAGAGCAUUUUGACUGAGGAAUAAAUAUUUGGGUCUUUACUGGAUUCUCUAAACGGCCGAACCAAGUGACCACUUCCUUUGUAUAAUUGGAUUCUCCUAACAGCCAUGCGUGACGUUUCUGCGUAUUUCUACUCUUCUUCGUGCCGUCUCGUAUAGAAGGUGUGAAUAAAUCCAAAAAAUAUAAAGGGAUUUCCGAAUAUUUUUCGGGAGUUUGAACCCGACGUUAAUCGAACACGCAACCUUCUGAUCUGGAGUCAGACGCGCUACCAUUGCGCCACGGAUCCCCAUGUUAAAUGUAUACAAAAAUAAGUACAUAACUAAUACUCCGAAUACACAGGUCGAAUAAGACCACACGGUGAGUGUUGCUCGUCUUCCCUCAGGUAGGCAUGAAAUGGCGUCCAUUGAUUCUCUCCGGUUCCAUUCUCUCUGCAAUCUCCAGGUAAUACUCGAUCCAUCUCUUCUCCAAUCCCACUUACCGAUACUGCCUUCUCUUCUUCCAUUGAUUGAAAUCUUAAAGGUCGCGUUUUUUGUGUUGUUAUCUUUGAUACCCUAGUCGUCGAUUGGAAGAUCCAAGCUCCAGAUUCCUUCAAGCUUGGUUGUCUUCAGACGCAGACACAAGAAUCUAAACUGGGUUCAAGUCCAAACCAACCAAAGGUUCGUGUGCAAAUCGAUUGGUGACGAAUCCUCGACUCCAGAUGAAGAAACUCAGAAUGAUGAUAAUGAGGAAGAUGAUGCUGUCUCGACUCAGAGUAACACGGCCACUGACUCCGAGACUUCGAUUUCGAGAUUCCGGAGCAUGAUUACCACCAUUGCCAACGAUUCCGAGAAUUCAAUCUCGAGACUUGGAAGUAUGGUUGCCACUCUUCCUCCUGUCGUCUUCUUGGUAUGAUUCUCUCUCUUGAUGCUGCCUAAAGUUUGAAUCUUUCACGACUUUUCUAGAUAGUUAAUAAGUCAGUACUAUAAGAUACUCUUUUAAGCUUUGUUGCGUCUCUUUAGAUGAACAAGUGCUCAGGGAACAGCGUUUGGAUCGGUAUAAGCAUCGUAGCUACAGUUCUGCUCGCUUCUAUACGAGCUUAUGCAAUAAGGAAGUCGAGAGAUAACCGUCCUGCUGGCUCUGUUUCUGAUCUUGUGAGACGUGGCCAGCUGAGAUCUGGUGAUAGAAGAGGCAUGUAUGGAAAACUCACACUCUCUUACUUCUUGUUUCUAACUUUUUCGAACUAGUUGCCUUUGGUCUAACUUCUCCUUUAUCAGCAGCUCAAAGGCUAUGAACUACGAAGAUCCAUUCAACAACCCUUUUGUUAAAGUUGGUAAAGGAAGCUCAACGGUGGAGAUGUGCGGGAAAGUUUAUAAGUUAGCUCCAGUCACACUUACGGAGAAAGAACAAAGCAUUCAUCAGAAGAGGAGGUCAAGAGCUUACCAGUGGAAAAGACCAACAGUUUUCCUCAAGGAAGGAGACUCAAUACCGCCUGAUGUUGAUCCUGAUACUGUCAGAUGGAUCCCUGCCAAUCAUCCGUUCGCAACCACGGUUAGCGAUAUCGAUCAGGACCUCGCUCAGAACAAUGUUUAUCAAAAGCAAGGUGUUCCUUUCCGGAUUCGUGCUGAGCAUGAAGCUAUGCAGAAGAAGCUUGAAGCUUUACAAAAUGUAAGCUUUGUGUCUUUCUUUCACAUAGAUAAUCAAUACGUUUCAAGAAGUAAUGAGUGAUGGGUUGUUUUGUACAGGAGGAGAAGUUGAAUAAUUUGGGUAUUGACAGUCAAAAUGCCAGAGAUUAAAUGUAUACAAAAAUAAGUACAUAACUAAUACUCCGAAUACACAGGUCGAAUAAGACCACACGGUGAGUGUUGCUCGUCUUCCCUCAGGUAGGCAUGAAAUGGCGUCCAUUGAUUCUCUCCGGUUCCAUUCUCUCUGCAAUCUCCAGGUAAUACUCGAUCCAUCUCUUCUCCAAUCCCACUUACCGAUACUGCCUUCUCUUCUUCCAUUGAUUGAAAUCUUAAAGGUCGCGUUUUUUGUGUUGUUAUCUUUGAUACCCUAGUCGUCGAUUGGAAGAUCCAAGCUCCAGAUUCCUUCAAGCUUGGUUGUCUUCAGACGCAGACACAAGAAUCUAAACUGGGUUCAAGUCCAAACCAACCAAAGGUUCGUGUGCAAAUCGAUUGGUGACGAAUCCUCGACUCCAGAUGAAGAAACUCAGAAUGAUGAUAAUGAGGAAGAUGAUGCUGUCUCGACUCAGAGUAACACGGCCACUGACUCCGAGACUUCGAUUUCGAGAUUCCGGAGCAUGAUUACCACCAUUGCCAACGAUUCCGAGAAUUCAAUCUCGAGACUUGGAAGUAUGGUUGCCACUCUUCCUCCUGUCGUCUUCUUGGUAUGAUUCUCUCUCUUGAUGCUGCCUAAAGUUUGAAUCUUUCACGACUUUUCUAGAUAGUUAAUAAGUCAGUACUAUAAGAUACUCUUUUAAGCUUUGUUGCGUCUCUUUAGAUGAACAAGUGCUCAGGGAACAGCGUUUGGAUCGGUAUAAGCAUCGUAGCUACAGUUCUGCUCGCUUCUAUACGAGCUUAUGCAAUAAGGAAGUCGAGAGAUAACCGUCCUGCUGGCUCUGUUUCUGAUCUUGUGAGACGUGGCCAGCUGAGAUCUGGUGAUAGAAGAGGCAUGUAUGGAAAACUCACACUCUCUUACUUCUUGUUUCUAACUUUUUCGAACUAGUUGCCUUUGGUCUAACUUCUCCUUUAUCAGCAGCUCAAAGGCUAUGAACUACGAAGAUCCAUUCAACAACCCUUUUGUUAAAGUUGGUAAAGGAAGCUCAACGGUGGAGAUGUGCGGGAAAGUUUAUAAGUUAGCUCCAGUCACACUUACGGAGAAAGAACAAAGCAUUCAUCAGAAGAGGAGGUCAAGAGCUUACCAGUGGAAAAGACCAACAGUUUUCCUCAAGGAAGGAGACUCAAUACCGCCUGAUGUUGAUCCUGAUACUGUCAGAUGGAUCCCUGCCAAUCAUCCGUUCGCAACCACGGUUAGCGAUAUCGAUCAGGACCUCGCUCAGAACAAUGUUUAUCAAAAGCAAGGUGUUCCUUUCCGGAUUCGUGCUGAGCAUGAAGCUAUGCAGAAGAAGCUUGAAGCUUUACAAAAUGUAAGCUUUGUGUCUUUCUUUCACAUAGAUAAUCAAUACGUUUCAAGAAGUAAUGAGUGAUGGGUUGUUUUGUACAGGAGGAGAAGUUGAAUAAUUUGGGUAUUGACAGUCAAAAUGCCAGAGAUUUUCAGAGGCCAUACAAGUUCUCAAGCAAGCUCGAAGAAGACGAGAAUGUUCAGAAGAAUUCUCAGGAGAAUCAUACCGGCGAUUCAUCCUCCGAGGAGACGCAAAAGUCCUGAGAAGCAGUAAGCUUUGUAAAUAUAGCCUUGAGAGUCAUACUUGUGUUCCAAGAAACUGUGAGAUACUUUUUUGUAUUGAACCUUCAAAAACCCUAAACCUUCAUUUGCUUUUCCAUCAAGUUAAAAAGAGUUGGAAUCUCAAAUCUUCAACAUUGAGUAGUUUAGUUAUUAGAUUAAUUUUGAUAACAAAACAAAGGAGACAAAAAACGAAAUGAAAGUAUCUCAAAACCAAAAAAAAAAAAGAUGAAGAAAUCUUUAGUACACAGUGCAAGUGAAGAAGAAUCAAACUUUACAAAUCAUGUAUCGUCCUUAGAAGGAGCAGAAGCUUGAGCUCCAAAGGCAAAGUAGUCUGUGAUAACCUCCAAAGGCAUACCUUUAGUCUCCGGAACCUUCAAGUAAACAAAGACCCACGAGAUCACGCAAACCGCAGCGUAGAUACUGAACACACCGACGAGUCCAAUGGAGCUGAGGAGAACAGGAAGCGAGUAAGUGACAAUAAUGUCACAAAUCCAGAACACCAUAGCGCAAAUGGCGAUGCAGAGACCACGGACUCUUGUCGGGAAGAUUUCAGAACAGAGGAUGUUUGGAAUGGGACCGUAACCCAUCACGAAGAAGCAGAUGUAUAGCACAACGCACACCGUUGAGAGCGCUGCGUUAACAACUUUGCUGAUCUGGACAAGCUCGCUGAUGAAAAGGGCGACAAGUGAGACGAUGAGGACAGGGAUCGUCCAGAGAAGCAAUGCCCUGCAAUGAAAAACAGAACAUGAGUAAACAAGGAGUUUAUGACACAAGCAUAGGCUAGUAAAGUAUUGGUUUAUGGUAUCAUUUUUUUUUAAAAAAAUUACACAUACAUAAACCUUAAAUUUAUAAGAAAAAAUAUUUAUAUUGAUUUAUGAUAAAUUAUCUAUAUGCAUUCUCUAAAAUCUCAAGACCCGCCAAAAAAUUUACAUAUAUAUAAACCUUAAUUUUAUAAAAAAAAUAUUGGUAUAUAUUUACAAUAAAUUAUCUAUAUUCUUUCUUUAAAAUCUCAGGACCGACCGUGAAUAGAAAGUCAUAGCAUUUUGUUAUUACCUUCUUCCAGAGACAUCCAUGAGUCUCAUGGCAACGACAAUAGCUGGAAGCAUGAGUAAAGUUGUUAACCCACUGAUGAGGAACGACGCCGAGAUGGAGCUUAGACCGAAGCUUGAGAGAAGAAUGUCUACACCAGCACGUUCAAGAAUCUGAGGAGUGUAGUAAAGAACUCCAUUGAUACCUGAAAACUGCUGUAGUAUCUGAAUCCCAACACCAACAACCAACGCACGCUUAACACCAGGCUCAAGAAGAGCCGACCAGAGCGGUCCAGUGGGAGGGGCCACGUCAGAUCCAUGGACCGACUUAGGACCAAGAACUGAUCUGCUCACAAGUGCUGAAGCGUGAACGUAGCUGCCUCCAUCGUGACCACCAGGAAGAGAAACGAUUGAGCCACGGCGAGACUCUGCACCGUCUUCUUUAAGGUAAUAACGUUUGUACUCGCCGUUGUCGUAUCUGUAUCCCAUGUGCCAACCACCGCCGAUCCCCAUGCUGUUUUCACCGUUAAGCGUGCUGUGGCGUCUCAUGCUCAGCGUGCUUCCUCCUGUAGGAUGUGGGAUCACGUCCUUGUCCGUGCUUGUGGCCUGACGCGACAUCAACGGGCUGCGAAGAUCGUUAUCCGAGUCGUCAUCAGGUGCAUUGUCAUCGGUGGCGUAGUCAUCGUGGUCUUUGUUGAACUGGCUCUCGACGUCUUUCUCCCAGUGAGCUGGUUUCAUGUGGGGCACGUCAGCGUUAGUGCUGAACAUGCUUCCGAAGAUCCCACUCUUUGUGUUUCCACCUGCUUCAGGCAUCUUCUCGUGUAGACUGUCGAAUAGACCCACGAUCGGGUCUUUGUGGAUCCCGCUUUGGUUUGCUAAGCUUCCGUGGCGAGAACGUAGCCCAAGUGAACUCUGUUGUUGGUCCGUGACGGGUCGAGCAAUGUAAGAUUGGUUCUCGUGUGUUCCGAGAAGCCUCAUUUGUCCGUCCUCAUCGACAGUUUCAAGUGUUUCAUGUUCCUCCAACGUUACUAAGAGAUCCUCUAAUGUCUUUUCUCCACCAAUGUCUAAUCCUUCAACAAGCAAAGCCAUCUCAUCUGCAAAAAAAAACCAUAACAAAAACUGUUAAUAGUAGCCAGGGCGGGUUCUGAGGCUCAGUUGGAUGAAACAUUCGUCUUGGUCCUAAAUUCUAAAGAGAUAUUAUACAUAGUCAAAUGAUCUCCAAAUUGUCAAAUUUUUUUAAUUAAGAUUAGCCUAAAAUAUUUCAUGACCUCCUAAAUCUUAGAGCCGGUCCUGAAGUGGCUAAACCAAACAAAGAUAGCGAGAAGGAGCCUUACCGGUAACAUCUUCUCUGCCACAUAACAUUUGAAGAACCUUCUUAGCCUCAUCCAUUCUUCCUUUACUAACCAACCAACGAGGCGACUCGGGCAAAUAAAACACCGUGAAUAACAAAUACACGAGAGAAGGGAUAGAUAGGACACCGAGCAUGGCUCUCCAGCUAGGAGCAUCGCUCAGGGACAUAGUGAAAACCAUGCAGUAAGACAGAAACAUUCCACCAGAGCCAAGAAACUGAGGAAGAGUGUUGAGCUGUCCUCUGAUCUCUGGAGGAGCGGUCUCAGAGAUGUAAACAGGGACAAGGGUAACGGCGAGACCGGCACCAAACCCAUCAAGAAGCCUAGCUAAGCAUAGGACAUAGACGUUUGGAGACCAAAGCAUUAUCAAACCGCUGAGGAAAUACAUGACCGAUGCUAGAAUCAGCAUGGGGCGUCUCCCGAGCCAAUCAGAGAUGGGUCCAGAGCAAGUGGUGAUGACCGUUGCACCGAUCAAUGACAUUGCUACAACAAGACCUUGAACAGAGGUUGCUAGAUUCAUAUCUUUGUUGAUAUAAACCAUUGCUCCUGCAACAUUUUAGAAAUCUUAAAUGAGACUGAUCUGAUGCAAACAAAUUCAAAUCAUCAAGAGAAGAGUUACAAACCAGCAAUGGUGGCAUUGUCCCAUCCUUGCAAGAAAUUGCCGAUAGUGGCGGCGAGAGCAACGAGGGUCGCUCCCUUCAUUGUUCAAACCAACCCUAAACACACAAAACCAUAAUUCAAAACAGUUCUAUUCAGUGAUUAGACAUUUCAAAGUUUCAGACUUUUAGUCAACAAUUCAAAAAAGGAAGAAAAAAGUUAAACUUUCCAAAUCAAGAUCUAAAUCACAGUCAAUUCAGAAUAUUGUUGAACCAAAAGAUUUAGUAAAAUUAAGUUUCAAAAAAAUAUAUUUAGUAAAUUAGACUACAAGAUCCUUUAAACAUUAGAUCAUCAAUGAAUAUGAAAAUGCAGCAACCUAGGAGGUAAAAUAUUAGCUUUUUAGUUUAGGUGAACGAACGCAAAGAAAAGCUUUUUUUUUUUUUUUUUUUUUUGCUAAAAGAAAAGCUUUUUAGUUUAUGUGAAUGAAAGCAAACAAAAAGAUUGCUUCACUUUCUGGGGAAAAGGUGUCACCUUUUCUUUUUCUUCUGAAAGUACAAUUCUCCUGCAGUCACGAGGAACUGAACUCUUCUUUUUUUAGUUUGCUUUGCCUUUUCGUCUUCGAAUUAUAAAUCAAGAAAGAGAACAAGGAUGAUUUUUGGAAUAUUUUGAUCGUUGAUUAACUUUUAUUUUCCCCGGAGAUGGAAUCUACAAUAAGGACAAGUAAUGGUUUUCAAAAUUAUUGCUACAACACUAAGUAAACGAAAAAAAAACAAAUAAUUGCUGCCAUACCAACAAAAGUUUGGUUAUUUCUUUUAUUAAAAAAGGAGAAAACUAUCGCUGCAUGGGAUUUAACUUUUUUUAACUAAAAAAAUUGCAUUUACAUACAGUAGUUCUUCUUGGCUGGUAAGAACUCUGUGGUGAAGAGCGAUUUAUGAGGAUUGUGUAAUGUUUUCGACACUUUAUAUAGAAGAGUCGAACAGAAAUAAUCAUAAUCAAUCUAUGUCACUAUCAAAAUUCUGAUGUAAAGAUCUAGGGAGAACUGUAUCUGACUGAAUACGUAUACAGAAAAACAUCAUUGUCGUGACUCAUCUAUGAGUAGAUUUGUAGGAAAUUAAUUUAAAGAGGGUCCGUCCGUUACGACAUGGAUCACGAUAGAGAGGAUAACGUUUUGUUCUUCGUCAAGAAAAUAUUAUCUCUUUUUGUUGUCAUGAAAGUCACAUUUUCAAAUCUAUCGUUAAGUGGUCCGGCUGUAUGUCACGUUCGUGUAAAAGUUGGACCUUUCUGUCGUCAUUUUUUUUUAUAUUUAGAUCAUCAAAAUUCAUUUCUAUUUUUUGCACUGAAAAGUUUUGAAACAAUUUUAGAAAUCUUAAAAGAUUUGAUUAUCUAAAUUUAUGAAUUCAACUGAAAUUUAAUUUCAGACUAAUUUGUUUAAAAUAUAUAUUAUUUAUAGUUUCUAUGCAUAAUUAGUUCUAUAUGUUUUCAGUAAUAUUUUGUGAUGUCCAAAUAGCAGAAGAGAGCAAAAAUAAACACCAAUGAAGGUGAAAACGUUUUCUCAUAAAUUACGACCGGGACAAUGUGGAACAUGCAAAUGCAGAGGAAUCCACGUUAUAACAUCAUCUCAAUAGUUGCAAAAGAAAAACAUCUCAAUUGUUGUCUAAGUUAAUAACGUGCUCCCUUCCGUUAAUCAUCUUUGGUCAUAAUUUUAGUCAUAUAAAUUUUCAAGUUACAAACUAGCGUUUUAGAUCAAGCAUAGUUCAGAGAUGAUAUCUGAAACGUAGUAAGAAUAUCAAAUAAACAAAUAUAUUUACAGCUUUUCUGUCAAAUCGAAUGUAAUAUUUCAGUUUUCAGAUGUCACACAGUCGUAAAGGGUGGGGAGCCAACAAUUCGUACAAACAUUUAUUCAAUUUACAGGAAUUCACAAGUGAUCAUGUGGCUUCAUUAUAUUAGCUAGGUCAUACUUUCGUAGACAUAUAAAUAUAUACGUGCACACACAAUCGUUGGAUGUACUGCGAAGUUCCGGUAAAAGGACGAAGAUACUUUGGAAGAAAAGGGCUAUGAAACAACGUUAAAAAAAUACUAUUAAAGAGAAAAAGGUUAUAAUCAAGAGACGCAUGGGGUAAGGUGCAAUGGGCGAUGAACACGGCGUCAAUGAGAGGGCAUGUGAUAUUAUACUAUUAGUGCUUUGUCACUUUCUCACGUACCUUUUUGUGCCUUACCAGUUACCAAUUACUUCUCCUCUACUACUACUUUAUAUAUUAUAAAUAAUGGAAUAUGAAAGGCGACAACAGGAUACACUACACCAUAAUAAGUUUCAAAAAGAUUUCAAUAUAUGUAUACUUUUCUAGUUCUGCAACAAGUUGAUUUUAUUUUCCUUUGUACAACACAAGUUGAGAAAUAAUAUCAAACGUUCCUCUUUCAUAAUAUAUACAUAAGACCUAAAGAAACAUGACAACGGUCUUUGUCUUCGUAGAGUUCGUGCUCCCAAGUAUCAUUCGAGCAUCUCCGACCACGUGUCUCCACCUCAAAACGGAUCUUGGAACACGAUUAAUGGGGAUUCUUACGGUGAGAUUCUUAUCGGAAUAUAAAAAACAAUUUCUUAAUUUUUAACUAAAAAAACUAAGAACGGACUCUAUAAAUAUCGUAUCUAAGAGCCGGUUCUUAAUUUUUUAAGUUAAAAGUUAACGGAUUGUUUCUUAUAUUCUGCUAAGAACUCACCCUAAAAACCCAUAAGUUCUUGUUUUUGUUUCACAUUUUUAUAAUAUUUUGUUGAUUUUUUCGCUCGAAACGAAUACCAACUAUAUAUUUGUUUCGUCUAUACAAGCAUAUAUCAUAGUAUUUUUCAGAGAGUUUUUGCUAAUAUAAUGAAUAAAUAAGCAUGAAAGAGGGAGAGAGAAAACUGAGAAACUUUCAACAACAAUUGAAAAACUUAUCUUACAUUUAGCUUUAUAUGAUUGGAUUAACAUAUUUUAUUUAAAAUUUAAUUGCAAUAUUACAAUUAUUUAAAAUUUAAUGGCAAUAUUACAAUAUAUUUCGUGGAUAGACUUUGUACUGAUGAUGAUGAUGGCCGUUGAUGUCCUGUAAAGAUAGAACCAGUGAGUUUUCAAUUUGGACUUUUACAUGAUUCAUGUUUUAGAUCAUCACCCACUCUAUAAAAUAUAGGUGUUACUUCAUAGUAGUUAGUGGUCAUAUAUAAAAAAUAACUUAUAAGUUCGAAGAUCUGAUCCUCCUGACUGUGUUAUCAGAUAUCUUGGUGGAAAGACAGGUCAAACUUUGUUCUUUAGAGAAUAAUAAUAAUCUUACAAGAAGAUAAAAGAAAAAUACCUCACUGUAGUCUCAUAUCUUAUGAAUUUUAGCUAGCCUGAUUAAAGAAUAUGUUUUAAAAGUUAGAUCAAUGGUCAAAAACUAAGCUAAUUAUAUCAUCGAUUAAAGCUAACACUCAUUACUACCAUAAUAAUACAUGGCUAGCUUGACACAAUAACGCCUAUAACUAAACACAGUCCACUGUGAUAACUAAUUUUCCUACUUUAACCACUCUCACGAAACGAUUUUAAACGACCAGAACGUCGUGUUGUAAUGUUACAGGAAGUAUCGGGAACGUGAAAUAUCAUGGCGUUUUUUAAUAGUUGGCCAGUUCUACUACUAGCCCACCUUUUCUUUCGAAGAAAUGCUGCUGAAUCAACCUGGAAAGUUAGCUGGUAGAGUUGUGGAAAGAGGUUAGUGAUUGUGGGCCGCAAGACGAUAUUAAUACAAACCAUAGAAAGAUGUAACUAUCCUUGUCAAAAUUGAUUUUCAGAUAGUCAAGAUUUAAUCCAAAUAAGGUGGGCCUAGUAUAGACUUGAUUAGGAGCAUUGCCAUAUAUCAUUCCAGAGGCCUAUCUUAGAUGAUUGAGCUUCUAGACCAAGUAGAGGGUUCUGAUGCUGCAGAGAACUUACUAAACAAACAUAAACAGAUUACUUGGAGUCAAAGUUUCCUCAAGGAAGACAGAAUCAAGCUUAAAGACACAAGAGUUUAUACAAGAUUCAGAUUCAGAUUCAGACAACUUUACUCUAAGGCAAAAAGAUCAAAAAGUCUAUCCUAUAUAGACUAACCUUUCUCUUUCAUUUACUCUUAUCAACUAACAAAAGUACAAAACUUCCAGUAACCCUAAUGGCUCUCUCUUCGCCUACAAGAAUCCUCUGUUUUGCUCUUGCUUUAUCGGCUGCAUCUCUGUCCCUCUCAUUCGCUCUGCUUCCCACGACUUCUCCAUCGUUGGAUAUUCCCCUGAGGAUUUGGAAGCUCAUGAUAAACACAUCGAGCUCUUCGAAAACUGGCUCUCCAACUUCGAGAAAGCUUAUGAAACCGUUGAAGAGAAGUUGCGUAGGUUCGAAGUUUUCAAGGAUAACCUGAAACACAUCGAUGAGACUAAUAAGAAGGUGAAAAGCUACUGGCUUGGUCUCAACGAGUUUGCGGAUUUGAGCCACAAAGAAUUCAAGAAUAAGUAUGUAAUGACCCUAAAUGUAAUGAUCCCAAAAAUUUGACCCAAACUAUCCCCAAAGGCCAUUUUGCCUUUCUUUAAGAGAGAGAGAGAGAGAGAGGAAGAAGAGGAAGGGAGAAAGCUCACCUGAGCUCGUCGCCGGAGCAACCGUGUGCCGUGACCACGUUGAGCUCGUCACCACCGUUCGCUGCAGCUUAGAAUCGCCGGAAACCGCCAUGCAGUUAAGCUUAGUUUCGUCUUAAAUAAUUAAUUAAAUAAUUGAUCUUGACCAGCGGGUUGACUUUUUCGUAAAUACCCGUUUUAAACCGUUCGAAAGGCGUUCUGACUCGAAAUUUCGAUCUGAUUUCAGAUUUGGAAUCCAUUUGAGCAGAUGGAGUUCAUAUAUAACACUUCUCUUCAUUGCUAAGGUGAGGGCUACUCCGUUAAAUCCUGAGCUAGUUUAGUACUACCAUUAUGGAAAGUUUAGUUUCGAAACAUGGAUCCGUCUCUUUGAAUCGAGUCUGUUUGAGAGUCUUGGUUGUUCGUUAUUGAUAUUGAUUGUUAAAACGGAAAUAAGCCCAUACCUCACUGGGCGAUUCCCCUGUCGCUCACCCCUCCUUCUUUCCCCCUUUCAGGUGAGACCGACGAGCAGGAGUGAUUAUACCGGACCGGUGCUUUUGGGCUUUUACUACUAUUGGGCUUUUGGGCUUCUAUCGUUUUAUCGCUUUUAUCGUUAUCGGGUCUCUAGGCCUUUGGGCUUUUAUCGUUUAUGUUAUUUCGUAUUUCGGACUCUCGGUUUAUGUCGUACUUUAUGUUUCAGAUUUUAUUUUAUAUUAUGGAAUUCAAGCGUGGAUGUUGACUUUCAAAUAUUUAUAUAUGGAUAUUUCAGAUAUUUGUACUUAUCGAAUUAUUUUUACUAUUUCGAAAGUGACGGGUGUCACAAAGUAUUUAGGGUUUAAGACUGAUAUAGCGAGACAUGAUGGUGAGAGAUCCUACGAAGAGUUUGCUUAUAAGGACGUUGAGGUUUGCCUAAAUCUGUUGACUGGAGAAAGAAAGGAGCCGUGAGCUAUGUCAAGAACCAAGGCUCUUGUGGUAAUCUCAAAUCUUGGACUAUGAUGUAUUAUAGUUUUAGCAUUUUUCAUUUAAUUUUUUGUUUUUUUUUAAUUAUCACGCAGGAAGCUGUUGGGCGUUUUCGACAGUAGCGGCAAUGGAAGGUAUAAACAAGAUUGUGACAGGAAACUUGAAAACAUUGUCAGAACAAGAACUCAUAGACUGUGGCACAACCUUCAACGGUGGUCUCAUGGAUUAUGCUUUUGAGUACAUUGUCAAGAACGGCGGCCUUCGCAAGGAAGAGAAUUAUCCUUAUUCCAUGGAAGAAGGAACUUGCGAGACUCAAAAGGAUGAUUCUGAAAUGGUGAAUAUCAGUGGGCACCAAAAUGUACCUAGGAACGACGAUAAGAGUCUCUUGAAGGCAUUGGCUCAUCAACCACUCAGUAUUGCUAUUGAUGCCUCUGGUAGAGAGUUCCAGUUCUACAAGGGAGUAAGUCAUUAAUUAAUAUUAACUGCAAUAGGUUGCACGGGUACGGCAACUUAGUGCUGUCUCGCGUACCGGGCUCGGCGGGGGGACGGGGACGGCUCGGGUACGUCUAGGAAACGUCCCCAACACGUGUGCAGUGAACCCGAGACGGCAUGACUCGACGGGGAUGGGUUUGGUCAGAGACCGGAGACGUCUCGUAAACGUUUCUAAGCCAAUUCGACGUAUCUGUUUGAUUUUUUUGUGUGUCACGAUGUGUAAAUUAAUCUAUAUUUGUUUUGAUUUUUUUAAUUAAACUUUUCCACCUUAAAGCAUGAUUAUCCAUAGAACCCAUUAGGGUCUCUUAAUCACUUGUUUAGUAAUAAAUGUGUCUUAAGAACUUUAGUUAAGAAAUACUUAAAUUUUUAACCUCAAUUGCAAAUUUCUCAAGUAAGGGUUUUAAAAAAAAAUUAUUAAACAUUAUUUUAUUAAAGAUAAAAUUUAUUUAUUAAAUAAAACAUAACAAAAGAUAACAUAUUAAACAUAGAUUUAACAAAAAACAUAGAUUAGUAAAAUAAACGAGAAUAAUUUGAAAUAAACAUCCGAGCUCAGUUGUUGUCUUCAUUACGUCCAAAUUUACGCCAUAUAUGUUCAACCAAAUCAACUUUCAGAUGUUGAUGAAUUUGUCUAUCACGAAUUCUAGGUCGAACACCCAUCAUAUUGGCGAUAUUUGUAGGGAUAUAUGUAGAAUACGUGAGAUCGACAUAUGAACUUCCGUUGUCUUCUCCUUGUUGGAACUCCGAAACAUCAAAUUGAGUGUAUCCAUCUCGUUCAUCUUCUACUAUCAUAUUAUGAAGUAUGAUACAUGCUCGCAUAAUCUUUCCAAUUUUGACUUUAUCCAAAAUAGUGCUGGAUUUUUAACAAUGGCAAAUCGAGCUUGCAAGACUCCAAAAGUACGCUCGACAUCCUUUCGGACAACUUUUUGACGUUGAACAAAUAAAACUGCUUUCGGCCCUUGUUGUAUUGGAAUAGAUUGGAUAAAAGUUGUCUAUUUCGGAUAAAUACCAUUGGUGAGAUAGUAAGCCAAAUGAUACUCUCUUCCAUUGACAUAGUAAGUGACUUGCGGAGCUUGACCCUUUAUUAAGCCAAAUGAUAUAGUAAGUGACUUGCGGAGCUUGACCCUUUACUAUGUCAUCAAAUACCAUUGGUGAGAUAGUAAGCCAAAUGAUACUCUCUUCCAUUUGGCUCCGCAAAGUAUGCUGCAAUCCUCUUCCAGAAAUCACCAGAUCGUUGUUCAUUCCCUACAACAGGGUCUUUGCUCGUGUUUAACCACGAGCUGAUGAGCACAAUAUCAUCUGUUGGCGUCCAUUUCUUUCGUUCUCUACGCUCUGCAGGAGUGGCUUGACUCUCUUCUACUAAACGAAACUGUGAUGAAGCUUCAGUACCUUGACUCUGUUCUAGUAAACGAAACACACUGUCUUGUUGACUAUUUAGAAGCUCAACAAACUUUGGUGUCUGCGUAUAUGGAUUAUAAUCCAUAUCCGGAAAUGUCACAGAAGAGAAUAAAGAAGUUUAAAAGACAAGAAUGUCUUUACUAGAUGGAAAAGAAGAAAGAAGUUUAAAAGAUGAUAAGAAAGUGAAGAAGGAAUGUGUGUUUAUAGAUGGCAGAGAAGGAAGAGAAGAAAAGAAGUUUCAGAUGCAUUCAUCACAACCAACCAAUUAAAACGACUUGACAUUUAUCUACAACAUUCAUCACAUUAAGCCUUAGCAAUUCUAGCUAACCAUCACUUCUAUUUAUCACACAACCGUAUUCUAACUCUAACCAACACAUUAAUUACCCUCGAUUCAAUUCAUACCAGAACCUAAAUCAAUUCGUUUGCAGAACCAGAUCACAGAGUAACACUAACCUUAUUUGUACAUUGUACUCCUUUGCUCGAUGAAUCUUUCUCAUGUCUCUUCAUCCAUCUGGCUUAAGGCAUAAUGACAGAACAAAUGAAGAGGGAUUUGAUCCUUCCAGCUGACAACACAAAGACAGAAACAAAAAAUAAAUCAAAACCAGAAACCAACACAACAAACAAACCAAAAUUGAAACAAACUUGCAACAACCAAUUCGAAAUUGAUCAAUCCAUCUUAAGACACAAGAAACACGAUCUAGAGACAGAAUUGAACAGCACAAACAAAUCAAAAUUGAUAAACCUUGAAGAACAUGAAACAUAAGCUUUACCUUUUGACUAUCGGACAGCCACCGAGAGAGAGGCCUUGCGCCGUCGCGGAGAGCAACUGAGAGACAUAAUCGAAGAGAAUAAACACAACAAAAUGGAAAAACUUGCGAUCAGAACAAGAACAUACAUAAUCUAAAGACAUGCAUAAACGAACAACACAAAAUAUCUUUACCUUUCGAUUCGAGGAGAGCCACCGAGAAUCAGGUCCGCCGCCGUCGAGGAUAGCCACCAAGAGAGAGAGAUCGACGUUUUCCUCCUUCGAGAACGGCCACCGAGAGAGACGUCGCCAUUUCACGAUGGAGAGCCUCAGAGAGGAAGACAUCGCCUCUUUCGUCGCCGAGAGAGCAUUCGAGAAAGAGAAGCCGAAGAAACAAACCAACCCCACACCUCUUCUCUGUCCUCUAAUUUCUUGACACGUGUAUGCUAAGAUAUGUUGCUUGCUUCCCCUAAUUAAGAGCCGUGUCUUAGAUUAAUCUGUGUUUUUCAUUUUCUUUUAAAUCUCUUCCACUCCCACUCCCACUUUCAUGUAUUUCUCUUUGACUCUUGAGUCUCAGCCACGUCUCUCUAUGACAACUUAACUUCAUGUCUAUGUGAUUCUGACUCAAAGAUCUGAUUUAAUGUUUUUUUUGUUGUUUAAUGUUAUUUCAUUUACAACAUUUCUGAUUUUUAUUCUGUGUGUUUUUGUAUACAAAGAUGUGAUUUCGUAUGUUUCUGAUUUCUCUCGAUAUAUCAUAUUUCAUACGUUUUAUUUAAUUUCAUAUAGAUUAAGAAGAUGAAUUCCCAAACUGAAGGUGUGAUUCAAUAUGUUUCUGAUUUUACUUGAUAUAUAUAUAUGUUUACUUAUAUUUUGGUUGCCGUUUCUAUGCCGUACCCGUAUCUAGAAAUUUUAAGUUUGUCGUUUCCAGUCUCCGUUUUCUGUCUCCGUUCCCGUCCCAGGGGUGCAUUUUAAUACAUGAUUCAAGAAAAUGACUGAUCCAUUGCUUAGUUCUCAUGAUUUUACUGUGUUUAGUUUGGUAUAUGAAGGGUGUCUUUGAUGGGCGGUGCGGGGUAGAUUUGGACCGUGCGGGGUAGAUUUGGACCAUGGUGUGGCUUGGGUAAACACUGGGAAGCCAGAGGGUCUCUGUGGAAUCAACAAGAUGGUUUCUUUGCCCACCAAAACUAAAUGAUAAAAUCAUUCUAUCUUUUUUGAAAAUGAUCACUAUCUUCAUAUUGAUAUGAACGUUAUCAUGACAUUGUAAUUUAAGUGUUUCCUUGUGACUUACGAAUUGAAAUGUUGUAACAAUGAUGGGGCAAAAAUAAGUUUUCAAACAAUGAAGUCAGAAUUUAGGUUAAACCGUCUACUUUCAAAAAUAAAAUAGAUAUUGGAAAAAAGAAAAGAAUAAGGUUUUAUGGUUGAUUUUUUUUCAGUAUUUUAAAAGAAAACUAUUCUAAUAUUUGUCAUUUUUUCAUUGGCCAAUUAUUUAAUAUUUAAUACUUGGUUGAGAAACUCAAUUUUCUGCCCAAUGGUAUGAGAGCAUCAUUAACUGGGUAUGCAACUCCCGUCUCUUAGUAUUAAUUAGAUUAAAAAAAGAAAAUUAGCAUAAUUAUGAGGAAAUGUAUCUUCAUCAGGGGAAAUAAGAAACACCUCUUCUGAGACACAUUGUUGUCUUUUGGUUGUUCUUGUGUGUUUCUCUCUCUCCACGGAAGCAAAUCACCGCAUCUCAAACCCGUCGACGGAAGCAAACCCGUGCCUCUAUCGAUAGAUCGUAAUCGAAUUGGGGAGGUGUAGAGGAACCGAUCAACAUGGGUAACACAGAUAAGCUGAUGAAUCAGAUAAGCUGAUGAAUCAGAUAUGUGGAUUUGUAUGAUAGUUUGAUUGUUUCUGGGUAGAGAGAAAGGUUUUGUAUGAUUGUUUGAUUGUUUCUGGGUAGAGAGAAAGAUAUGUGGAUUUGUAUGUUUGUCUGAUGAAUCAGAUAUGUGGAUUUGUAUGAUAGGUGAAUGUGGAUUUGUAUGAUUGUGGGAACCGAAAUUCGCACUGUCGAUUUCCAUUUAAAUUAGGAAAGUUAGGAAAACCCUAAUUUCCCAGAGGUCCCGGAUAUCUAUUAAACCACACGCCAAGCAAUCAGAACACGCGAUUAAAGACCAAAAGAAAUAAGAAAUCGUAAAAGAGAGCAAAAUGAGUUUUAUUCCGAAUCCGCGUAUGAGCGUUACAACAAGGUAGAAGCCUUGGCUACGAGAGCUGUCGGCGAGAUUCCUAGUUCUAACAACCUAAGACUGCAAAACCUAGUUGAGUCGCAGCUCGAAAUAACAAAAACGGAAAGUUGCCUAAUUGCUCUAAGUGCUAAGUUUGCUCUGAAAAAGUCUUCCCCUUAUGCCUCUCGCCUAGGACCCCUUAUAUACUGGCUCCAAGGUCGGUUUACGCCUUUCCUCUUCUGCCCUUAAGCCGCCAUAGCAUAAAAAUAGAGAUAUUCCAUUUUUUCCGAUCUUCGUAAUUAUCUUCAAAACUACGGGCUGUUGGUUAAGAAAUCGUAAGUUGGGCCUCGAGUCAUGUCUUAGGUACGUAGCGACCGAACUUUGGUUCGAGCUCGGUCGCUACGUAGCGACCGAGCAGAAUGGGCGUUUGGUCGCUACGUAGCGAUCCUUCUCGAGUUCUUGUCCGAUGAUUCGAGUCUCUUCCGUAAAGAUUUUCGUAAAGAAGAAUCUAUUUCAAAAAAGUAUUUGUCGGAGAAGUUUCCUACGUUUUUCUUCUUCGGGGAUUUGGACGUUAACUUCGUCGUAACCGUUUUCGACCCCAACAGUUAGCCCCCCAGCUCGUUAGAGUCGAGACUCUUGCGGGCGGUUUAACGAUUUUGUCGAAGUUAGGCGUAUUGAACGAAGUUUACUUCAAAUUCCGCGGAAGAGAAUUCUCGAGAAAACUUUUAUUUAAAAAAUAUAAAAUUCUGAGUCCCCAUUUCUAUAAGUAGUGAGCUCUUGUCAUUCAUUUGCUUCACACCUUUCAUUCUUCAAACCUUCGAAAACUCUCUAGCUCCAAAUCUCUCUCUUUUUUUAACAUGUCUUCUUCCCAUGGUGACAAGCGAAGUUCCGAUGUGGAGAUGGGCGAGGCUACAUCUCCGGCCCCGAUUCUGACUUCUCCGGUCGAAGCGCCGGCUUGCGUUGCCGAUCAUCUCUCCUUUUGAGAGAAAUUAGUUCGUCGCCAAGCCGAGAAAGAAAAGGUUCGAGCCGGCGCCGAGUUACCAUCCUCUUCUGCACUGGCCGUUGCUCCGGGUCAUGGGACCGAGGGCGUAACUCCGCGAGAUACGGGAACUCUCGCAGGCUCGGUUGUUCCGGAUGCUUCGGCUUUACCUGCUGGAUCGUCCACGACUUCGAUUCUUGUCGAAGAUAAGGAGAGGACCGCUGACUCUAUGCCGUCUCCUCUGGCCAGGAAGGAGAUCGUUCUAGCGCUGCACGCUCCUAGUGUUGUUCCGGUUACUCAGCCUAAGGGCCGGAAGAGGAAGUUUACCAAGGGCGGUGACGGGGAAUCUUCGCAGCAAGGAGGCUCGAGCAUAGCGUCGAGGCUUCGCGGAAAGGUUUGUCGCUUACUCACUUUCUUGCUCAUUGUAUAUUUUUCUAAAAGACAAAGAAUCUCUAACUUUCUUCUCGUUUCGCAGUUCGUGUCGUUGAUCGACGGGAUGAUCAGCGAGUGCGGUUCUGAGACCAGUCGUCUUGCCGGGGAGUUGUUGAAACUUUGGUCCAAAACCGAGGCCAUGCUGACGGCUGUCAAGGGUUCUCACUCCGUGAAAGUGUCGAAACUUGAAAUCGCGAUAGGGGAGCUCGAGAGGGACAUCGGGAAGACGGCGAGUUCAUUGCUCAAGGAGAAGAAAGCCAGGAAGGCCAAAUCUUCGGAGGUUCGUCGUCUUCAGCGUCAGAUUGAGAGCGAUGCAGGAUUAGUGAGCCGCGGGAUUCGAGAGGCCAAGGACGCUCUUAGUUCUGAGUUCCAAGCUCGCUUGGCGAAGAUCUCCGCCUUUCUGGGCUCUCUCGAGUGCAUUCGGAACAGGAAUUUAGCCUUGGCGACGAUCGAGGGUGGGAUGGCUGUGGUUCAGUUGUUCCAAAGUGAGACUCCUCCGACAUUAGAGGCCGAAGAGGCCCGACUGUCCGGCUGCAAAGGAGAUUUGGCAGUCGUGGAUGGAUAUUUCGAUCUUAUCCUAGCUGACCUGAAAUCCGCGUGCCUCCUUCCGACGUGUUCAGAAGGCCCUGUGGGGAAGGAUCCGGUACUCGGGGGUGAAGCGGCUCCAGGUUUAGAUGAAGCGACGAGUGAAGAGGGAGCGUGAGCUCUGAGGAUGACUUUGGUUAGAUCUCUUGCGGGAGAUUUUUUUUAUGUUUGAUGUUUCGGCCUUAAAUGGCCUUAUUUCGUGUUUCGGGACUGGCCGUGUGUGGCUUUGAAUCCCCGCCGCUCUGCGGCUUUUAUGACAAGAUGGUCGAGUUGCAUUUUUCAUAAGCUUACGUAUGGAGUGGAAGAAGGGUGAUGAGUUGUCGUCUCAUAUCCUUUUUCGAUGUGAAAUGUUUUGUUCGAGAUCUGUUUCGAGAGUUUUUCCGCGAGGUAUCGACUUCGCGGGAUAUCUGAAGAUGUCGAACAUAAACAUAGAGGCAUGGUUUUGGGAUCUCGUAUCUUUUGGAUAUCAUGCCUUGAGAUGUUAGAGACCAGUGCGCUGGGUUUAGGGCAAGACCUAGGUUUACUUUCGAUUUAAGAUUUUGUGCGGUGACUAGCCGGCUAUCGAUUUAUCUGUCGCGAUUUUAACCUGAUUUGUACCGAUUUAAAGUCCGCGAUAGGUUCUCGGCUUAUAUGACUUGUUAAAUACGAAUCGAGCAUCUCUCCGGAGACAAUUUUUAAGCCAACCGGAAGUGCUGGACCAAAAUUUUGGGUUUCUUUUAUAGCGCUAUUAUCCUUGUGUCGGAUGUACGAGAGUCAUCUUGUAAGAUGGCUAUGUAUGUUUAGGACGUUCAAGAGUUCGAUGUGAUCAGCACCGAACUUGGCAGCAGAUGCCGUCGUUUAGAGUUUUUGCGCAAGAUAUGUGUUAAAAUGUUCGUCAUUUUUGACGGAGUGUCCCUUUUUGUUGUUCGGAAGAAGUAACCCUCGAGGCAUCUCUCGUGACGUCUCGUGAUGCCAAAGGUUGCUUCUCCAAACGGAUGAUUUAUUUUCGAAUAUCGAAAAUGUUUUGCGGAUAAAAGAUAAUUUGCUUGGUUAAGAUAUGUCGGAAACAUCGAAGGCGUGGUCGGAUGUUUUCGAGUUUGAGAGUAUACGAGUAUACGUAUCCACUCCCCCCCCCUUUUUGAUGGAGGGGGGACAGCUGAAUUUGCUUUUUGACAAACUGCCUACGUACUCCUUGUGGAGAUCAAGCCGUCUCGUAGUUCGGUGAUUGCGAGUUGGUCAAUGAUAAUAUUUUUUGAGAUGCAUCGCGUUCCAGGUCCUCAGAAUUUUUAUGCCUUGCAUGUUGGCUAUUUCGUAGGAGCCGGCUCGGACGAUUUUUUCGAUUUUAUAGGGUCCAUCCCAGUUUGCUCCGAGUUUUCCCGCGUUUCGUUCAGUGGUAUUUUGGAAGACUUUGCGAAGUACUAGAUCUCCUCGAUUAAAUCUGCGAUUCCGUACGUUGGAAUUGUAGUACUUCGCGGCUUCGUGUUGGUAAUUUUGGAUUCGGAUGAGCGCUCGAUCUCGGUGCUCGUUAAUGAGAUCGAGGUCAUCGAGGAGCAUUGCGUUUUUGAGCUCCUCUCGUUCGGGAAGUAAUCUUCUUCGAACACCGGGGAAUUCUAGUUCUGCGGGAAUCAUGCAUUCCGUUCCGUACACCAGAGCCAAAGGGGUUUCUCAUGUUGCUCGCCUCGGGGUGGUACGGUGGGACCAGAGGACUCCCUCGAGUUCGUCGGCCCACCUGCCUUUUUUGGCCUCUAAGCGUUUCUUCAGUGCGUCGAGAAUGGUUUUAUUAAUCGUUUCAGCUUGUCCGUUACACUGCGGAUAUCUGGGCGUUGAUUUGUUAAGCCGUAUCUUCCAUUUUUCGCAGAACGCCUCGAACCGGGUGGAGAUAAACUGAGAUCCGUUAUCGGUUACGAUUUCGUAAGGAACUCCAUGCCUGCAGAAGAUGUUUUUCCAUACGAAACUUUUGACUUGGACAUCUUUUAUACUUGCGUACGAAUCUGCCUCUACCCAUUUUGAAAAGAAAUCGGUGAGGACUAAAAGGAAACGCUUUUGCUUUGAAUUAUGAAGGGGACCGACGAUGUCCAUGGCCCAGCGCAUAAAAGGAUAGGGCGAUGUGAUGGAGGAGAGGACUUCGGCUGGUUGUCGGAUGGUUGGAGCAUGCCUCUGGCAUUUUUCGCAUUUUCGUGCGAACUUCUCGCAAUCUCCGAUCAUCGUUGGCCAGUAGUAUCCAUGGCGNNNNNNNNNNNNNNNNNNNNNNNNNNNNNNNNNNNNNNNNNNNNNNNNNNNNNNNNNNNNNNNNNNNNNNNNNNNNNNNNNNNNNNNNNNNNNNNNNNNNNNNNNNNNNNNNNNNNNNNNNNNNNNNNNNNNNNNNNNNNNNNNNNNNNNNNNNNNNNNNNNNNNNNNNNNNNNNNNNNNNNNNNNNNNNNNNNNNNNNNNNNNNNNNNNNNNNNNNNNNNNNNNNNNNNNNNNNNNNNNNNNNNNNNNNNNNNNNNNNNNNNNNNNNNNNNNNNNNNNNNNNNNNNNNNNNNNNNNNNNNNNNNNNNNNNNNNNNNNNNNNNNNNNNNNNNNNNNNNNNNNNNNNNNNNNNNNNNNNNNNNNNNNNNNNNNNNNNNNNNNNNNNNNNNNNNNNNNNNNNNNNNNNNNNNNNNNNNNNNNNNNNNNNNNNNNNNNNNNUUCAUCCUGAUUCCAUACCGAUUUAAAGUCCGCGAUAGGUUCUCGGCUUAUACGACUUGUAUGGUUGGAACCGAGCAUCUCUCCAAGGACAAUUUUUAAGCCUCCUGGAAGUGCUGAACCAAAAUUUCGGGUUUCUUUUAUAGCGCUAUUAUCCUUGUGUCGGAUGUACGAGAGUCAUCUUCGUAAGAUGGCUAUGUCUGUUUAGGACGUUCGAGAGUUCGAUGUGAUCAGCACCGAACUUGGCGGCAAAUGCCAUUGUUUAGAGUUUUUGCGCAAGAUAUGUGUUAAAAUGUUCAUCAUUUUUGACGGAGUGUCCGUUUUCGUCGUUCGGAAGAAGUAAUCCUUGAAGCAUCUCUUGCGACGUCUCGCGAUGCCAAUGGCUGCUUCUUCCUAACGGCUGAUUUAUUUUCGAAAUUUGAAAAUGUUUUCGCGGAUAAAAGAUAAUUUGCUUGGUUGAGAUAUGUCGGAAACAUCGAAGGCGUGGUUGGAUGUUUUCGAGUCUGAGAGUAUACGAGUAUACGUAUCCACUCCCCCCCCCUUUUUGAUGAGGGGGGACAGCAAAAAUUUUCCUUUCGACAAACUGCCUAUGUACUCCUUAUGGAGAUCAAGCCGUCUCGUAGUUCGGUGAUUGUGAGUUGGUUUGUUUAGUGAUAGUAUUUUUUGAGAUGCAUCGCGUUCCAGGUCCUUGGAAUUUUUAUGCCUCGCAUGUUGGAAGAUGAUGUUUUUCCAUACGAAACUUUCGACUUGGACAUGUUUUAUACUUGCGUACGAAUCUGCCUCUACCCAUUUUGAAAAGAAAUCGGUGAGGACUAAAAGGAAACGCUUUUGCUUUGAAUUAUGAAGGGGACCGACGAUGUCCAUGGCCCAGCGCAUAAAAGGAUAGGGCGAUGUGAUGGAGGAGAGGACUUCGGCUGGUUGUCGGAUGGUUGGAGCAUGCCUCUGGCAUUUUUCGCACUUUCGUGCGAAUUUCUCGCAAUCUCCGAUCAUCGUUGGCCAGUAGUAUCCAUGGCGUUUGAUUUUCACUUCCACUUUUUUCGCUUCUUCCCCUUCCAGGCACGUCAUGAGUUGUCCGGAGAAUCUCCAUUUGUAAAUUUUGCCGUCUACUGUUACGUAUCGCGCGGCCUGUGUUCGGACUUUGCGGGCUGCCCAUUUCUCGGUGGGCAGGCGUCCGUCGAUAAUGUAGUCUUGAAUCUUCUGCAGCCACGGGGUAUCGCAGCCGUAAUCAGAUUGCUCCGAUUGCGGUUGUAUUGCAACUUCUUCUUCUUUGUCGUCUUGACCUUCUAUGAGGUUGACGACGAUUGGCGGUCCGAUGCUCGGGUGUUCGAUGAACUCGACCGGAAUUACCCUUUUGAGCCUAGGAUCAGAACUUGAUGCUAAGGCCGCGAGAGCAUCUGCCUGGACGUUUUCGGAACGGGGAAUUCGCGUGAGGGCCUAACAGUCAAACUUUUGAGCUAGUUUUCGGACCAGUUUAUGGUACGCAUCCAUCCGUUCAUCCCUAGCUUCAUACUCUCCGCUGUACUGUCUUGCCACUAACUGGGAAUCGCAGUAAGCGUGGAUGUUUCGUAUCUUCAAGCCGUGAGCCAAACGGAGUCCUGCGACGAGUGCUUCGUAUUCGGUUUCGUUGUUUGAGGCGUGGAACUCCAGCCUAAACGAUUGCUCUAAGAUCUCGUUCGUCGGAGAUGUGAGGUGAAUUCCGAUGUCUGAUCCCUUCUUGGACGAGGAUCCGUCGACGUGAAGGAACCAAGUGGAAUUUGGUUCCUCGUUGGUUAUGGUCUCUGUCGGUAAUUCGACCAAGAAAUCUGCAAGCACUUGUGAAUUCGCGCUUGUUCUUGGUCGGUACUCGAUAUCGUAUUCGCUAAGUUCUACCACCCAUUUGGCUAAUCGGCCCGAUUGACUCGGGCUAUGCAGGAUCGUUCGUAGGGGAAAAGUCGUGAGGACGACGAUCGUGUGGGAUUGGAAAUAUGGUCUUAGUUUUCGGGCCGAUGUUACGACCGCGCAUGCUAAUUUUUCCAUCAGCGGGUAUCUAGACUCGGCAUCCAGCAAGGUUUUGCAGAUAUAGAAAAUAGGUUUCUGUUCGCCGCGUUCGUCCCUGAUUAGCACGCCGCUCACAGCUGUUGCUGAUACAGCGAUGUACAAGAACAAAGGUUCCCCCUCCACUGGUUUUGCGAGGACUGGGGGGAAGCCAAAUACCGCUUCAGCUGUUGGAAAGCGUUUUCGCAUUCUUCCUACCAUUAAAAUUUUUUAUUUCCCCUCAAGACAUCGUAGAAAGGCAUGCACUCGUCUGUCGAUCGCAAAAUAAAACGGUUAAGUGCCGCGACUCUACCGGUCAACCUUUGGACUAACCGCUUAUUCUUCGGCGAAGCCAACUUGAUCAGUGCGUUGAUCUGUUUUGGAUUAGCCUCGAUGCCACAGAAUGUGACUAGGUAGCCGAGGAAUUCCCCUGCUGCCACGACGAAUCUGCAUUUUGUCGGGUUGAGCUUCAUGUUAUGCAAAUUUAACUGGGCGAAACAUUCCUCAAGAUGUGAUAUGUGAUCCUUUGCUUGGAGGGAUUUGACGAGCAUGUCAUCGAUAUAAACUUCCAUCAUUUUACCGAGUUGUUGAGAGAACAUACGGUUCACGAGUCGUUGGUAAAUAUAACAAUCGUCGUAGAGUCAACAUGAUCAUCGGAGGUUCGCAAUUCUGCAACGAUACGGUUUCGGCCAUCAAGGCUUACCAGAACCGCUUAUUCUUCGGCGAAGCCAACUUGAUCAGUGCGUUGAUCUGUUUUGGAUUAGCCUCGAUGCCACAGAAUGUGACUAGGUAGCCGAGGAAUUCCCCUGCUGCCACGACGAAUCUGCAUUUUGUCGGGUUGAGCUUCAUGUUAUGCAAAUUUAACUGGGCGAAACAUUCCUCAAGAUGUGAUAUGUGAUCCUUUGCUUGGAGGGAUUUGACGAGCAUGUCAUCGAUAUAAACUUCCAUCAUUUCUAACAGUCAAACUUUUGAGCUAGUUUUCGGACCAGUUUAUGGUACGCAUCCAUCCGUUCAUCCCUAGCUUCAUACUCUCCGCUGUACUGUCUUGCCACUAACUGGGAAUCGCAGUAAGCGUGGAUGUUUCGUAUCUGUCUGGGUUCAUCAUAAUUUGGUUGUAACCUGAGACGGCGUCCAUGAAAGACAGAAGUUCGUUUCCUGCCGUUGCUUCUACUGCGGUAAUCGAUCAUCCUGCCAUCUAUAACGUGAUAAUGGGAACCCCAUGGCUCAACGCUAUGCAAGCCGUUCCAUCGACGUACCACCUGGGUGUCAAAUUCCCGACCCCAAACGGAGUCGCAGCUAUCUGGGGAUGUCAGAAACAGUCGCGACUAUGCUUCCUUGCGGAGCACAAGUUAAGCCAGAUGACGACCUCUGCAACGGCAAACCGCAAACGCACGAAGAUUGAUAAAUUUUCGACCGACAACGUUUCAAGAAAAGACGAUUUAACAUCGUCUGCUGACGCAGACCCUUCGGGUGUCGAAACUCAACAUGAGUCCGAAGCCGACACUACAACUCAACCGGAACAUCCGGAAGAGAACACUGACCCAGCCAUGAUCUGUCGUGGACCGCGGAAGCUCGUUCAGGUCCUAGCUUCUGCCUGUUUUUGUUUGACGGGCUUGAAAGUCGGAUCGAUAUUUAAUUCGUGACACGUUAUGUCAAUGUCAAUCCCUGGCAUAUCUUCUGCGGCCCAUGCGAAAGUAUUGAGGUUCUUUUUUAGACAGGUUACGAGCUCUGUCCUCAAAGGCUCGCGGAGAUUGGCUCCGAUUUCGACGCGUCGUUCCGGAGAUGCUUCGUCGAGACAGACCGUGACCACAGGCUCGCAAGUUGGUUCGCGUUUUUCCUCUAGGGCCGCGAUGUUACGAGACUGCCAGUAGAGUUCAGCCGAAUCUUGACUUCGCGAACCUUGGUCGGAGACCUUUUUCUCCGUUUUUCUAGGAACGGUCUCGAGGUCUGGUCUUUUUCGUUUUUGUUCUGCGGCGUAACACACCUGUGAUACUCUUGGGUUUCUCCAUAUUACCUCGAUUCCGUUAGGGGUUGGAAACUUGAGGCAAAGAUGAUACGUGGAUGGGAUGGCACGCAUGGUGUUCAACCAUGGCGUUCCCAUGAUAACGUUGUAAGAUGCUGUUUGCUGACAGACACCCACGGACGUCCUGUGUGUACUGAACAACACUUGUCACGGUUCCGGCUUUGACUGCGAGUUUAAUCGAUCCGUAGGCCAUGGUCGUGUCUCCCGAAAGUCCCAGUAGUGGGCUAGGUUAUUUAACGAUUUCGAAUUGAUCGAUGCCCAAUUUCUCGAGAGUAUUUUUGAAGAUGAUAUCGGCCGAACUUCCGGUGUCGAUUAUCACCCUAGCGACGUCGAUAUCUCGGAUCAUCAGUUCGAUAAGAAGGAGAUCGUUUCGAGGUUUGGCUCGAUCGACCGUUGCUCCCCCGAAAACCUAAUUGAGUCGCAGCUCGGACCCUGUCGCACCACGAGGCGCUGUCUACGAGUCGGGUUGUUUGGGAAUGCAGCCCCAAUCGGGCGGUAAAUUCCGUCCAAGGCUAAAUAUGGGCGAGAGACCGAUAGCGAACAAGUACCGCGAGGUAAAGAUGAAAAGGACUUUGAAAAGAGAGUCAAAGAGUGCUUGAAAUUGUCGGGAGGGACCGGACCAAAAUCUUCCCGCGGAGAGAUCUCCUCAAAGAAACCAAUCUGGGGAUAAACGCGGCAGGAGGCCAGACGACAAAGGGAAAUAUAACAAUCGUCGUAGAGUCAACAUGAUCAUCGGAGGUUCGCAAUUCUGCAACGAUACGGUUUCGGCCAUCAAGGCUUACCAGCGGAAGGCAGAGUCAAGCGCAAACUGGCCUACAUGGUCUCCUACCCGAGAUGAUCAGAACUGCUCAAUCACCUUCACAAAGGAAGAAGUCGGCGGUAUCGAUCAACCUCACUGUGAUCCGCUCGUCAUAGACCUCGUCAUACGAGAUCUGGAAGUCGGAAGAGUACUCAUUGACACGGGAAGCACGGUCAAUGUAAUCUUCCGNNNNNNNNNNNNNNNNNNNNNNNNNNNNNNNNNNNNNNNNNNNNNNNNNNNNNNNNNNNNNNNNNNNNNNNNNNNNNNNNNNNNNNNNNNNNNNNNNNNNNNNNNNNNNNNNNNNNNNNNNNNNNNNNNNNNNNNNNNNNNNNNNNNNNNNNNNNNNNNNNNNNNNNNNNNNNNNNNNNNNNNNNNNNNNNNNNNNNNNNNNNNNNNNNNNNNNNNNNNNNNNNNNNNNNNNNNNNNNNNNNNNNNNNNNNNNNNNNNNNNNNNNNNNNNNNNNNNNNNNNNNNNNNNNNNNNNNNNNNNNNNNNNNNNNNNNNNNNNNNNNNNNNNNNNNNNNNNNNNNNNNNNNNNNNNNNNNNNNNNNNNNNNNNNNNNNNNNNNNNNNNNNNNNNNNNNNNNNNNNNNNNNNNNNNNNNNNNNNNNNNNNNNNNNNNNNNNNNNNNNNNNNNNNNNNNNNNNNNNNNNNNNNNNNNNNNNNNNNNNNNNNNNNNNNNNNNNNNNNNNNNNNNNNNNNNNNNNNNNNNNNNNNNNNNNNNNNNNNNNNNNNNNNNNNNNNNNNNNNNNNNNNNNNNNNNNNNNNNNNNNNNNNNNNNNNNNNNNNNNNNNNNNNNNNNNNNNNNNNNNNNNNNNNNNNNNNNNNNNNNNNNNNNNNNNNNNNNNNNNNNNNNNNNNNNNNNNNNNNNNNNNNNNNNNNNNNNNNNNNNNNNNNNNNNNNNNNNNNNNNNNNNNNNNNNNNNNNNNNNNNNNNNNNNNNNNNNNNNNNNNNNNNNNNNNNNNNNNNNNNNNNNNNNNNNNNNNNNNNNNNNNNNNNNNNNNNNNNNNNNNNNNNNNNNNNNNNNNNNNNNNNNNNNNNNNNNNNNNNNNNNNNNNNNNNNNNNNNNNNNNNNNNNNNNNNNNNNNNNNNNNNNNNNNNNNNNNNNNNNNNNNNNNNNNNNNNNNNNNNNNNNNNNNNNNNNNNNNNNNNNNNNNNNNNNNNNNNNNNNNNNNNNNNNNNNNNNNNNNNNNNNNNNNNNNNNNNNNNNNNNNNNNNNNNNNNNNNNNNNNNNNNNNNNNNNNNNNNNNNNNNNNNNNNNNNNNNNNNNNNNNNNNNNNNNNNNNNNNNNNNNNNNNNNNNNNNNNNNNNNNNNNNNNNNNNNNNNNNNNNNNNNNNNNNNNNNNNNNNNNNNNNNNNNNNNNNNNNNNNNNNNNNNNNNNNNNNNNNNNNNNNNNNNNNNNNNNNNNNNNNNNNNNNNNNNNNNNNNNNNNNNNNNNNNNNNNNNNNNNNNNNNNNNNNNNNNNNNNNNNNNNNNNNNNNNNNNNNNNNNNNNNNNNNNNNNNNNNNNNNNNNNNNNNNNNNNNNNNNNNNNNNNNNNNNNNNNNNNNNNNNNNNNNNNNNNNNNNNNNNNNNNNNNNNNNNNNNNNNNNNNNNNNNNNNNNNNNNNNNNNNNNNNNNNNNNNNNNNNNNNNNNNNNNNNNNNNNNNNNNNNNNNNNNNNNNNNNNNNNNNNNNNNNNNNNNNNNNNNNNNNNNNNNNNNNNNNNNNNNNNNNNNNNNNNNNNNNNNNNNNNNNNNNNNNNNNNNNNNNNNNNNNNNNNNNNNNNNNNNNNNNNNNNNNNNNNNNNNNNNNNNNNNNNNNNNNNNNNNNNNNNNNNNNNNNNNNNNNNNNNNNNNNNNNNNNNNNNNNNNNNNNNNNNNNNNNNNNNNNNNNNNNNNNNNNNNNNNNNNNNNNNNNNNNNNNNNNNNNNNNNNNNNNNNNNNNNNNNNNNNNNNNNNNNNNNNNNNNNNNNNNNNNNNNNNNNNNNNNNNNNNNNNNNNNNNNNNNNNNNNNNNNNNNNNNNNNNNNNNNNNNNNNNNNNNNNNNNNNNNNNNNNNNNNNNNNNNNNNNNNNNNNNNNNNNNNNNNNNNNNNNNNNNNNNNNNNNNNNNNNNNNNNNNNNNNNNNNNNNNNNNNNNNNNNNNNNNNNNNNNNNNNNNNNNNNNNNNNNNNNNNNNNNNNNNNNNNNNNNNNNNNNNNNNNNNNNNNNNNNNNNNNNNNNNNNNNNNNNNNNNNNNNNNNNNNNNNNNNNNNNNNNNNNNNNNNNNNNNNNNNNNNNNNNNNNAAAGAUGUAGACCCAAAAACGAGGAAGAAGAACCCUCGUAACGACAAGUAUGUCCAUCACGAGGGGGAAGAACUCCAAGGAGCGCACAAUUACGCGAUCGACUCAUACCAGGGCCAAGCCACGGGUAAUACGUGGACUCGCAACCAAGGAUAUGAUGAAAACACCUUCUGCGAGUUCCACCAGUCCCGAGGACACUCCACGACUAACUGCAAGGUCUUCGGAGCAAGGCUGGCCACGAACUACUAGCCGGAGAACUCUCGGAAGUGACCAGCGUGAAAGAUCUCAUCCUCGAGACCGAUCGCCCCCGAAGCCGGACCAAAAUCUUCCCGCGGAGAGAUCUCCUCAAAGAAACCAAUCUGGGGAUAAACGCGGCAGGAGGCCAGACGACAAAGGGAAAUAUAACAAUCGUCGUAGAGUCAACAUGAUCAUCGGAGGUUCGCAAUUCUGCAACGAUACGGUUUCGGCCAUCAAGGCUUACCAGCGGAAGGCAGAGUCAAGCGCAAACUGGCCUACAUGGUCUCCUACCCGAGAUGAUCAGAACUGCUCAAUCACCUUCACAAAGGAAGAAGUCGGCGGUAUCGAUCAACCUCACUGUGAUCCGCUCGUCAUAGACCUCGUCAUACAAGAUCUGGAAGUCAGAAGAGUACUCAUUGACACGAGAAGCACGGUCAAUGUAAUCUUUCGUGACACUCUCAAUCGGAUGAGCAUCGAACACGGAGAAGUAACUCCAACUCCGAAACCGCUAACAGGCUUUUCAGGCAAAGUAUCGAUGACCCUCAGAUCGAUUCAGCUACCAGUCAUGGCCAAGGAGAUCACAAAAAUCAUCGAGUUUGCGGUAAUCGAUCAUCCUGCCAUCUAUAACGUGAUAAUGGGAACCCCAUGGCUCAACGCUAUGCAAGCCGUUCCAUCGACGUACCACCUGGGUGUCAAAUUCCCGACCCCAAACGGAGUCGCAGCUAUCUGGGGAUGUCAGAAACAGUCGCGACUAUGCUUCCUUGCGGAGCACAAGUUAAGCCAGAUGACGACCUCUGCAACGGCAAACCGCAAACGCACGAAGAUUGAUAAAUUUUCGACCGACAACGUUUCAAGAAAAGACGAUUUAACAUCGUCUGCUGACGCAGACCCUUCGGGUGUCGAAACUCAACAUGAGUCCGAAGCCGACACUACAACUCAACCGGAACAUCCGGAAGAGAACACUGACCCAGCCAUGAUCAAGGCGGUCAGCACGGCGGCAACCGCCGAGUGAAAACGCUCGCGGCAUAAAACAGAACUACGAGAUGGCUUGAUCCUCGAAAGAGGUACGUAGGCAGCUCGUCGAAAUACGAGUUCAAUCCCCCUCUCUAAAAAGGGGGGGGGGGAGAGUGGGUGCGUAUACUCGUAUACUCCCACAUAGGAAAAGACGCGUUAUUGUAAUCAAAUUCUAUAGAGAUUUCGAAAAUUUUGACGAUCAAUAUGCGUCGCUUCUUUUUAAGACACUUGCAAAAGUCUCAGAACACGCCUAGAAAAUCUACAAACGUUAUUACUCUUGCCAGCAGCCUCGUACGGUCCAAAAUCGCAAAACAAUCUCACUUCAGCACCGAAAAUAUACGUAUAGUCAUCGAAAUAACUGCGAGACGUCGCCAAGUUAAAAAUCGAGAUGAUACGAACAAAUUGUCCGAACGCGACCACUACGAAUCUUACACUCCGUUCGUCGAUUGGCCCCGACGAACACAUCAGCCAUCUUAAACAAACGCAACUUGAUCACUCUUUUUAUCUUCAAACGUCCAACACAAGGACGAAAGCGCGCUACAAAAAAAAUCCGAAAUAUUUGUCUAGCAUUUCCAGUUGGCUUAAAAAUUGUCUCGGGAAAGAUGCUCGAUUCGUACCAUACAAGUCGUAUAAGCCAAGAACCUAUCGCGGACUUUAAAUCGGUACGAAUCAGGUAGAAAUCGCAACAGGAAAACCGAUAGCCGGCUAGUCACCGCACAAACCUUAAAACCGAGAGUAAACCUUGGUCUUGCCCUAAACCCAUCGCAUUGGUCUCAAAAAUCUCAAAGACAUGAUAUCUAAACGAUAAGAGAUCCUAAAACAUGUCUCUUCGUUCAUAUCUCAACGUUCCUGAAAGAUCGUAAAUAAUUUUUACGAAAACUCACGUCUCGAACAAACCAACAGAUUGAACGCCUCAACGAAGUUAAAUAUGAGACGACAACUCAUGUUUACUUCAAACCCACUCUAAACAAAGUAACUCAAACAAACAUCCAUUAUAUAAACCGCAUAGCGGUAGGGGUUCAAAGCCACCAACGGCCAGUCCCGACAAAAACGGCCAAAACAGGCCCAUACAAAGUUCGAAGGCCACACUCGGCCAGACAUAUAUGAACAAAGGCCACACUCGGCCGCUAAAUACUAGAUAAAGGGAAAAACUCCUUCCCGUCAAAACACUCACAGAUCAAAGUUAAAAUUCCCGGACAAGGAAGCUCCGAAUGCAUCCGCGGGAUAGUUCACUUCCUCAUCGUCACCGGCAAAAUCAGUCGUGGUUUCUACGGUAUCAGGAGAAACCGGGAUGGGAUCCCAGAAUCCCUGAAUCUUCCCAUCGAUCGGAGGAAUGAUCGUCUCAGCGUGAGCAUGAUCCUUCAUGCCACCCUUCAUUAACUCCAUCUCCCUCUCGAAAACGUAGUCAUCUUCCUGCGUCUUCCAAAGGCUCCCGACGGAGCCGCGACACUCACGGAAGUCGCCCAGCGAGUUGAAAGCGCCCUUAAGAUUCCCGUACUCAACCUGGAAUUGAGAAGCGCGAGUCUUCAUCACCUCGACAAUUUCCCUCUUGCCCUUCCGUUCCGCCCUACGAACAGCCCUGGCAUGAUCACGAGCGAGUUGAGCAUCUCGCGCCAACAUCUCGUCUCGCAUGCGAGCAAGAUCCUUUUCCGCCUUCUCCGCUUUAAAGCGAUAGAUUAUGGCCUCUCUAUGGCUCGCCUCAAUGGCCGAUCCAAGCAAGUUCAAGCCCUAUAAAACCGAUUGACACGUUAUAAGCAAAAAAAAAUAAAAUAAAAUAAUAAUAAUAAUAAAUUCUUAAAGUUUAUACCCCGUUAAUGAUACGAGACCCUUCCGCGACGAUUUUCGGCCUCCCCGACUCGCUCGUGGCCGGAGGAGCAUCGAAGCCCGACGGAAGACCAGCGAAGAAAUCAUCAAAGUCUGGAAUAGGGACCUCGCUCGUACCGCUUCCAUCGCCGAAAGCAAGGUCUAGAUCCCAUCCUGGAAGCAUGCAAUCGUCCACCGAAAACUCCAGGUCACCGAGGUUAAUAUCUUUCCCCUUCGAAGAGUUCAGCCCCGUCGCAGUCGUGGGAGCGGCGUCGGGACCUUGGUCUUCAUGUUCGGAAUCACUCCUCGUUUCUCCGCCCAAAGCAGGACUAGGACGCACAAACCUCAGCGCCUUUCGAACACUCUUCGGCGUAAAGGAAAUCCAGAAAAAAGGACCAUUCUUGAGCAGAUCCCUCACCGCAAUGAUGUCCUCAGGAAACGGAGCAAGAGGGUUGAUAAAGGGACGAUCGUUCGGCAACCUCUGAAACAAUGGGAUACAACACUCCUCAACGGACGCGGCGUCUACACGAACGAAGAAGAAAAACUUCUUCCCCGAGUUGAAGUUAGAAGUAAACCCCUUUACCACUGACAUGAAAUUCUGGGGAACCAGCCUGUACAUGUCCGUAUCCUUGAUGAUCUGUAACCGAAGAAGCGCUUCGAAGUGAUCAACGGUGAGGGAGAGACCAUGCUCGUAGCUCAGGAUCAGGAUUCAGUUGGCUUAUCGCCACCCCGAAACGACCCAACACACGGACUAUAAUCUCAGGGAUCGGGAACCACAAACGGCAGCGCACUACGAAUGCUUCGUAACAAGUAAAGUAGCCCUCCGGGGGACUACUAGUGCAUUCUCCUAGACGAGGAACCCUGAAUUCCACCGCGUCCGAAAUAUGGUAGAACGACCGCAUGACCUCGAGGAAUUCACUAGUACUCCUACUUGGUGCACCUGCCUCCACCGGUCGAUGGUUCAUGACCAGGAACGAUUUUUCUUUGGGAGGCGUGAUCGAACCGUAACACGUCACCCAACAUGCCUCGUUCUCGGCUGGGUCUACCGAAUGAGGAACGAAUUCCAUCUUCGGCACUCGAAGCUCUUCAGAAACGUUCGCGGGCAAUGACCCUUUCUUCGAACUCCUCUUCUUACUCGACAUCUCGUGUUUUUCUUUUUAAUCAAGAAGGAAAUGAUAGAGAGAAAAAGAAAGAACUUUUCAACAAAAUCUCUCUAUGAGAAUGAGUAAGUGUAAAGAUUGUGAAGAAAUUACCUCCCUUCUUAUAGGCAUGAGAAAUUACUAUUUACUUGCGGAUUUUUGGACACGAACUUCGCCCAAAUACACCAAUCUCGUCCGAACUCGCCAUACCGCGCAUUGGGAUCUCACUAGAAAUCCACGCUCCCAACGAGCUGGGGGGCUAACUGUUGGGGUCGAAAACGGUUACGACGAAGUUAACGUCCAAAUCCCCGAAGAAGAAAAACGUAGAAACCUUCUUCGACAAAUACUUUUUCGAAAUAGAUUCUUCUUUACGAAAAGCUUUGCGGAGGAAACGCGAGUCAUCGGACAAGAGCUCGAAAAGGAUCGCUACGCAGCGACCGAACGCGUGUUCCGCUCGGUCGCUACGUUGUUGGGGUCGAAAUUGGUUGCAACGAAGCUAACGUCCAAAUCUCCGAAAAGAAAACGUAGAAAUCUUCUUCGACAAAUACUUUUUCGAAAUAGAUUCUUCUUUACGAAAAAGCUUUGCGGAGGAAACGUGAGUCAUCAGACAAAAGCUCAAAAAGGGUCGCUACGCAGCAACCGAACGCGUGUUCCGCACGGUCGCUGCGUAGCGACCGAGCUCAAGCCGAAGCUCGGUCGCUACGUAGCUCAUUCUUCCGAAAUGUCGAUACGACAUUAGUCCAUGCAUUCUCGUCUACCCUUCGAUGCUAUCUCCCGAAGACAGUAGCGAACCCAUUUCACGUUCCCCGCCAUUCUAAGUUAUCGAUCAAACUUUACCGUAAAAACCGCGAAAAGUUCGUUCUUUAUCGAAAGAAGCCGUAAUAAACGCUUCGAGUCGGAAGACGGCCCAAAGGGACCUAAGACAUGACAUGAAGCCCAACUUACAAUUUCUUAACCAAACAGCCCGUAAGCCGCAUGACGGUUUACGCUUAGUUCGCGAGGAAAGAUAAAUCUCAAGUUUCCGCGGAUAGGUACGAAAUUUUGAAGAUAAUUACGAAGAUCGGAAAAAAUGGAAUAUCUCCAUUUUUAUGCUAUGGCAGCUUAAGGGCAGAAGGGAAAAAGUGUAAACCGGCCUUGGAGCCAAUAUAUAAGGAGUCCUAGGCGAGAGGCAUGGGGGAGGACUUGACACAGCAAACUUAGCACUUAGAGCGAUUUUAGGCAAUUUUCCGUUUUUGUUAUUCGAGCUGCGACUCAAUUAAGUUUUUUCCGUCUUAGGGUUUUAGAACUAGGAAUCUCGCCGACAGCUCUCGUAGCCCAGACACUUACCUUGUUGUAAACGCUCAAACGCAGAUUCGAAAUAAGAACUAUCUUGCUCUCUUUUUCGAUUUCUUAUUUUAUUACUAUUCUCGUUUCGUGUUAUGAUUGCUUGGCGUGUGGUAUUAGCAGAUAUCUGGGACCUCUGGGAAAUUAGGGUUCUCCUACUUUCCUAAUUUAAACGGAAAUCGACAGUGCAAAUUUCGGUUCCCACAUGGUACAUGGCUGAAAUUCACGUAGAAAAAGAGCAACCUCUUUUGUCCAGAAGCAGCAGUUACACAUGUCUUCACCCUUGUUGUGCUCAAUGUGCCAAAGAACCCAAUCAUUUUGGAAAAUAAAAGAACAAGGGCAACUGUAGAAUAACGGGACGACUGUUGAUAUGAACAUGUGGCUCUUCGUUAGGAACAUAUCGUUAUGAUCCCUAUGCAUAACGGGACGACUGUUGAUAUGAACCACCAUUCCGAUCUUAGCAACGUAUUCUCUUGUAAAUCGAGACAAGUACUCCCCAUCGUCACUGAAUAUUUUUCUUGUCAAUGCAUAGGUAUAAGACGCUGACUCGAAUCCUGCAUCUGCUGCUCUCUUUAUCAAAGCAAGUCCCUCUACGUGACGAUCUAGCCUGUAGAAAUAUUCUACACCCUUGACGUAAACAGUACUAGGGUUACCCUCCUCAAAGCAUCUUCUCAACAAUAAAUUUCUCUUGCCGACGUACCAAGGGAAUUUGAACAAAUCGAACGCAGCAUAAACCCCACCAUUGUUAGCCAACGCACGCAUAGACUUGGAAGUAGCCCGGAGUAUAUAAAGAUCUGCAAUGGAGUUAUGUGCCACGCGUUGCACCACUAAAGCCUGGACCUCUGCCGGGAGGCUGAGUAUCGGAAAUUCUGGCAUUAUGAGAAGAUAUCUGAUGAUACCCUACUAUUAUAGGGAGAUGUGUUUAUAAAACUAGUACAAAGAGAAAUAUUCUAACAAACAAGUAGUAUUAAUAAGGAGUGGACCUGUAAGUAACCAACACAAAUGAAGGGAUGUGUUUUCGAAAGAGUGUCUUGUGGAUUAAACCAACACUUGCAUCUGUAAGCAGAUUAUGCAAAAGUUUGCAAUGAACCCAAUUCGGCAAACCCAAUGCGCCAAACCCUAACACCAUACCCUAAACCCUAAACUUAAAAACCCUAAACCCUAAACCCUAAACCCUAAACACUAAACACUAAACCCUAAA
rnacentral:lncRNA from 1 species